rnacentral:lncRNA from 1 species
UCUCGUCAGCCCCAUCCUAGUAGCUUAGAAACCACCUGCAUUUUCAUUUUGAUCUUCCUAAAAUCUCUCUGGCUAGUUGCUUUCCAGUGACCAAAAGAUUUCAAGAAACCACUCCCUGUCUUCCUCCCCCGGCUGUCUGUCAUCUUGCUCUGAAACAAUGGCUGUCCUGCAAGUUGCUGCUGCUGCCCCUCCCCCUGUCUCAGCGAUUGGGUUUGAGGGAUAUGAGAAGCGCCUUGAGAUCAGCUUCUCUGAGGCACCUGUCUUCGCUGAUCCCAAUGGAAGGGGAUUGCGUGCGCUCUCACGUGACCAGAUUGAGACUGUUCUUGACCUUGCACGGUGCACCAUUGUGUCUGAGCUCUCAAAUGAGGACUUUGACUCUUAUGUCUUAUCCGAGUCAAGCCUGUUUGUCUACCCAUAUAAAAUGGUGAUCAAGACCUGUGGGACUACAAAGCUUCUGCUCGCUAUUCCGAGGAUCCUUGAGCUUGCUAAAGAGCUCUCGUUGCCACUUUCUGCAGUUAAAUACUCCCGUGGGACAUUCAUAUUCCCUGAUGCACAGCCUUCCCCACACAAGAACUUUGCUGAUGAGGUUGCCUUCCUGAAUCGCUUCUUUGGUGGCCUCAAGUCUGGCGGUAAUGCUUAUGUUAUUGGUGAUUCUGCAAAGCCUGGGCAGAAGUGGCACGUCUACUAUGCCUCUGAGCACCCUGAGGAGCCUGUUGUUACUCUCGAGAUGUGCAUGACUGGGCUGGACAAGAAGAAAGCUUCUGUCUUCUUCAAGACAUCUGCUGAUGGUUACACAUCGUGUGCUAAGGAGAUGACCAAGCUCUCUGGUAUCUCGGACAUUAUUCCAGAGAUGGAGAUCUGUGACUUUGAUUUCGAGCCCUGUGGCUACUCCAUGAAUGCUGUUCAUGGCCCUGCUUUCUCGACCAUUCAUGUGACCCCAGAGGAUGGCUUCAGCUAUGCAAGCUACGAGGUCAUGGGCUUCAACCCAGGCUCUUCUUCUUAUGGUGACCUGGUUAAGAGGGUGCUGAGGUGCUUUGGCCCAGUUGAGUUCUCUGUUGCCGUGACUAUCUUCGGUGAGCGGGACAAUGCAAAGACCUGGGGGAAGAAACUGGAAGCUGAGGCCUAUGCCUGCAGCAACAUGGUUGAGCAGGUGCUGCCGUCUGGUGGCUUGCUCAUAUAUCAGAGCUUCACUGCUACGGGUGCAGCCACCCCUGGGUCGCCGAGGUCAGUCCUGCAUGACUUCGCUGGUGACAUUGUCAAGCCUGGCGAUAGUGGUGAGGCCGAUGGCCCCUGCUGGGAAGCUGAUGCUGUGGAUGAGAGCGAGGAAAGAGAGGUAAAGAAGAUGAAAUGCUGAUGCUGUGAUGAGCUAUGCUGAAGGUUGACAAAUCAGAUUUAGAGUUGCUGCCCUUGGUCAUCUUGUGUAGCAGCCAAGCCAGAUUAUUUAUGCUGCAUAACCUGUGCUAUUGUGGUGUGGCACAUGCUUAUAUUUGCAAUAAAGAGCUCUAGGUGGUUAGCCUUGUCUGCCACAGUGAGUAGUGUACCCAUAUUGCGUUUCUGAACUGUAUGAAUCUAAAUAAAGUCUUGUGUUUGAUACAAUUUGAAUUUGAAUGAUGUCUUUUCAUGUAAUCUGUUGGCAUCUGCGUUUCUUGAUUCACGUUCCUUGGUGAUAUUACCCCCCCCCCCCCCCCCUUUCAGUGAUUAUUUCAUUCGAAGAUUCUUAUUCAAAUCUGGAUGAUGACUUAAUCAGCUUGCUAUUUAGUCCUUUUUUCUAAACAAAAAUGAAAAGAAACCUAAAGUUAAAUCUAUGUGAACUAUACGAAUUUAGGCAUCUAAAAUUCGACUCACACGGACUUGGAGAGUAGGCAUCUAAAUCUAAGUGUCAGUGAUACUGAUUCCUGACGUUUUGGAAUUGGAAUCCGCCAGGCCGUUGUGCCACCUGCCAACUUGUGGUGGUAGGAGGGUACUUGGGACGUGAGCAUCUCCUCAGACAGCAUCGCCCGUGGCCACUGGCAUGCUGGAAUCUGAUCAGAUUGAGAUGGGCAAAGUUGAUCGCCGCAUUGAGCGUCUUCUCUUGGGGACGUACGUGGAGCUUUUAUCUGAACUGAGCCGCGAGGCACAUGGUGGUGCCGGGUCAAGACGAUUUGUGCUCCCUUGUUCUCGAGAUCUCUAUUGCCGGCCUCGGGAGUCUGGAAUUUUCUAGGGUCAUGAGCAGGAGAAAUCUAACGGAGAACGAGCUAACGUAUGCUGCAUUGAUCCGCAGCAGGCUCCAGUAGCCCAGUGCGAGGUACCAACGCAAUCUUGGCCCUUUGUUUGCGACCAGAGGGGCACUUCAAGUAUUCAACUAUUCAAGUCAAUCUUAGACAGUACGGUAAACGGUGGCAGGAUCAUCACUCCUUCCGUGCAAGGAUUACCUUCAGUGUUUGAAGCAGUCAGUUUCCUAGUUGCGAAACGUUAAUCACCUUUUGUGUCAAACUGAUGGUCAGCUAUGCGCUCUAGCACGGCUAGGGCGCUAGGACUUUUGCUCUUGUUACUUCCUGAUACAUAUAGUAAAUGGGGAUGGGGCAGCAUUCUCCUAGAAGGCAAAGAUUCGGGUCAUGUUUUAAGCCAUGUUAACAAGGACUAUUAAGUUCUGUAACAUCAUCUCACAUAAAAGAGCAGCCGCAAACAUUACAUGAAGCUCAAACAUUUGUUUGAUCAGAAAAUUUGAGCACAUGUUUUCGCAAACUACCACCUGUAAACUGACUGAAUUCCCUAUGAAAUCAAAUAAUGAAUGUUGCAGUUUACAACAACAUAGAUGAACAAUGUGAAAGAAUCGUUUCCAACCAAUGCAUGUAAAGAAUGUACCAUGAAAUUAUUAUACAGGACAAGGCUUGCUCUUUUAGCAGGGGCUCAAGGAAGGGCAGUCAGAUAUCCGCAGCAGGAACUUCACUCAUCGAUGUUGGCAUGCUUGUUGAGGAUGCCUCGAGGGAUGUUCUCUUCUUCUUGUGGGCCCAGCAUAGCCGGCUAAUUUUCCUUUUGCUUCUCAGGUUAAAAGAGACCUCUAUACAGUUGGUCCAGGGUAAUAAAUGUUUUAUUGGCUUCAAUCUUGAAGCUUCUUGUUGUGUGGACGAAACUUCUCGCAACUGCCCUUGUGAUGUUGCAGAAGCAAUAAUGCUUUGAAUUGGGUUCUUUAUUUGGCUGCCCAGGUAUCCCUGGCAGUUCACUGCCUCGCAAUGACACUUCACUUUCUCUCCAAAAUGCACAAACCUAUAAAAAAACAAAUAAUUGUCGCUCAAACAGAACAGGAUAAAAUGCAGCCCAGUUUCAGAGAAUGUUCUGUGGCCUCUGAAUAUAAUCCUGGCCAGUCAAAAACUGAGGAAAAGAUGUCAAUGUCUGGGUUAGCAAACCCAAGAGCAGUAUAGCUGAGAAUCAAUACCAACGAAAUUUUUAUCUUGGUUUCAGGCGGGUAAAUGUGGAAACAUCCACCGCAAGUCUACAGCAAUUUAGCCACAUGAAACGGGCUAUCUAUAGUGUUCAAAAAAUGGGCUAUCUAUAGCAUCUUUGAAAAGUUCAAAAGCUGUUUGAACUAAAGAGAAAUCUAGUCUUACCCUGGCCUAAGCUUGUAAGCCUUAUUCAAAAUUUUACAUGACCAAGUCAUUGAAAAAGGGAUUUCAUGAUGCAUGAAAAAGAGCGAAAGAACCUCCAGAAAGUUUCUGGUACUAAAGUUUGCACAUAUGAUUCACCACACAAAAAGGUAAAGAAAUAGUGCUAAGGCCUGAGGUUUUAGGUGGGGAAACUAUUGAUCAUGUGAUAAAACUACAAGCAGGCGCAGAUGCUAAUUUGAUAAUUUUGAUGCUACCUGCUCAAACUAGAUUCACGAACUCAUAGCUUCAUGUGUCACUGCAAUCAGCUUAUUGCAGGGAGGCACAAUCUUGGUAACAAGUAUACAUUGUGAGUAACUUGUAGCCUCUCAACAAUGAAAGAACACUUCCCUCUGUUUUUCAUUUACCUGUCACCAAUAAUUUAUUGUGCCAACAUUGACCAUCCAUUUUUUUCUACAAAAUGUUUUCAUAUUGUUCAUAAUAUGUAAUAUGAAAAAUUAUACUUCACGACAAAUCAUAUGAUAUGAAAACUUGAAGUAUCUUAAAACUCUUCAGAAAAAAGUUACAGUAAAGAGGUACUGCUAAGUAAAUGAUAACAGAGGAAGUACAUUUAGCCUUCUUAAUUAAGAAUGCCUCUUUAAUUAAUCUUUAUAAGUGGAAUAAAACAAAAUAGCUGUUUAAACUACCUGUAAUCAUAAGUUAAGGGUUCUCCAACUUUGAUGGAACGAGAGGCAAAGACACCAACUCUUGUCUCACCAUCAACCUGCCUGACAAGGCCAUAGAAACAAUCAGGAACAUGCUAUAAAACGAUUUUGUUUUUAAAGAACACAUCAUUACCAUUUUUCGAGUUUACAGUUGGGCUCACAACUGUGAUUUAGAAAACGUGACACGUUUCCCUUAAAUGUUGCAUCUAUUGUAAAAUCUUUGCUGAUUUCGCACAUGUAGAAGUUUUUGUCACCACGAUAUCUUAUAUCCCAAAGCCUUUGUUCACAUGUUGCGUCAUCAAUGACUGAAAAAAUGUUUAAAAAGAGGCGAAAAGAAUGUACAUGAGAUUAACUGUGAAAUACAAUUAGAGCAACUCCAAGAGUUUGUUUAUACUCUUCCUAAUUGAUAGGAAUAGAGAUUUUGAUGAAAAAUACUCUCCAACAGCUUCUCUAAUUAGAUCUCUAAAUAUUGCUAUCAUCUAUUCCGGAUUUCUCGCUAGCCAAAGAUAGAGCAUGGCUCUCUAGAGUGAGCAUAAGAUAUAGAGAAGCUGUUGGAGGGUGGAAACAUAUAGAGGGCGAUUUUUAUUCAAAUGGCUCUCCAAAUGAUGAUUUACAGAGUGAGUUUAAGAAAGACUCUUGGAGAUGCUCUUAUGUACACAAAAAUUAGCCUGUAAAUCAGAAGCGAAGUGCCAAAAAAAAUAUCUCUCUCCAUUGACCAAAUGAUUCCCAACAUGAUAGUACCAUGCAGUGCCAUAGGGUAUCUUUAUUCUCGUGUUUCUCGAGUUCAGAACUGUUAUGUUUUUUAGUUCUUAGUUAUGCUGAUGAGAAUGCCCCCGGUUGCUGGCUGGAACUGGGCUUUGGAAUAUUUUCUAUGCUGUAAACUGGAUAUUUGGUCUUUUGAGUAAUUGAAAGGCCAAGGCAGUAUGCCCUAGAACUCUAAAAAAAAGUAUUAUACAGUAGGUUCUAAACAAAUUGUUGCCAAGUCUCCAAUACUGGCAAUACAUCCCAAGCCAGAAGACUGUGGCACAAAUUGUGAAUAGUGUCCCUGUUUCCAGUUGUAGCUAUGUUAUAUGUUUAUGAAUUAUGAUUACUAGCUCAAACUUACCCUUCAGUCUCAAACAUAAAAAAAUGCUAAGUUCCCAGUUGGGCAAAAGCAUCAAGCAACAUGCCGUUUAGGUUAGCCAUGAUAGCUUAUAUAUAUGCCACCUUCAGUGGCUUUUUCCAAAUAGCAUAAGGCACCUUGUAAGAUAAUAUUAUUUAACAACUAAAAGAACUUAAAUUGUGUUGGAACAUCCUCAUGAGCUUUACUGGAUUCAUACUAGUAAGGAUGAUACUCCCUCUGCCCAUUAAUGGUAGGCAUUUUUUUUAUUUAAAAGCAUCAAGUUUUGACCAACAAUCAGCCAACUGCAUCAAUACAUUCGCUUCAGAUGAUAUGAUUAUGUAGAAAUCGACCAUAUACUGAGAAAAUAAAAGUCAAAAUCUACUAUUGCAGACUUUCUUCUAAAAAGUGUUGAUGGAAAAGAGUACUAACUUACUAGUGGAAUGAACCGCUGAUAAUGGAAAGUUAGAAAUUUGGUUGGACACAGAAAGUGCAUGACCACUACAUAUUAGAGAUUAGAGAACAUAAGCAAAAUGUGACUAUUGAACCCACCACAACUAGUGUUAUGCAGAAGGUCAUCUACCAAGACCUUGCUAUUUCUGCUGGUCUAUUUCCAAAAAUAAUAAUAACAUGAAAAACAGUUUUACCUUCACCAACAUACUCGAUUACAAAGUCACCUCUCUCCAAUGGUUCCAACGCAACAGCACCCCAUCCACAUCGCUUUGUCUGUAAAGGAGAAGUGUUGCUAUGGUUAUAAUGAAAUAAACUAAAGCCAUCUUUGACAAGUAAAAUGCACAAGUAAACCCAACUCUCAGAAAAUAGUCACUCUCACUGAAGCAGGUCAGCUCUACUGCCCAGAUGAAGGUGCAAACUUGCAGGUGUGAGGUGUCUGAUUCUUUUGUUUCAUUGAACCAAGUGAUCUCCACAUGAUGCCAGGUCAAUUUCACAGACCACACUAUCAAUGGCACAUGUUUUCACAUCCAAAAAUAAAUACAAAAGGAAAUUCAGGUUUGAAUGGACAGGGUUUACUUUGGCAGCAGAAGGUAAGAAACCAAAGAUCAGGAUCAGGAUCAUCAUCAUGGUUUGAGUCAAGGUGAUCCACUUUCCCCAUUGCUUUUCAUUCUAGUUAUGGACGUCAUCAAUUUGGUCCUUGCCGCAGAGGCAGGUUUACUGCAACCACUUUCACCUGGACUCUGAGCAUUAGGAUCCAUGUACCCUACAUUGCACGGAUAUGUGACUGAGGGAGCAUAUCGCGUAUCGGAUACAUGUCUGGUACGGAUACGCAGCCGAUACGUACCAGCGCAGUAUCCGAUUUUUUCUUAAUUUCACGAAUUUUGAGUACGUUUAUGGAUACGUAUCUGUGUAUUGGAUACGGUCGAGCUCAACAAACAAUGUUCCCUUAUCUCCCUCUGUCCUUGACGCCCUAGCCCCCAACGGACGCACUUCGUGCAGUCGCGCCACCUCCAGCGAACGCGCGCACGGACGCCUCGUCCUUGCUCGCCGCUCACAGGCGACGGGUCUCCGCCCCCGCUUGCCAGCCGCCAACGAUGAGCCUCCGCUCCCGCUCACUGGAGACAGCCUCCACUCCCACGCACAGCCUCCUGCGCAGGGGAUGUGCCACCAUUUGCUAGCUGCCAUAAUGCCAUCGCCGAGCCUCCGCCCCCUCCGUGCCAUCAAUCAACUUCUCCUCCAGACCCCUGCGCCAAGAAGCACCCACCAGUCCACCACGGCCGCGACCAGCUCCAGUGAUCAAAGGGAUGCAGGGAAGAGGAUGAUUCAGCAGCAAAGCAACCUAUCUACUGUCUACUCUACUUCUGCAUGUACAUCAUCUUCCCCGUUCUUGAUCUACUCUACUUUUGCAGUUAUUAUUGCUUGGUUUUGUCUGUUCCCCACUUCCCCUUCUUGAUUAGUGUUGCCCAUGCUUUAUUGCUUCAUUGCUCACAUGCAGUAGAUGGCCUCUCCAAAAUUGGUAGUGCUGGCACAAGCUGAGUGGUAAUGCUGAUCUUAGCAUAGGACCUGUGGGCUGUGGCUACCAGCCACAAUCACAACAGAGAACCGACAUUAGGGCUCUCCUGUUUGUAACUUCCUAGUUAAGACUUUUAGUAAUUGAGCAUUCAUCCAGAUCCAGUAUAUAUGGUUGUACUUGGAUCUCCUGUGAAACAAGGAACCUACAAGGUGACCUAGUGAUAUAUCAAGUAUGAUUGUAUGUAUCAAACUAAUGAUUAGUGAUUAUUACUUAAGUUUUAGAUUUUCACAAUUUUAAUUUGUAUUAUUAUUUAUAGUUAAACGUCUCCGCGAAUCAUGUUUUCUAGAAAAUUGCAGUAUCCGUGUAUUCGUAUCCUUCUGAUAUGGAUAUGCGUAUCUGUAUCCGUGCUGCAUAGCAUGUACCCUGAAGAGGUGGUGUUAUGCUUUAGUCCAGUCAUGAAGGAGCUUGAAGCUAUACAGGAGAUUAUUAAUUGACUUGGAGCAAUUUCGGGUCUUAAAACUAAGAUCAACAGAUGUUCAGCUAACCCUAGCCUGACUCCUCCGGUGGACAUUGAUACAAUAAGAAAUACUAUGCCAUGAGCUAUUGCUGAAAUUCCACGCGCCUACCUAGGCCUACCACUUUCAGUCAAGAAGCUUACUUAGGUUGUUCUCUAAUCCUUGUCAACAGGGAGCAGGUCAGCUACCCAUUGGAAGGAUGCACUGAUCAACCCCACUGGUCAUAGGGUUCUCACAGCCAUACCUACCUAUCAUAUGAUGGCUCUAAAUAUUUCACGAUGGGUGAUCAAGUCUGAGAAACUAUGGUGUGUUUUCCUGCAGCAAGAAAGAAAGGAAAGGAGGUAAAUGGUGGCCAUUGCCUCCUAACAUGGAGCAAAGUUUGUGUGCCAAUGAGAAUUCAUAAUUUAGAAUUGCGCAGCCGGAAUCUACACAUGACAUGCCUCUGGAUACAGAAAACUGGACCUCACCCACCAUGGGUCACAGUUUUGGGGUGCCGGUUCCAUCACCAGUCCUCGGCUCUGCUUUCUAUCUAGGUCAGCACCAAAGUGGCAAUGAUAACUCUACAGAUUUUGGACAGACCAUUGUCUUUGGGAAAAUCCCUCACUCGAUCUGGAUGUUGGCAAUGGAAUUAGUCAACAGAAUAGAGUUUCCAAAUCAAUGACAUGCUGAAAUGGUAUUGGACUGCAAUUCAGUUUCCACACAAUCUCUUUAAAUUGCCACUCGAGAAUCAGAAACUGGAUCCAUACCUCAUCUUCCUCUUGGCCACUGAGGCCCUCCACGCCCCAGCUCAACCCUACCAUGUGUCAGCAACCCCUGCCCCUGCCCCCCUCGCUGCCCCUCUCCGUGGCAGCGAGCCCCACCCCCUCCGCGCCGUGCAACCCCCGUAUGAGGGUGAAGCAGCGAUGAGAGCCUACCCACGGGAUCCCUAUCGCAGUCACCUUGGUGUGGAGCUCUCUAGUGGCAGCAUUGAUUCCAGCCAAUACCGAGCUCCAUAGGUCUGUAUUGGGAGCAUGUUGUUCUGUGGUGUGAGAAUACCGUGUGGAAUUGUGAGUCAAAUUCCAAGAUCCAAUUCUAGAACAUCCAAGCGUGUGGUAUUGAAGAUGUACAAUUCCAAUUCCCCAAUUUCAAGCCGAAUACCAACAUCCAAACAGGGUGUGAUCAAGGAAUUGGCACCAUACGGAUUCAGUUUGGUGCCUAAGCGUAUUGCUGGGUGCACUGUGAGCCAAGCGGUAUCUAAUAACUCAUUAGUGGGGGAUCUCAGGGGAACCAUCACAAUCCGUGUCCUUGAGCAGUACCUGCAUAUGUGGGACCUUAUGGCCAAGGUGGAGCUGCGCUAGGAGGUGAAGGGGACAUAUCUGGUCUGCUAGGCUUAUUCUCCAUGGCUGCAUAGGAUUUGAACAGUGGGAGAGGUUGUGGAAAUCUUGGGUGCCUCGACCGGGGAAUUCCUCAUAUGGCUUUUUUCUCCUUGGAGUAUGUUGUUUUCUUUAUAGUGCGUAUGGUUUCUGUUUUGCUUUGUUGGAUUUCUCCAGGCUGUUUUGUACUUUCUUUCUCCUUAAUAGUUAAUAUAGUGACGGGUAAGAAAAAGAAGAAACCUUAGAGCAUGUUGGAUGAGGGGAUUUUGUACUUAAUCUUAAGGGGUUGGAUCCAAACUUCCCGAUCCUUGAUGCAUUGAGCAAUGUUUAAAAAAUAUAUUGGCUCUUGCACUAGCUAGAAGCCUGAUACCUAAGGUAACGGUAACACUGCAUAUGACCUUUUAAUACAACACCUAAAUAAAUCAGUGUUUCAAGGAUUACGCAACAAUGCAUAAACUCUCGAGUCUUGAGAAAGAAAGAACUUCAACUUGAAAAAUUUGGAAACUAACAUCAAAACAUGCAACACUAUUAUGCACAUAUAAAGAAAAUAAGUAGGAGCGAAUACAUUGGUGCACAUAAGUUCCUAGAAAAAUGAAGAACAUCACUGACAAGAAAGCUACCUUCACAAUUUUAAUUUUCUUAUCCUUGCGGAAUGGCCUGUUUGUACAUAGAUCUGAGCAGCGGCAAUUCUUGGAACAACUCGUAGAAAUACCCCUGAUAAGUCAGAAAAUAAAUUUAAAUAAUUAUGUUGGAGGAAAGUACACAAGUAUGGAUUCUAUAUACAUCAUACAUAACUUUAUAAAGGAUUAUGCUAACUUCUUCAUCAAAUAUUAGCAGUAGAUGAGUGCAAGCAUCCAUAAUAUGCACAACUGGCAGUGUCACUGUUCAGCUAAUAUGGCACUGUAUUCACUUAGCAUAUGAUACGGAAAACAAUAUGAAUGAUUGCUAAGUAGAUAUUCAAACGUUUAAACUUAGGCCCAAGUUAAACUGCAGGAAUACUAUAGUAGUCCAAGUGAAGUGAAAACCAUGGGGUUAAAACCACACGAAAAUUAUGGGUAGCAGGAUUAUUGCCGUGAUCUUACAUCAGCAAGAUGAUAAACGAUGUUGGAAUGAAGGUUCAGAUUACUGUGGAAUUCUUCCAAAAUCAAAGAGAAAGGAACCAUAUCUAGUUUCUUUUAUGGACUACGAUGUUUCAAACACUCAAAUAGUGCUCGGUUAUAUGGUAUGGAAAAUCCUCGUCCACCAGUGAUAAUCAUAUAUUCCAAACCGCCUUAACAUAGCCUUAAUAGCAUGGUAACAUGGGAGUGAGCAUGCUCUAAAGUGCUGUCAUUUAAACAGUUUAUAUGCCACGAGUUCCCACAAAACACAAGGUACCAAACAGCAUAUAGUAACAGUGUACUCGAAGUGACAUCUGGAUUUUGUGCAAGUUUCUUGCAACCCAGGCACAAUACCUAAACAAUGUAAGUGCACUUUAGGGGAAAAGCAACAAUAAAUACUACAUAUUUAAUUCAAUUCAGCUCUGUAGUGUUGAUAUAAAAAAGAUGGCACAUGUUUACGCUCUCUUUUGGUAAUAUGAUUCCAGUUCCACAUUUAAAAGACAGUUUUGCACAAUAGACAAAAGAAGUUGACCUGUGGGGGGGUAAGACAGCCCCCAGGUAUUUUGCUAAGAAGAAGGCCUUCUCAUGCAGGUUAAGACCCCGUGCCCCCCCCCCCCCCGGAACAAAAUCCCCUUGUUUGGCCCACCCAUACACAGCGGCACCGUAGCACAUUUGAGAACCAUGACCUAGGCUGGAACUUAAGGCAUGUUGCUUUGGCGUGGGGCAAACAAGGGGAUUUUGUUACUUAUCACCUUCUUCUCCAGUCUUACCGUCUGUAACGCUCCCGCUGUGACUGCGGGGGGAUGUUAGAGUACAUAGGACUAACACAAACCAUACGGUUGGGGCCCUCUCUCUUGUACGCUUGGUAUUGGCAACACCGACGCGUGCUCUCGUCCCCAACGUGUUGCUGGAUCUGACAAAUCCAGCUGCGCCUCGGUGCUCAGGCGGCUUGACUGCAUCGACUUCGGCAUCGACCCUCCCGUUCCUACCCCGUCUGCCUCGAUUGCGUCGUCGCCCUUCUUCUACGACGGUCCUGAUUGCAUCGACUUCGGCAUCGCCCCCUCCCACGACGACUGCCUCUACGCGUCUCCGUCAUUACCAUGGCGCCUCUUGUGUGCCUGCAGCUCCAUCGACACGCAACCCAACCACAACUACGUCGACCUCGGCCAUCUUCAGCACGCUAUUGUGCCCUUACGCUCGACUACCUCGACAUUGGCAGAAAGGGCUACCGCCUUGCAUGAGGACUCAUCGGCUCCAGCCACAGCAUACGCGGCGCAUCAACUAUUAUGACUGCGGGGGGAUGUUACUUAUCAGCUUCUUCUAUAGUCUUAUCGUCUGUAGCGCUCCCGCUGUGACUGCAGGGGGAUGUUAGAGUAAAUAAGAAUAGCACCACAUUGUGUAUCCACAUAAGGUGUUAGUCCUAUGUACCCUAUAUAAUCAGCCCAUGAGGCCCAAUGCAAUAUAUCAAAUAUUUCACCAAUUAUAUUCUCCUUCAGAUUUUUAUAACCCCAGACUGAAAUUCACCACAGGAGGUCGGACCCAGGACCUGAGGAGUGCUACUAGAGCCACCUAACCAACUCAGCUAGAGGCCCAACCGCACAGUUUUGCACAAUAUUCAUAUGUCUUUGGCAUGUUGCAACAGAGUAAGAAAGAACACCUGCAUUCACAGUCUUCUUUGCAAGUAGAAUCAGCCCUGCAGUUUGUGCACCCAAUAUCCACACGAACACUAGUGCGCUUCUUCUUUAUCAGAUAUACAUCUUUUACUAAUUAAGGAAAUAACCAUGAUGUACUUGUAUUGAAAUGAAAAGCAGACAAACACAAGGAUAAUCUAACUACACAGCUGCAGAAGCAUAGAAAUCAUUUAGUAAAGCGUUAUGCUUUAGGAUACUGCGCCUGAUAGAUGUAUAGGGGGGUGGCUUGUAAACAGCCUGAGCAUACUCUGCAAGGGUUGACUCAAUAUUUAAGUCUUCGUUAACAUAUGGAAGAGGUAGCCGGCAGAACACUUCCUAUCAAAUAAACAUGUAGUGUAGGCAUCAAUAUAAAUUGCGAAGGAAUUCAUCUUGAUGAGAUAGUGGUACUUGUAGUUGUACUAGACAAAGGAAGACAAGUCAAUUGAUUUUUUUUCCUGACGCUUUACAUCAUCAGAAAGUCAGAAACUUAACCAUGUUCCCUGUCAAAUAUUUAUUUUACCAAGCAUUCCAUUCUUGUCACUAAGUACUUCAAAUUAGCUAAGCAAAAAAUAGCCUAUCAAUUAUGUCAGAUGAAAUAUAUAGAAGAAAAGAUGGCAAAGGUACAAUUAUGUCACGCAUGCACUCACCUCUAUACUGUUGGUAAAGUCAGCACUCUGUCACCAGCAAACAAAGUAUUCCUGUCAGGCACCUCAACCAUUACAAAAAUAUUAACAAAAGGGCAUGUGGGAUGCAUUGCAAUAAAAUUGUCCAAGCUAAACCUCAGAGGUAACUUAUUUUUAUUAAGUAUUAAUCUUCCAAAGAUCUAAAGAUGAAACAAAAAGAUAGUUGAAAUUGAUGGAGGAAUAAGCACUGGGUGUAAAAAAAGACAAUGACUAGAUUAAAUUAGACUGGAUAAGCUCUUCUUGCCUAUUUCAUAUAAUGACAACAUGAAGUGACCAAUUUUAAGGGAAAAAGGAUAGACCUCAUUUUGCAGCAGCCAAUCAGAAGUAUGCCUCCAGCAAAUUGCACUUCCUUGAUUAUCUUUUAGAUGAACCACUGGCCAUGGUGCACAUUUCGUAUGUGCUGCAACUGUACAACGUCCGCAGCGCCAAAAGAACAUCUUUUGCUUACAAACCAUACACCCCUAAUAGGAGACAGAAAACUAAAUGAUGUCCAUAAUGAUCAAGCAAUGGAACCAGUCCAAGCACAGGAAUUGAAAUACAACAUGACCUAAAAACAAAAUACAGGUUUGUAUCUUAACCAUUGACUGUAUCUACUUAACAAUUUUUCAUGCCUGCAAUAUCAGACCCCCAAAGUUUAUUGCAGAAAAACCUCUAUCAUUGUCACGGUUAUGAUAUUUACAAUGCACUCUGUGUUCCUUACCUUCGGACCAAUAAAUCUUACAAUUGUAUACUGAACAUAGCAUGCAUUGAUGAAAAAGGAAAUAGCUAAAGAAGAGUAUAUUACAAUUAUAGGACACUGGAGUAUAGUAAUCAGAGAAGUUUAAAAUUAAUAUUCUGUUUAGACUUCUCUGUAGAUUUAGUGAAAUGUUACAUGUUCCACGAUACAAAGUAACACAAACUUAAAAGUGCACCAUGCCAUAAAAUAGGAACUUACUAUUAGGAAUUGGAUACGUCGAAUCAGUGGAAUGUGGUAUUCUUCAAACUAAUAUCUUUAUUAUCUCUUCUCUCACAUACAUAUGUCUCAAGGCUAUCUGAAGCUAGCACAACACUCUUUCUAGCUUUCUAACUAGCUUCAAUCUACAUACAGAUCAAGGCUAUCUGAAGCUAGCAACCCUUGUAUAUAAUCUAAUUUACUAAAUUACCUACAAAGGAGCUCAGCGUGUCAUUAUAUAGGCCAUUUGGGUUGGUUUGCUAAGUAAUCGACCUUACAUGUACAGCACGUGCUAUACAAAAAUGCUAGCUAAUAGUCAAUUUCAUGCUAUACAAAAAUGCUAGCUAAUAGUCAAUUUCUAUUUUACUACUUCUUCCUUUUGCUGAACUCCAUAGACUGUCCCUCAAUUCACAGUUCAUGGUGCAUGAACAAUCCAGUAGCUUUUAGUAGUAUCAAUCACCUCUUAACUAGCAAAAUUCAAUAUGCUUUUAACUUGCACCUUUCCAACUCAAACUUCAUGAGUCCAGUUUCACUUCUUCCUUUUCUUUGUCACAUAUUUCAUUUCUUUGGACUUCGCUAGAAACGUCAAGGAUCAACUAGUGUAUAGCACCCACUAAUCAAAUUAUUUUUUCUCGUCUCAAGAAAAUAAAUUAAUUCCAACACUUACAUGUUGAGGGCACCUGAAGCUUUCAGCAGUGAAGUUUGAAGUAUCUUUCACAACACAGCUGAGAUGGAACAUCAGUAGACAUUUUUUAACUGAACAUUUUAUUUCUUCUCCAGCAUAAAUAAUCUUGGAGCACGAACGGCAUUCAACCUUUGCACAAAUGAAGAAGGUAUUAGAUGCUAAGCAGAUGAAAAGGGGGGAAAACUGGAUCCUAACUUCCUAAGUCAACAAACAAGAUUAAUUACUAACACUGGUAACAGUUAUAAGUCAUUUUAGAAUUUCCUAAUAAUCAAACUUUUCACUUUGACCAUCAAUAUAAUAAAAUAGAUAGACUAACAAGGUAAGAUUGAUGUCAGCAGAUUCAUCAUGAAAGGUACUUUCAUACAUACGAUUGUGUUUAUGUUCAACAACAUCAACAUCAACAAAACCUUAACGCUUGCGUUUAUGUUAGGUAUAAAAUUUUAAUAUAAAUUGCCAGUCAAAGUUCCAUAUUAUAGAUAGUACCAAUGUCCUAAACAACCUAUAUUUAUGACAGCGGAACAACUUCAUGAUUAAUGAACAGCAGCUUCAGAUUUUAACUAAUAGACAAUACCAAGGACAAUGAGUUUUUAAGAAACAAAGCAAUUCAGAGGUGGAAACUUUAUAAAAUGGUUGCGCACUUUGUAUCUAGGGGAUCGUGUCCACUAACGGAUUUAGUAUGUUGGAUCUUACAAAACAAAUCAUGUAUGUAUUGCAUAAAGAAAUAAGCUAACUGUUAUCCUGCAAAAUAUUAUAUAGAUGUCAAGAAAUAAAAUAGAAAGCAUUGUUUAUUAUGUGAUUAAAGUACCACUUGUGUUUCUUGAAACAUAAUAUAACAGAUUAAUUUGAAAUUGAAGUUCUUUCAAGUUUCUUUAACUCCAUGUACUAUGCACAUGAGUUUUUAGAAUAUAUUAAAAAAAUCACAACAUUUUGCAUUAGUAGUAUUUUAGCUGGUGGGGACACUAGAACCCUGGUAACCAACACAUUUUCUAUAUUUUUGGCUAUCAUUGGGUUGCACAUUUAGCCAACCCAGCUUGCUUCAGACUAAAGGCAAAUAGGCAAUGUUAACCCACAUGGUUUCUACUCCCUCGCUAAAACUCUUUUGAAUUUUGUGGCUUUUCAUGACCUCUUACUCUUGGAGGAAACAGAGUAAUAGAUAUCAUCAUGACAGAGAUGUAAAUCUAUUACAUAAAUAUUAUAGCAUUUUAAUGACAAAUAUACUAGCACUAUGUUUGAUGUGACUAAUGUACAUAAUUAAAAAUAUGCCACCAAGGUAAAGAAGAAAAAAACUGAUUGCAAACUGUCCAUAGCGUCUUAAGUCUCAAAAUAAGUGAUUAAUGGGAGUGAAAUGUGCAACGAACACACAUAAUGAGUUCCUAUACUCAUAGCUCAAGUGCAGAUACAGUUGUUGCCACAAUGCUAAAGAAUUUCCCGGAACGACCUGAACUGCACAAACUCAUUACCAGCUGCAUUUUGCUUGAUCCGCCCAGACAUAAGAAUCGAGUUAAAUGGGAAUUCGAAGUAAGGAAAGAAGAUAUUGGUCCAUCAACGCGAAGCGCUUCGACCCAAAAUCCUUACCGCUUUUGGCGCCCCGGUGAGGAAAGGCAGCACGCAGUGGUGAGCCGGAACACCGGCCGCUGCCUUCUUAGCCGCCCACUCGCUCACGCGUUCCUCGAGAGUCGGAGCCGAUGCUGAAGACUGCGUCCGCGCCGGUUCGAGUGACGGAAUCAGGGACAAGUUCUUCCCGCCGCCGCGCCGCGCGGCGGGGCAAGCGGUUACAGCGCCCGUGUCCGCGCCCGCCACGUCGAAGGUGCGGACACGGCUCCUCCACCGGCAUUCCGCUGGGAUAAUGAGGUCGACGCUGCCGCCGCCGCCCACAGUGGCGGACGACGACGCGUACGCGGGCGCCGAAUCGGCGGCGGCGGCGGCGGCAUCCUCGGCGUGGUCGACGGUGAGGGUCCCCGCGUCGAGGGAGAAUUCAGGGAAGGGAGGGAGGUAGCCGGUGCUCAGAUCCGGCAUGGCCGCCGGGGGACAGGGGCUGUGGACUAGGGUUUGGAGGGCAUUGGGGCUGGUCGGAGACGUGGAAAUGGAACGAACGAAGACGUGAACCGGGAGGGAGAGGACUCCCCGACCUCGAGUCUCGCCAGAAUUGGGAGAGCGAAGCUGCGAAAGAAAUGGACCUUUUCGGCUUUUCGAAUUUUUUUUUUCACAUGAGAAAUGCUAUACAGCGAUGUUUUGGAGAAAUCCAACGCUCAAAAUUUCUCUUCAUCUUCUCCGGGGCCGAUGGUCCUAUAAAUUAGGCGCUGAUCAGACACAACUAUAUAAUAUAAAUAUUGUAAAACUUCUAGUAAUAAUGUAUCGUUGUACUUUCUUAAAAUUGCUAGAAAAUUUAUGAAAUGCUUAUGGUCCUAUAAUAUGCUGAAGAUUCAAUUCUUAGAUUUUCGUGUCCAAGUGUUUGUGGGGCUAAAAUUAGCUCAUAAUAUGUUGAAGCUUGAUAUGGGUCAACUUUUCUACCUAUGGUUUUGUUAGUUGGAUAAAAAGGUAGACUCAACGGAUUUGUGGAUAGGUCUGGCUCUAUAGCUCAUAAUAUGUUGAAGCUGGAUAUGGGUCAACUUUUCUACCCACCAAUUCUCCAGGUGAGUUGCAAACCAAGAGAAAUGCAUAAGAGGAUCAGGAAUGCUGCUAUUUGCCCACCGAGGGAAAUGCUGCUAUUUGCGGCAUAUUCUAUUUUUUGGCAAUUGGCAACAAUUCAAAUGAAGUUGUCUUUCAAAAGCAAAGAUAAAAUUGUCUUUCAAAAAUAAAGUGAAAAAUACAAUUUAAAUAAAUUUGUCAGCCUGCCUCCCAACUUAUAUAGUGAUUAUGUCUUCAUAAUUAAUAUAUAGCCUACCUCUCAACCCCACCCAUAUAGCCCUAGCACGAUUGUAAAACUUAGCACUGUAAUGUCUCGGCAGUGUGGACUUAUAGCCUUAUAGCAUUAUAAGUCAACCAUAUAGCAUCAACUUGAUCAAAUGACUUGUUAUAGCUUAGUGGUAAGUGGCCAGGAAUUUGGGAGGGAGGACUGAGUUCCAUUCCUAUAUUAAUUCGCUCUAUUUUUUUCAUAGUAUGUAGCCUUGAGUUUUCUUUCUCAUAUUAUGCGGUACAUAUUUCUGAGUUUAUUUCAUACAAAAGUUAGAUUCAGGCACCAUGUAAUAAUAUCCAAACAAGACAAUAGAUGCAUCAAAAUUUCAUCUAUCCACAAACAGAUAAUAAAAAUAGAAUGAAAUAUGAGUCUUCACUAAGAGCUUCGACAUUGAAAAUUAUGACUUCAAACACUUUCCAGUGGCACUGUUAUGUAAGUUCCAUUCGGCUCAAGUACUCAAUCGGAGAUCCAGCUUCAGUCUCAUUGCUCGGCCCUGUCAGCAAGUUUGUGUCCAAUCGGUAUAUAUUAUCACAAAUUCGAUGUGGCUUCUACAUUGAGAUAUUGAACAUAAUUGACAAAGAGUCCACGAGUGAAAAACAUAUUGAAACCAAUACCGAAAGUAUAAGUCGAUGGUUUACUGUACAUGCUUCCUUCAGCAGCUCUUAGACUCAUCCAGGAAAACUCCUGGAGGCAAUUAUGAUGUAGCGAAUCACCACAACAGUUCUGCAAAACAAGGUUCAGAAGAUUGAUAGUACCAACCUAAAUCAACAAUAUCAAUGCACUGAAUAAUGGCAACUUCAAUGAAAAUUGUCAUAAUCAAUACUUCUUAAUUCUUAUCAUCUUGAAAGGAUGAGGUUCAGAUUUCUUAUCAGCACCUGUUAGGCCCUAGGGACCUUAGGGUGUAGUGGUGUGAGGUGGAAGGCCGUGGCUUGAAUGCCCGGCGACGAGGAGGAGGCGUCGUGCUCGGCGCCUGAGUAGUUGGGAAGAGAAGAGGCUAGCUGGGAGCCCAAAGGAGAUAAAUCUCAAUCCCAGGCUGAAAUCUUUAUUAACUGAAUUGUUCCAUACUUAUACUCAAUCCUAACAUACCUCUUAGCUACUUUUAAGAAAAUAACCAACUAAUUCUCCUAUUUUACUAGCUUCAUGGACAUCGGGCUGGCUGGUGACCACGCACCAGCUAUUCAGCGUGGCCCCCUAGUCAGCCACGACGCUGAUACACUUUGCCCACCAUAACAUCUCUCCCUCUCUUGAGAAACAGCUCGUCCUCGAGCUGGAAGUCCGCGAAGCGAGCCUUGAAGUCGUCGACGUGCUCCCACAUCGCGUCGGAGUCCGUCAUGCCGGUCCACUGGAUGAGCACAUGCCACACCCCUCGGCGAAGCUGGGCACGCACUGCACAUGCUGGCUGAUGCAGUAAGCGCCCAUUGUGAAGAGGAGGCAGGACCGGUGGUGUAGACGGCGACUGUCCCCGGAAUGGCUUGAAAACACCCACAUGGAACACAUCAUGUAUGCGGGCACCCUUAGGAAGACGAAGCCUGUAGGCGACUGGACCAACGCGCUCCGUGACCUCGAACGGCCCGGCGUAACGCGGGCUGAGUUUGCCACGAAAGCCAGACAGCAAAGACUGCGCCGGAUGAUGUAGGAGGCGAAGAAGCACCCAAUCCCCCACACUAAACUCCAGCGGACGAUGCUUGGCGUCGUAGUACUUUUUGGCAUAAGCUUGGGCUUGGAGAAGCCGAUCUCGCACUUCAGCCAGGAAAGCGUCGCGGUCCCGGAGAAGAGCAUCCACUGACUCCGUGGCAGCAGACCCUGCUGCGUAUGGCAGCAAGGUAGGAGGAGGCCGCCCGAAUACCACCUCGAAUGUUGUCGCCCGCAGCGCCGAGUGGUAGGACGUAUUAUAGCAAUAUUCAGCCCACGGAAGCCAUUCCAGCCAUUUGCGUGGGCGAUCACCAGUAAGGCACCUGACAUACAUAGCAAUAAUCUUGUUAAAAAUUUCCGACUGGCCAUCGGUUUGUGGGUGAAAUGUCGUGCUCAUCCGGAGCUGCACACUCGCCAUCUUAAAUAGAUCCCGCCAGACAUGACUCGUGAACACAGGAUCACGGUCGCUGACGAUGGACAUUGGAAAACCAUGGAGGCGCAUGAUGGCGUCAAAGAAUGCUUUGGCCACCGUUGCUGCUGUAUAUGGGUGGCUCAACGGAAUGAAGUGUGCAUGCUUCCAGAAGCGAUCAACAACCGUCAGGAUCACGUUCUUGCCAUUGACGCGGGGCAGCCCUUCAAUGAAGUCAAGCGAGAUAUCUGCCUAGACUUGAGAAGGCACCUCGAGGGCUGGAGAAGGCCGGCCGGAUGGAGCGCUUCUGUUUUGUUAUGCUGGCACACAACACAUGUGCUGACCAGGUCCUGUACCAAACGACGAUCGUGGUCGAUGAAGAAGUCCCGACGCAGCCGCUGGAGCGUCUUCUGGAUGCCUUCAUGACCGGCAUGGGCCAGUUGUAGGACUACUGGCAGCACUGUCGAUGAUACUCGCACGACAACACAGGUGUCGUGCAGCACCAAGCCGUCGACGACGCGCCACAGGGCGCCCUGCUCAGCCACGACUCCAUUGCGGUAAGCUCACAGCGUCGGAUUCUCCUGAAGUUCACGGCGUAGGUCGUCGUACAGCCGAAAAGACAGCAUGCUGGUCGUAGCAAGGCACGCAUCCUCAUCCUCCCCGUGAGAAAGGGCGUCGGCGACUGUAUUGAGCCGACCCGGGCGGUACUCCACACUGAAAUCAUAGCCAAAUAAUUUGCUUACCCACUGAUGUUGUGGCACGGUGGAAAGGCGCUGAUCAAGUAUGAACUUGAGAGCGUAGUGGUCAGUUCGAACGAUGAAAGAUCGGCCCCAAAGAUAGGGACGCCAACGGUGCACCGCCUGCUCCAGUCCGAUAAGUUCGCGCUCAUAAGCCACAAGCUUCAUAUGACGUGCUGCAAAUGGCCGGCUAAAGAAGGCGAGCGUGCCAUCACCUUGAUGGAGAACUACACCGAACCCUGAACCGGAGGCAUCACAGUCGACGGUGAAGGGUUUGGUGAACUCCGGUAGCUGUAAAACUGGUGCGCCGGAUAGGGCCCGUCUGAGGGAUUCAAACGCCUCUGUCGGUAUCGAAGACCAUAGGAACCCAUCCUUUUUGAGCAGCUGAGUCAGUGGGGUUGCUAUGGAACCAAAGUCCUUGAUGAACCGGUGAUAGUAACUAGUCAGCCCCAAGAAUCCACGGAGGCCACGCGCUGAUCAUGGUUGUGGCCAGGUAGUAAUUGUGGAGACCUUGUCCUGAUCCAUGGUGUCACACCCGGAUGUAAGAGAGCAUUCGGGUGCCAAAUCACAUGUGCGCCAGGAUCUCAAAUUCACACACAUGGACCGACAUCAUCAAUGGUACAACACACAGUGUUCAAACGAAUUACAUAAAUGAGAAUAAACGUACCAUUAUUACAAGCCAGAUGUUUAUCAAAGUGCGAAGGGGAAACAUAAGCUAAAUUGUUCCAUAAAUAAAGGGGAAACUAAACGCCGACGUAGCAGGACCACCUUGCCACAGGAAGGUCGACGGCAGAACCACACGAGCCUAACAACCAGGAGACUCAGGGUAGUCCUCAGGGAAGUCGCAAUUGUACUUCUGAUCGUCCGAGCAACCUUUAAUGAUUAUAGCAAGAGUGAGCUCAUGUCGAACUCAGCAAGCACAGACGGAAAGUAAAUGACAUGCAAGGCUUAAAACAAGGUAAAGCUGACUCGGUUUGACUGCGGUAGCAUUUUAAUUGAUCACUUUUAAUUAUGACAAUUAUUAGAACAACCUAUUACUAAUUAUGAGUAGUAUAAACCCAACCCUUAAUUAGUGUAAGUAGUAAUUAGCAUCUUUUAAAAGACUAUCCUAAUUAUUAUAGUAAUCCAGGGAUUAACCCCAAUUAUUAACACAGGAUAGCAAUCCUGCCAACACGGAAUAGCCAUUCCGCCAAAACACGAGGUAGCAACCUCGUCAAGUUCCCUCUCCAAGUAUCCAGUGUAUCCAAUUUGCUCAUCAAGUGAGGGUCUGAGCCGCUCGUGACCGUGAGCACGGCUGAUAUAUCAGUUUUACACUCUGCAAAGGUGUGCACGUUCACUCCAAGUCGUGAUUCCCAUUUGCCCGGGGUCGCGACUCCCCAAAACACUACCAAGGUGAGCAGGCAGGGUUUCACUACGAGACCUUUCACAGGGUCCAACUAAUAGGAUGCCACUCGUAAGUUUUUGCCGGGGCGCGCGGCAGCCGUGCCCAUAGCAAUGGGACCCCGAACUGACCGACCUCUUAAUAUGAAUACCCAAGCUACAUUCCUUACGCCUACCCGGAAAGUAACACCCUACCAGUGGAGGUCGUGCUAAUUAGUCAAGCCAGAGCCCAUAUAGCUUGGAGCUGCACUGUAAGUCCCAGGGGGCCGCUCCCUGACUAAGUCCUUACGGAGAGCAGAGACGGGUACGCCCGGCAAACCGGACCACCAACGGUACCCGCUCCCCCUUUCACCACCAUCAUCACGAUGCUCGUAAGCAUCCAUCAUCGCCAUCACCAUAGUGACCAAAGGUUCAGCACAAUUUAAGCAUCAAGUUGAGUAGAGAGUAAUUCUUGUUUAAACAUGUGUAUAAGAUGAGUAGGGCAGCUAAGCAAAUCUAGUAUGGCCUAGUCUACCCAUAUACAUAACCCCAGGUGAACAAGAAAUAGUAAGUAAAGCUAGUCAUGUCCUUAGGAUUUUGCAUUCAUUGGACACAUGCAUAUAAAGUAAAUGACAUUAAUGAGUAGGUUCAAAAUGAUCAAACGGUGUCUGCACUUGCCUUGAUCGAAGUCGGGUUGCUCGAACUCAGCGGGAUCCUGAACCUCUUCCUUCACAAACGUCUCGUUGGCUAUACGCGACAAUCAUCAAUCAUAGGAACAAUACAUGCAAGCAAACAAACUUAAUCAGAAACAGUACACCAAAACAUGCGAAAACAGAAAGCAACUGCACUACUGUAAUCUACUCGACGAAACGAAACCAUAGCGACCAGAAUCACCUAAAUCGGAGUUACGAUGCAAAAGUUAUGGCUAAAACAAGUUGAAUGGCAUUUCUGCAGAUAAACUGAACUAUUUUUCGUAAUUAAAACUAAUUAAAACUGAAUUAAAACUCAUUUUGGAUUAAAUAAACAAAUUCUAACCGAGCCAGGGGUUAAACUGCAAAAACUAAGAGCAUAAACUUAAAUAUUUUUGAAAGAACUGGACUGCGGGUUGAUUUUGAAUAAGCCCGAGGGCUUUUCUGCAAAGCGGCAGGGGCGUGCGGGCUGGCCAGCUUGGCUGGCCACGUGGCGGCCGGUGAGUGGCCGGUCCACAGCACUAUGCUGUAGACCGGGGCGCGGGGCAGGGCGGCCGCGGUCCAUGGGGGACCGCGCCUGCGGGAGAGGCGUCGGCGGCGGCGUGGACCCGGUCCACGUGGACCGGCCGCACGGGGGCGCAGGGCCGCGGUCCACGGUGGACCGCGCGCAGGGGCGGCCGGCGGGCGGCGGUGGCGCCAUUGGCGCCGCCCGGAGCUCGCCGCGGCGGCGGUUCGGGGCGCGGGGAGGCGAGCCAAGGGCACCGGCGGGGUCGGCACGACGAGGCGAACGCGAUGACGGCCUCACCUCCGCGAAACGAUGACGGCAAAGAGAAGCUCGACGGCGGCGGCGCGGAUUUCGACGAAAACGGCGGCGGCGCUGCGAACUUGCGGCUCGGGGUUUGCGCUAGGGUUUUGGGGGGGGCGCGGACGGUUGUGGCGGCCUUUAAAUAGGUGGGGACGGGCCGGGGUCCUCGAUCCGCGCGCGGCACGGAAGUCGGAGCCGGCCGUUCCGGUCCGUCUCCGAUUCGGCCGGAGGUAGAUGAUGACAGGUGGGUCCCACCUACGGGGCCCACCAGUCAGCGGGCGGCAGAGAGAGCAGGGGCAGGGGGCGCUGCUGCCGUGCGGCUGGGCCGCGCGCGGUUGCGGGCCGGGGAGGGGAGGCGCUGCCCACUUCCCUUUCUUUUUUUUAUUUUCAAAACAGAUUUCCUCCUAUUUAAAUCUUUCUUCCAACAAAAUAAUUCAAGCACAAGCAAGCAAGUCAAACAAAAAUAAAUGCAGCGGCAUGAAUGCACACGAACAAGUUUUCUACCUUAUAUUUAAUUUUACUUAAUUUUGUAAAUUAUUUAAUAAUUUUCUGGAAAUUCAAAUUGAGCCAAAAUUAAGUCAAAUUUAAACUAAAUUUGAAAUUCAAAAAUUUGGAGUGUUAUACAUGGCCACACCCUUUGCUGAAAUAACAUGACCUAGGUACUGAACAUUCGGUUGAGCGAAGGAGCACUUGCUGUGUUUGAGGCGGAGCUAAUGAACACGGAGGGCAGACAGUACUGCGUUCACGUGUUGUAAGUGCGAGGACCACGAAGGGCUGUAGAUGAGGAUAUCAUCAAAGAACACCAAGACAAACUUGCGAAGGAAUGGCCGGAGCAUUGCAUUCAUCAAACUCUGGAACGUGACCGGCGCAUUUGUCAAGCCAAACGGCAUGACCAGAAAUUCAAAAUGGCCCUCAUAGGUGCGGAACGUUGUUUUCUCAAUGUCCGCUGCGUUCAUUUGAACUUGGUGGUACCCGGAGCGCAAAUCCAAUUUAGUAAAGAAGCUGGCGCCUUUCAACUCAUCUAACAGUUCUUCAACCACAGGAAUUGGGAACUUAUCCUUAACUGUGUGCUGGUUCAGCGCGCGGUAAUCCACACAAAACCUCCAAGAGCCAUCGUGCUUCUUCACUAAAAGCACCGACGCCGAAAACGCCGACAUGCUUGGUCUGAUGAUGCCCUGCUGCAGCAUAGUGGCACACUGUUUUUCCAACUCAUCUUUCUGGAGCUGAGGGUAUUGAUAAGGGCGAACUGCCACCGACGGCGUGUUGGGCAGCAGAUGGAUGUGGUGGUCACAGGUCCGGGCCGGGGGCAGCCCCUGCGGUUCAGCAAACACAUCAUCAAAAGAGUGCAGCAAGGUGUCUAGCAGUUGUGGCUCGUUGUGUAUAGCAUGGAGUCGGCGCGUCGACUGGACAUCAUGGCGGGUAGAGCCAAUGCCCCGCCAGAACACACGCCGGUCGCCACGUGUGAAGGCCAUGCAGAGGUCGUCAAAAUCCCAGAGAAUCGGCCCCAGGGUGCGGAGGAACAAGACGCCAAGGACCAUGUCCCACUUAUCAAGUGGAAUUGAGUAGCAGUCCACCGAAAAGAACUCAUCGACAAUGCGGAUGCCCAUAUCACGUGCUAGCCCACGGCAGGCCACGCGGUCACCAUUGGCGACAAUGACGCCCGCUCCUGGACAGGGGGCGAACUGCAGGCCGACACGGUGAGCGACGUCGCCACAGACGAAGUUAUGGGUGGAACCGGAGUCCAGGAGGGCGAUGAAAUGCUCGUUGCGGAUGGUUACAUAAAUCUGCAUAGUGUCCUGGAUGCGUAUGCCCGCAAUGGCGCCCAAGGAGAUCAUAGCUAGGUGCUGAUCCGGCAGUGCUGAGGCAGCUGAGUCCUCUAUCUUCUCAUCAUCCUCAUCUGGCUCUUUGACAAUAUAAUCUACAGCCUCCAAAUAAAAGAGACGAGCACACUUAUGGCCUUGAAUGUAGGGCUCAUCACAAUUAUAGCAGAGACCCUACUUGCGGCGCUCAGACAUCUCUGCCGGGGACAGCCUUUUGAAAGGCUGCGGAGUAGGUGAUGCAGUGGAUGAUGUCGAAGACCCUGUGCUGGGUAGCGCCUGCAUCGAGCUCACCACGACGCGUCGAGGGUCCCGGGGUGCUGGGAGGGCAAGCUGUGUAGGUGUGUUGCGACGCUCAUAAGCACGUGCCAAGCGCAUGGCCUGCUGUAGAUCUCGAGGGUCGUGGAGCUCGACUCGAUCCGGAUGUGCUCCGGUAAACCCCCCAAAAACAGCUGAGCCUGUUGGUAUAGCGUUAGGCGUCCAGCAUGUGCCAAGCAUGCCAGGAACGCUUCUAGGUAGGUGGCAACAUCCGUGGUGAACGACAGUCGCGCCAAUUCCGCCAGAUGGUUGGUGGUUAGAGGCGGACUGAAGCGCUAAUGACAGAGUUGCUUGAAUUCCUCCCAAGAUGGCGCGCCGGUAUCGCGCUCAAUGACGUAGUACCACUGUUGUAGUGGUCCUAGUAGAUGGAAAGAGGCCAGCCACACUUUGUCGAUGUUGCGGGUGCGCUGGGCGUUGAAGAAGUGCUCACAGCAGUUGAACCACCCCAAGGGGUCUUCUUUGCCGUCAUACAUUGGGAAGGACAGUUUGUGAUAGCGCGGCACGCCCGCUGCUUCAGGAUCCGGUGGUACAUGAACACGCGGAGGUGGCAGCGCAUCAACGUGACCUCCGUUCAUGAUGGACGAUAGCGAGGGCACCGGGGAUGGCGAGUGUGCGAAGUUGAUCUGCAUGAUCGGCACCUGGCCCGUCGUCAGCGCCUACGGUGGACACGUGGUGACCGGCGCAACAGUAGAGGGCGCCGUCAGUGUAGCCGCCGGCGCUGGGGUGGUGGACGUGGCCUCGGGCGCGACCGGUGGUGGCAGCAGUGGAAGACCACCAAACCCGGGCAAGCCCAGGGUGGGCUGCAGCGUUGAGUUCCCAUAUGGAACGCCCUCCAUGGCUAAAACACGCAGUGCCAGGUCACCCAUCUGGCGCUGCAUGCCCAGGAUGGCCGUGGUGAGCGCAUCCAGUGCGCUGGUGGUGUCCGUCGGCAGUGGAGGAGAGGGGGAUCAAGGCGGCGGAGGUGGACAGCGGCGCCGUCGCAAAUGCUUCAACGGAGGUCUGGUUGGCGGAGGAGGAGCCAGGGCCUGACAUUGAUACCAGGUUGUUAGGCCCUAGGGACCUUAGGGCGUAGUGGUGUGAGGUGGAAGGCCGUGGCUUGAAUGCCCGACGACGAGGAGGAGGCGCCGUGCUCGGCGCCUGAGUAGAUGGGAACGUGAGAAGAGGCUAGCUAGGAGCCCAAAGGAGAUACUAGUGUGUAUUCAUGUUCUCCUUCAGGUUUAAAGUUCUAAUAAAAGUUGACGUUAUCGACCGUCAAUAGCCACGAAUGAACUAUCGUUCCUACAAUAAUCAUAUAUCUAAAAGAGGUGCAACCACAUAAGACCUCUCUGUACAAUAAUCAUAUAUCUAAAAGAGGUGCAACCACAUAGGACCUCUCUGGUGAGGAUACAAGUGGUAUGAAGAAUCUCAUUCCUCAUUUACCAUAAGAAAAGAUCUUAUUCAUCAUUUAUCAUGAGUAGUAUGUCAGUUUGUGUUUACUUUUUUUAAGAGAAAGGGUGCUCAUAGACACUAAUUAGAGCAAGGUCAAUAAUAAAGCCAAGUGCUUUAUAAGCCAAGUGAUUAGAGCCAAGUUAUACAGUAAAUUGUCUCAUACUUGUUUCGAAUACACCUUCUCUUUCCUAUUACUCCUCACAACACUUGCUAUUUGGGUCCACCACUACUUAUGCAUCCGUGUCCAGCUUGUUGCUUGCAUAAGAGCCAAACUAUUAUCUCUCAUGUCUUCUCUACUCCACAUCAGCAUUAGCUUGACUAUAAGCCUAUUAUUAUACCUGCUUUUAUGGAUAUAUUAAUUCUGGUCGUUAAUGGCCGAGAGAAAAUCGUCAAUGACAUGUGAAUCUUUGAUUUAUGAUGUACUCAACGAUUCCAUGUUCUUUUAGCCAUUAAAACAUGUUUUGGUUUUGUUUUCUAGAACAUUCAAUGUCGUAGCAUGUCUUAGGUUCUAAGGUUCGUUAGCAGAUUCACCUUUAAGAUGAUACAUCUGAUCUGACUGCGGUGUUUGCCCCAUAGGAGAAGACGGAGUAAUUUGAGUAAAACAUUAUUUCUUAAUUAUUUUAGGUCAUUUCCUAAUUUAAGAUGUACUCGCCCUAAAUUCUAAUAUCAUCCUCAAUUCCUCAUCUCCUUCGUCACUCGAUUUUAAGGAACAUAUGAUGUACGCUCCUGAUUCAUGACGAUAUAUUUCGUCUUUUAUCAAAAAGUGGUGGCAAUAGAACUUUUAUCAUAGUAGGUUUUGUCAUUAAUAUAAGAAAAGUGGCAAUAGAACUUUUCUAAUGAGCUUGUUUGUAUCUUCGAGUUUUGACACUUUUCAUUCAUAAGUUGAUAUAUCAACUAUUUUUCAAUGGCGAGUAUACUAUUGUUAAUUUCAAAAUAGACUUCUAAAUGUUAUAAUUGAAUUUCCGAGUACGGAAAUAGUGAUCAGAACAAAAUAAACAAUACCAAUAGAAACAAACUUAAGAGCAUCUUCAACAGUUAGCAAAUGACUUUUCAUCUAUAAUUUUUUUAGCGGAAUGAGAAAAAACCAUCUCCAACAGUUUGACAUUCCAAUUCCCCAUCUUUACUAACUUGACAUAUCUCUGUGUCUAGUGCACUGAUAUGCGCGCGGGCUCCGUGCUUGACAUCGGUCUUUUUCCUCAUGCUUAGCGGAACUGUUCGUUCAUUUAGUGGGGCUCUUCGUUCGCUUAGCGGGGCUCUUCGUUUUGUCAGCGGGUUUUUGAAUUUAUAGAAAUGAAAUUUGGCAAACUGUUAGAGAUGAGUUUUUUUCCUCUCUAUAUUAUUUUAGAAGUUGGCAAAUAAUAAAAUUUGAGAAACGAUUUAGAAUGCUAGCGAUGGUUUUAGAGCAGGAGCAGGUGGUGGUAAGCCUAGGCAAAAAUAACCGACAACCGAAAUAACCGGAACCGAAACCGAAAUAACCGAAACCAAAAAUUUCGGUUAGCUGUUCGGUUCUCAGUUCUCAGGAACCGAACUAACCGAUCAAAUUUCGGUUCCCAGGCUCGGUUAAUCGAAAGAACCGAAAUAACCGAAAUUCAUAAAACAAGCCCAAUAAACCUUACAACAUAGGCCUAAUACCACCUUAACCCUAAAUAUAAAAAGUGAAUGACACCUUCUCAUAGCCUCACAUCCUCACAUUUUUUUUUAAAAUAACGACAUCUUGCUUUUUAAAAAAUAUUUUUUCCUAUUUUCCUAUUGUUUUUUAUGCUUGUGUAAAUUUUCGGUUAGUUCGGUCGGAACCGGAACCGAACCGGACUAACCGAAACCGAUUUUGCUCGGUUCCAAGAUUUGUGAAGAACCGAUCGGUUCCUAUUUGUAGAGAACCGAAUUUGUGUCAAAAACCGAAGAACCGAACCGAACCGAGGAACCGAACGCCCAGGCUGAGGUGGUGGAACAAAAAUGAGUGUUAUCUCAGAUGCAUUCAAAUCAUCGAAUCAUCAGUUGUCUAUCUCAUUAGGCCUUGUUUACCUUCAAGAUCCUUUAUCACAUCAAAUCUUUAGGCGCAUGUAUAGAACAUUAAAUAUAGAUUAAAAAAUAAUCAAUCGUACAAUUUACCUAUAAUUUUCAAAACAAAUAUUUUAAACCUAAUUAGUCUAGGAUUUAAUAAUAAUUAUCAAAUACAAAUACAAACAAAAAUACUCCCUCCGUCCCAAAUUAUAAGUCACUCCAAGAAUCUUGGAGAGUCAAAUUUUUUCAAGUUUGACCAAAUUUAUAUAGCAAAAUAAUAAUAUUUUUGGUACCAACCAAGUAUCAUUAGAUUCUUUGUUAGUUAUAUUUUCAUAGUGUACCUAUUUUAUGACAUAAAUCUUUAUAUUUCUCUAUAUAUUUUUUGUCAAACUUGAAAAUACUUUGACUCUCCAAGAUUCUUGGAAUGACUUAUAAUUUGGAACGGAGGGAGUACUACCCUAAACAAAUCUGAAAUUUUUUCACGGACCAAACAAGGCGUAAGAAAAAACCCGCUGACGCGAUACACAGUACGCUAUCAACCAAGCUAGGGGCAGCAUGCAGAAACAUCCGUCGGAUCGGUGGAUCCACGGUGCAGAUCGAGGCGCGGUUCUCCCCGUCGCCGUAGGGUUUUUGUCCUCGCUUCUCUUACCAAGUUACCAGAGCCACCUCCUCCGUCGGCCGCAGCUACCCCACGCCGUCGGCCGCCAUGAGAGCCCUCCUCUCCCUCUCCCGUCUUGCCCGACGGGUUCCAGCUUCUCUCGCCCCUGUAAGCGCGCCGACAACAUUCCUCCUCCGGCACAUCCAUGCCGACGUCCCUCCGCCGCCGCCGCCACCGCCACCUCAUGACUCGCCGCUCUUCGUCUCCCGCAUCCUCGAAUCGGAGCCGAGCCUGACCCCGAACGCCGAGUCGGAGCCGGCAUCCGAUCCGAUCCUCGACGAGUUUCUCGCGCGAUUCGUGGCUGCCUUCCGCCCGCGACUCACGGCUGCCUUCCCCAACCAUGACCGUGACGUGCUCGACGAAAUGCUCCGCCUCGUCGCGGACGCCGUGCUGUGCCGCCUCACUGGGGCCGACCGGGGGCCCGAUGCUAUCGAGCUCAAUGACGACCUCUGGGCGGUCGUAUGGGAGGUCAGCGCCUCCGUGCGCGAGGCUAUGCGCCGGGAUCAGGUCCGCGCCGACCUCCGCCAAUACCUUCACUGCGACGAGGUUAAGGAGAUGACGCGGUUCGCUGUCGAUGUCGGCAUCCGCGGUGCCAUGCUCCGGGAGCUCCGCUUCAAGUGGGCCCGCGAGAAGCUCGAUGAGGUCGAGUUCUAUCGAGGCCUUGAUGACAAGCGCUCCGAUGCUGAGGCCGCCGCUGACCCGGCGCCUGCGCCUGUGCCGAGGCUGACCGCUUUGCCGAAGAGGAAGGGAGAGGUGAAGUUCACGAUGUACGGACUGGACAUGUCUGACCCAAAGUGGGCUGAGGUGGCGGAGCGAGUGGCGGAGGCUGAGGCGCAUUUUGUGCCUGAGGAGGCCAAGGCUGUAGAAGGGAGGGCGAAGAAGGCCGAGGAGCGGCUGCUGUUGGUUGACCCGAGGAGAGGAGAUCCGGUGCCUGCCAUUGAGGAGUGGAAGGAGGAUCUCCGGCCAAAACGUGUUGAUUGGAUAGCACUGCUUGAGCGGAUUAAGGCACGGAAUGUCGAGUUGUACCUCAAGGUGAGAUCUUUGGUAACACUGAAAGCUUGUGCAUCGUGCUGCAAUGUUUGUUUGCUAGUGUUUUUUUUUCUUUUUGCAUGUAGUAAAAUUCUUCCUUUCUCCACAAGUUUCUCGCUGUAAACUACUUGAAUUAUGGCUAGAAUAUGUAACUAGUUACCUGUUUUCGCUGGGUGAAUAGUAGAGAUAUCCUGGAUCGACUCAGACAAUAAUAGCUUAACCUGGAUGGAGAGACAUAGAGUGUGCUUGGACGUUUUCAUUCUUAGAGAAGAAAGUUGUAUGAUGAGAAGCAUUUUCUGGAACAAUAUUUUGGGGACAUAGGGAGUUAAGUUGUAUUUUAUUGGGCCAUUUCGUCCUUUGAACCUAGUGACACUAAGCUUAUUUGGACCUCAACUUUCAGAAAUUGUUCGUGGGCUUACUGGAAGUGAAUACUCCCUCCGUCCCAAAUUAUAAGUCAUUCCAAGAAUCUUGGAGAGUCAAAGUUUUUCAAGUUUGACCAAAUUUAUAUAGCAAAAUAAUAACAUUUUUGGUACCAACCAAGUAUCAUUAGAUUCUUUGUUAGUUAUAUUUUCAUAGUGUACCUAUUUUAUAACAUAAAUUUUUAUAUUUCUCUCUAUAUUUUUGGUCAAACUUAAAAAUGCUUUGACUCUCCAAGAUUCUUGGAAUGACUUAUAAUUUGGAACGGAGGGAGUACUAGAUUACCCUGAAAUAUUUCAUUCCAAACUUAUUGUGCUUGGGCAAAACAGAUUGACACAAAUUGUCUGCAUAGUGAUCUGUGGUGUUUUCCAAUAUCUUUUGAGCCCAUCUUAUCAUGUCUAUCAAGUGCGAUCAAAUUUGAUCAUAAACUUCUGGAGAUCAUUAUGCCCUUCACCUUCAGACAAGGGUUAUGACUCUAGAAUUUCUGAAAACUUUAAUGAGUAGUUCUCGUAAGUUCCUCUCCCACAAGGUGAUUAUCAUUUGACACACGUUUGGCAGGAGUUCAUGUUUGCCAGUUAUGCACAUGUGGUUGCGGGGGAGGGAGGGCAUUGAUUUGAGGCUUCGGUGGGGGUGCUAUGGGUGCCACUGGUCAGCAACCUGGUGUUUCAGAAGGGUGGUAUGUAGGAGAGAGGGCUGUUGUCAGGGAGGGUCAGGCAUGGCUGCCAUUGAGUUCGAGGAGAAAGAGGGGCAUUAUUCAUGUGAAUGGGGAUUUUGAGAUAUGUUAGCCCUGGCAAGUCUUCCCUAGAUUCAGGGUGGGCACGGAUUAGGCAAUGCAAGCCACUGUGGAUUAAGGCAUGGACAGGGGGUUUUUGGUAGAUGUGGAUUGGGGGGAGAGGGAGGCGGGGAUGCUGGAGCAGUUACUUGCUGCAGACGGGUGGGACAGAGAGGCCGUUAGUGGCCUGGGGGUUGGCGAAAUGCGGGGCCUGCUUAUUGCUGCCGAAGUCAGGUGAGGCGGCCUACCACAUCCUGCUCAGUGUCCCCUGUGCGAUCAGGCUGACAAAGAUGUUAAACAUCUGCUCACUUCCUGUGUCUUUGCACAACUGUUCUGGUCCAGAAUCUUUAUACCGAUGGGAUUGCAGGAGCCUGGUUCCCCAACGACAUGAAUCUCUAUUUGCUGUGUGGUGGUGCAAAUCAAUCAAGAAAGUUUAGGACAAGAGGAAGGGAGUGAAUACUGUCAUUAUCUCGGGAGCUUGGCUAAAUCUGUGUGGUUUUGAGGGUGCCAGCCCAAAUAAAUAUCAACACCGUUAUUCAGGCCCUCAAUGAGGAGCGUCAUCUUUGGUGUCUAGUGGUUGCACGUGAUCUUAACACCCUUGCUUUGGGUCAAGUUAGCUAAGCUUAGCGUCUUAGUUUUCAGCGGUCUGGUCUCACCUGUGUUUGGUUUUUUAUUAGUCCAAACCUUUUAUGCUCCCAACCCACCUCAUAGUCCAGCCCGGAACUAGGUGUUUGGUUUUCAACGGUCUGAUCUCACCUGUUUGGUUUUUUAUUAGUCCAAACUUUUUUAUGUUCCCAACCCACCUCAUAGCCCAGCCUGGAAUGAGGCGGUCUUAUUUGUAAGGGGUUGUUUUUCUCUCUCUUAAUACAAAGAUAUGCAGCUCUCCUGCGUAUUCGAGAAAAAAGGUUGUAUCUUAGACUGGCUUUUACAAGGUCAACCACAAAUUCACAAUGCUUAUGUCAGCUCACUUGCGCUCACUGACGAUUUAGUCAGCUUCACUAUCUUCAUGUCUCCCCCCCCCCCACCCCCCCCAACACAUCCACACACAACUACUCUCCUCCAAAACAGUGUAUGAGUUAGGCAGUAGGCAUUUAAAUGUAUUUGGUCAGCUAAAUAUGUUAUUAGCCAUGGUUAUUUAUGUUAAUCAAUUGUUUAGUUACCUUAAAAAAAAGAAAUGUUUUCACACCACUUAACAUAUGCUAUGUAUUCGAACUUACAGGUUGCUGAAAUUCUGCUAGAUCAAGAAUCUUUUGAGGCAAACAUCCGAGAUUACUCAAAAUUAAUUGAUCUUCACGCUAAAGCAAAUCAUGUGGAAAGCGCAGAGAGAGUACUUGGUAAAAUGAAAGAGAAGGGUAUUGCACCUGAUGUCAUCACAUCCAUCGUAUUAGUCCACAUGUAUAGCAAGGCAGGCAAUCUAGAGCAGGCCAAGGAGGCUUUUGAAUUUAUUCGAAGGGAGGGUUUUAAACCAGAUCUGAAACUCUUCAGUUCAAUGAUUAAUUGCUAUAUCAACCAUGGAGAACCAGAAGAAGCAGAAAAUCUGAUAAAAUCUAUGAGGGGCACACGUGUCAUUGUCAAACCCACUAGAGAAAUCUACACAGACAUUGUACGAGCAUAUGCUCAGCGAGGCAUGAUGACAUGUGCACAGAGGGUUCUUAAUAUGAUGACACAUGAUGAAAUCAAGCCUACAGAGGAACUCUAUGCAAUAUGUAUAGAAGCAUAUGGACGUAUUGGUGAUCCUAUUCAAGCCCGUGCCAUGUUUGAUCAAAUCAGGAGGAGGCUUGGACACGAACCAGGUGACAGUUCAAUUGCUGGUGUGGUGGCUGCGCACAUCGAGAAGAACCAACUAGACGAGGCUUUGCAGUGGUUGCUGAGUUUAGAGAAGGAAGGAGUUGAACUUGGUGUCAAGACGAACCUCGUGUUACUGGAUUGGCUGUCUAUGUUGCAGCUAGUUCUGGAGGCUGAACAGCUUGUGCAGAAGAUAAAGAAGCUUGGAGAAGAGCCCAUAGAAGUCCAUGUGUUCCUUGCCGGUAUGUAUGCAAAGUCUCGCCAGGAAGAGAAAGCCCGCAGGUCCCUCAAGAUCUUGGAAGAGAAGAAGAAACUAUUGAAGUCUGAUCAGUUUGAGAGGGUUAUAAGAGGCCUUCUUGAUGGUGGGUUCUCAGAAGAGGCAAAUAAAUACUACAAAAUGAUGAAAUCCUGUGGUUUUGAACCAUCAGAAACAAUCGAGGUCGGUGUUAAGGCUAGUCUCAGGAUUAGGGGUGCUUCUCGUCACAUUGGCAGGCAUUGAGAUUAGGGCCUGUAUGCUGGUAGAGUGGCAGCGAUCUACUGGGCACGCAGGCAAGCAAGGAGGGAUUCUGGUGUGAGAACCUUGUGGCACUGACACGGCACAAUCAAAUUGACCAAACUCAGUGCUGAAAGAUAGCUUGGCCAUUUUUCUUUUCUGGUUAUCAAUUGUCUGAAGGCACGACGUUGCUUCCAUAGACUAUGAAAUUAAUAGGCCCUGGUUUCAUGAUUUUGUUGUUUUCAGUGAUCAGGAUUUUCACUUGUAUUAGAUGAGGUUUGAAGUGAUUGUAACACUGAUCCAUCUUCCAGGUUUUCAAAGAAAACAUAUAUCCGCGAAUAGUGAUUAUUGCUGUGUUCAGACAUACAAUGAUGUAAGUUAAUUAAUAAAUAUUCCCUCAAUGAUGUAAGUUAAUAAAUAUUCCCUGCGGCCUCCGGUCACGAUGGUUCACUAAAACUGCAUACAUCAACAACUUUUAAAUUAUUGAGUCUGGAAACACACAAAUUAUAUAUGUGUAGAUUCGCAUUAGAAAAUACUUUUGAAGUUUUAGGAGUUUAAGAAACAUUUUAAAAGAUAAUAGAGGUUAAAAACAUUUAACAGAAAAGACUUGUUUAAAUCAAGUCAUGUGUAGAUUUGCAUCAGAAUUUGAUGCGGGCGGUGUCUUGCUCAUUUUUCGCUUUUGCAAGUUCACUAACUUAAGUGGCACAUGCUCUCAAGUUAAAGACCCACUAGUGUAUUUAACUAAAAAAACACAUGCGGUUGGAUAUUUUUUCCUGCUAAUUUCUACUCUCUAGAAUAUAUUAUAAAUCCUACACAAAAUUGAGAUUUCUAGAGGUACUUUUCAAUAGAAACUAUGCAUAUAUAUAAGAAAGGAAGAAGUCCAUUUUUUGUCAUCAAACUAUCCCUCGAGCCUAAUCUCAACCGUCAAACUUAAAAACCAGAGAUCUUUAGCCAUUUGACUAUCAAAACCUUUCGUAUUGGUCAUUAAGCUGGUUUCAACGGUGUUUUUCAAACUAAAUAAUCAAGUCAUUGAUGCUUGUAGCCUUUAGGUUCUGACAAAAAUCUUGUCCUAAAGAUUUUUUAUGACCGUAGGGCACAUUUCUAAAGAACAAUAAUAGAUAGAAACUAUCUAUAAACUUUUUUUUACAACAGGCAAAAGGGUUAUCUGAUUCUCAAUCCGAAACAAGACAAGUUUAGGGUACCACAACCACAAGCAAGCCACCAAUGAAAUCCGAGUCAAUACAAGGGAACAAAUCUGCCAUGUAACAUAUCAUAAGUUUACAAGAAACACCUCCCAACACCACUGAUUGGACACCUAUUACCACGCAUGCUUGCUUGUUGGAUAAAAGACAUCAGACCAAACAACAGUUGUGCUACCGCUGAGCCAGUUUCUUCAGGUGUUGAAACAACUUUUGCUUUAUCCACUGUCGAUCGUAUGGCAGAAAUGCCUGAAUCGAGUGAUCAUAACUGCAUAUGGAGGGGGGAAAAGCACAGGUAUUAUGUUGUUAGUUUUGGACACGAACAUGUAUAAAUAUACUUCAAGGAACUCCAAAAAUCUUAAAGAAGUUAUACUCACACCAGAGCACUAAUGUCAGCUAGGCCAUCAAUGAAGUUAUAGAGGUCGCUGAUAUCAUAAGUUAUGUUUGGGACCAUUGGGUUGAUAUCCCUAAUUUUCCUUUCAUAAAGCCCACAGAUCCCUGCCAUUACAGUUGAAUGUUACAAGUAACUUAUGAACUUUAGACGGGAAAUAAAUCAAGAAGAAUCACUGCAGAUGUGUAAAUCUGAUUUUUGGAAGAGCAUAAGCUGGAUCCACGUCAAAGUAGCCUAUUGCUAACAGUAGGGGGUAAAACAUCAGGCCAGCCAGCAACAAAUUUAAACAAAGAGGACUAGAUCCGAUCAAAACCUCUAAGAUAGAUUAAUAUCAUGUUUCUAUAAGAUAUAGUUAAAUAGUUAAAUGCCACUGUUUUUUUUUCUGAGUAUAGGAUCACAUGAAGACCACCAUGGUCAUGCAAAUAAUGCAAACUAGGGAGUUUUAUUUGUUUUCUAAAGCAGGUCCUUUUUCAAACCAUACAUACCAUCCAAUGCAUGAUUAACCGAAUUGUAAUCCAUAAAUGUUCUAGAAGCCCUAUUCUGAGAUGGCUGCAUCAGAAUAAUGGUGUGCCUCCCAGCCUGCAAAGAGCAAUCAGUCAGAUACACACAUCAGCGCAUGGCAAGUGCCAUGGGUAUCAUUGCAUAAACUGAUGGUGUUUCUUCCAAAGUGCCAAGCAUUGGGUAUUAACAACAGAUGCUACAAUAUUCCCUGUGGCAAAAGUGAAGAUUUACCACACAACCCAUUUAUUAGCUACCCUUAUUCACUUUCCUUUAUUUCGAGCAGCAAUAACAAUAAUGGUAUUAGUCAUCAUCAAGUUGGCUUUGGACAGGAUGCACAGUUAUGGCAUCUAAAAACUUUUGAUCUUUAAGACACAUACUGGGAAUAAAGGAAACCCAACCCAACACAAUGCCUAUCACUAUCAAUAGUGUUAUCUUACUUUGCAUGCAAACCACACAGCUUUUUUUUUUUCCGAAAUUAAUGAAUAAUAUUUACGUAUUAUAACUUCAAGGUAACCUUAUAUUUUCUGUUUCUUCAGACAGAAAAAGAAGUGUCAAGCUAGAACUGCAUGAUGAUUGACGAAAAUAAAGGAUUCUGUAGAAGGAUAAGAAGGAUUUCUAAAUGCUCCUUCAAGUAUUGAAAGCUGAGCAUAGCUAUUUAAAGGUUUAGAUGAUAGCCUAGCUCCCUAGAUGCCUAUAGCGCACGUCUAAGUAAAGAAGCAUCCUGUAGGAAAAGCACAACGGAACAGUAAAUAAUUUGUUAUGUUUUACAAAACAAGAAGCUAUAACCUAAAUAAGGCAAAAAAAAAAAAGUCUAACAUGUCACCAGUCUAUGAACAAAUAAUCCUUGAAACAAAGGAAAAGGCACAAUAACCCAUGAGCAUGUAAAAUUCAUUGAUAAAAAAAACUAGAUGCAGAAUAAAGUAUAACAAACAUGUCUUUAUUUGAAACUUAAAAUGGUAAAGAAGAGAACGGAAAGGAUAAAAUCAGAGACUGAAAAUUGCAGUUGGAUACAGGGAUUUCCUUGUAUAUGGAGUCCCACCAAUCAUCCAUUAUAGUCAAACUUACAAAAUGAAAGUUAGCAAUUGUGCCGUUUGCUUCCAGCAAUACAGGCCAAGGCAUUAUUAAAGACCUAGUGGUAUUCAUUUCCCAGCAAUAAAUUAUAACCAAGCAAGUUGCAGUGUGCAGUCUCUGAGCUGACGGUGUAGCAAGUUAUGAGUAGUUGGGGAACAUCAGAACUAAGGUAAGAGCAAUGAAAUCAAGGGUAUUGGCAUAAUGAAACUGGCACAGGACCGGUAGGGGAUGGGCUUGUACUACAUUUUCUUAUUCAUGAAGCAUCACAAUUGGGUUUUCAAGUUGUCAAGACACAGCCUCUAAAUGACAUAUUUCCCAAUAGUGAGAACCCAUUAUUUGGCAACCUUUGUUAUCUAGUAAUUAUAACUCCUAUAUGGUGUCAUGCUGCUAUGCAGCUUCAGUGUCAAAGCAUUUGCCAACCUUUGAUCAGAAGAAGAAAAAAACUAUCAUAUCUUAAAGUAAAAUACAGCUGUCUAAAUACAAAACAACAGUUCCACAUAUUAUACCUGAACAUUCAGAACACUUAAUUUCAUGUUCUCAAAAGAACAUUAAUUUUGACAUACAAAGUUUAGUUAGCAGAUGACACAUUGCAGCAUGUUCAUACAACUAAGAUAAGUCUAUAACCUUACAUAUCAGACCAUAGAAGUACAGUUAUCUGAGGAUCUUAAGCUUAUAACCAAGUAUUUUUGAGAACCAGAAUGUUCACGAUAUCACCGCAUCCCCAACCCUCUCAAUAAACCAGAACCCGAACAAUUCAACAAAAGCAAUAGCAGAUCACUUGCUUAUCAAAGCUAACCAUGCACCCACCGGUGCCCCAACAAGCACAUAAGAAUCGAAGUUUGGUAGGCAUAAUUCAUGUAUAUAUUGCAAUUAGAUCAGGUCCGAUUACAUACAAAUAGCCAUAGCUUAGGUUAGGCUUCGGGUGCUUCUCGGUUUCGCACAGCAUGAAGGGAAGAGAAGGGGGCAGGAAGGGAAGAGAAGGGGGUUCCUAAAAAAAAAGGGAAGAGAAGGGGGCGGACAUACCAUCUGUUGGUUGGGUGAUCGUUGCCCGAGAAGGGACCGACGAAGACCUGGGCACGGCGGGCGGCGGCGGUGGCGGCGGGCGGCGGCAGCCUAUUCGUCGGGAUUCGUCGGGCAGAGAGAGAGAGAGAGAGAGAGAGAGCACGCUCGCUGGGAGAAAGAAUAGCCGAGUCCGGGGGCUGUUCGGCCGAGGGAAAAAGGCAAUCGCACGGGCCUUCUCCUGGACAUGGGCUGUUCAUGGUUUCAAACAUUUCUUUUGCAGAUUUUUUUUCUUGUUUCUUCAUUUCUCUUUUUUAAUCUUUAUUAUUAUAUUCUUCCUAUAAUUUGUAUUUACUCUUUUUUAUGAAAUUCGGAACAUUUUUUUGGUUUUACUAAACGCGGAACAUUUUUUGGUUUUAUAAACUAGAAGAAUAUUUUUUGGUUUUAUAAACAAGUGGAACCAAGAUGUUCUAUAGCUGUCUAUAGAGUAGUUUCAUCCUGUUCUAGCCUCCAUGCGUGUCAACACUUCGGCCAAUAUCGGUCAUUAAAUGACUAGCGUCAAAAAACGAGUGACAACUCAUUUGAUAUGCAAUUUUAUGAACUUGUAGAACUAUAUAUUAUUGAGCACACGUACUCACUAAAGCAAAAGUGGGCUAAAAAUCAUGAAGUCGUAGAGCGACCGGGUCAGGGUCACCCCUCCUCCAACAUGUGAUCUACUCUCCUUCCUCCUCCGUUCUAAACUGUAAGUCACUCUAGUUUUUCUAAAUACAUAGCUUUUGUUACGCGUCUAGAUAUACAUUAUUUUAUAUACAUAAUAAAAAUUAUGCAUAUUAAAAACAUAAACAACUUGCAAUCUCGAACGAAGAGAGUACAUAUAUAGAAACCACAUGAUCGGCGUAACAAUAUGAUCCAAACAAUUUAACAAGUUGAGGCAGUGAGUCUAACAAUUUGAGCGGCCUCGAAUGAGACGGUCAACCCCAUACCGGCCUAUUCAAUCACAUUAAUCAUCAUUGCUACCAACACCUAGUAAGUAAACAAUCAGGUGUAUUCAUGCGAAAGGAGAUGAAAUAUGGUGAAGAACCCAAUCCAGAUGACCUAAGUGGCAUCAAUGGGCCGGGGCUAAACUUUUGAGUCACUCCAUUCCAUACUCCAGCUAUAUGAACAGACCUGGCUAUAAUAAAUAUCCUACCGGGGCACCAUUCUAAUCUAACUACGAAAAAGAAGAAACAUAUAGCUAGUAGACUAAGCCCCACCACAAUAAACUUAGAAAGUAGGCCUAGAGGAGGUGAGAGUGCCAUAGAGAAUCCGUAGCUAUCAACUGCUUCUCAUGCACUUUCAGCUUGUUUGGUCCACGUACAGUGGCGGAGCCAAGAUUUAAAUCUUAGGUAUUCUCUUGCUAAUAUUUAGUGAGUCGUCAUUUAACUAUUGUCUCUAACCUCAUGAUCGACAUGCACCCUCUCCAAUCACCAUGUAGGCAUAGCAUAGAGAUAGAGGCCGUGACCGCGCUGCACGUCCUGCGCUGCCAGGAGCUUAGGACACUGGAAACCAGCAAUGCCGCCACUACGUCAUGUCUGGUCGGCUAGGGUUAGAGAUUUAGAAAUGAGGAUUAUGGAAUUGCCUCCCACUCAUGCCUCGUUCACUCACAUGAAAAAAUACUUUUAUUAUACAUACUGCCAUGUGCAUAUAUUCCCUUGUUUAGAUUGAAAAAGUUUUUGGAUUUUGACACUGUAGCACUUUUAUUUUUGUUUGACAAACAUUGUCCAAUCAUGGAGUAACUAGGCUUAAAGGAUUCAGCUCGCAAUUUACAAGUAAACUGUGUAAUUAGUUUUUAUUUUCAUCUAUAUUUAAUGCUCUAUGCAUGUGCCGCAAGAUUUGAUGUGAUGAGAAAUUUUGAAAAGUUUUUGGUUUUGGGGAUGAACUAAACAAGGCCUUAUUUUGGAAAAGAGUUAGAAAUAAGAUAUGAUUUGUACUAAUAUUUGGUGGCAUGAGUCAAUAUGUACAUGGUCUGAAGAUAAAUAAUUAGGUUCUCAUUUGCAGAAACAAUAAAAUAGAAUAAUUUCGGUAAUCGAGCUAACCUAGAACAUGUGUCGAAAAAUAAAUACAAAGAUAGAUUAAAAAGAAUGAUAGAGAAAUUUUAUUUGCUAAAUAUAGAAAUACUAAUAUAUUUGAUAUACAUAUAUAUUAAUAUAUCUAUAUAUACUUAGUGCAUAAAAAAGUUGGGUAUUCUUGGGGAAUACCCGGUGUAUCCGCCCAUGUGUUCGAGGAUGACACGAAGCAUCCUGCAGGCGCAGAGACUCAUCGCUACUAUAAACGCCUUCUAUAGAGACGGCUAGGAAGCAUCUAAGUUUCCGUAUCCACGAACCAAUAUUUGUAUAGGUGGUGGCCUAUUCGCCUCUAGCAAUCAAUUUGUAGAGUGGCCUGGUUAGAAGCUAAUAGGAUUCUGACUCAAAUUCCUAUUUAUAGAGACUUCAAAUCUUCUCUCUUAGCCCCAACUCUUACACUUAUGAGUAUGUAGAAAGCUGUAUAAUUUUUUCUAGGAUUUUUUUCUCACGCCAACUCACUCCGCGUUUUUUUUUUCCCCAUCCUGACUCUCUCACACGAUUUGCCGAAAGCACUUGACCCCCACCGGCCACCGCGGCCCCCAUCCUGGUGCAAUAAUCUGCGGAUCAGUCUACUGGAAUGACUACGAACGCGCGCCCUCCUGCUCAGUUCAUGUUCAUGCAUGUGCAGUGUAGGGUACGGUUUCUUUCUACCGCCACCAACUACCAUGACUGAUGACUCCAUUACCGUUGCAUGACCGCACGAGGCCUGUGACCUCACCCUGACUCGGAUCCAACGUAGUAGCUCGAUCGCUAGUACUUCCUGGAUGGGUCCGACGAAGGACCAUGAAUCGCCUGACUUCUUCCUGCAUGACCGCACGAUGAACCUAGGCCUUGUUUAGGCCUUGUUUAGAUGCGGAAAGAUUUUGGAUUUCGCUACGGUAACACUUUCGUUUGUUUGUGGUAAAUAUUGUUCAAUUAUAGACUAACUGGGAUCAAAAAAUUUGUCUCACGAUUUACAGGUAAACUGUGUAAUUAGUUUUUAUUUUUGUCUAUAUUUAAUGCUUCAUGCAUAUGUCGAAAGAUUCGAUGUGACGGGGAAUCUUGAAAACUUUUUGCUUUUUGGAGUGAACUAAACAAGGCUUUAGUUCCGAAAACCAAAAUUUUGGAACUGUAGCAUUUUUGUUUUUAUUUAUCUAACAAUGAAGUAACUAGGCUUAAAAGAUUCAUCUCGUGAUUUACAUAUAAAUUAUGCAAUUAGUUUUUAUUUUUGUUUAUAUUUGGUGUUUUAUGCAUGUGCCGCAAGAUUCAAUGUGACGAGGAAUUUUGAAAUUUUUUUGGUUUUUAGAUGAACUAAACAAGACCCUACUGUGUGUACAGUAUGUAUAGUAAGGCGGCGGGCCAUUAUCGAAAAGAAAAAUGACGGCGGGUGCCGCACUGCACGUUACAACGACCCACCACAAGUAACUCGAGCCACCGCAUAUGUUUACCUUGCCAUUUCUCCCUCACCAAACGCACUGAGAUUUUACGCUUGACUACAGCCGUGUCCUUCUGUGUCCAGAAAAGGAAAACACAGCUGUAUCACUGCAUGGGUGCUUGCUUGAUCUACACUCCUGAUUAGUGAUAACUAUGCCUAUGCGUUGCAGCCUGUUGUGGCGCAUGAUCACUAGACCAGAAUUCGGUCAGGCAAAAGAAAGCACAAGUUCAGAACAGCAGAGCUUAGCUUGAUUUGCCUGCGCUGCGCUGGCUGCUGCUGCUGCUGCUGCCGCCUUGUGCCAAUCUAUAGCGUGAAGCGUGUGCGGACUUUCGAUUGAUUCCUACAUGAAGGAGAAGCACGCGGGGCAGGCGCGAGCUGGCAAUGGAAUUUGCGACGUGGCGGCGCACGCAACUAGCAGAAUCUGCGAAAAGGGCCGGUCCAGCCAUGCAUGCUGACAGACAGGCGCCGCUUGUCAUCAGCCUGGCUGGAGUACUGUAGACUCCGUAGUAGUACAGUACUAUUAAAACCAAGUACGUGAAGACCACCACUGCCAAGGACCCGGAUACCAGGGCCUUGUUUAGUUCCAAAAUUUUUUGCAAAAUCGACACUGUAGCACUUUCGUUUGUAUUUGACAAAAAUUAUCCAAUCAUGGACUAACUAGGCUCAAAAGAUUCGUCUCGUCAAUUUCGACCAAACUGUACAAUUAGUUUUUAUUUUCAUCUAUAUUUAAUACUCAAUGUAUGUGUCUAAAGAUUCGAUGUGACGGGGAAUCUGAAAAAUUUUACAAAUUUUUUUAAACUAAACAAGGCCCAGGUCUAAUUAACACACCACCUCGACAUCGAAAAAUGGAAAAUCGAAACAAUGCCUGACGUGCAUGCACGCCAUUGAAGCGGUCAUUAUAUUGUUCACCAGGAAUUCCAGUAACGAAAUACUGUAUAGUACUGAGCAUCUCUCUGAACAUAGGCAUCUUCACGUUCACAGCUCAAAAACCUGGACGGUGUCGCCGCUGCUGAUCACUGCAUACACAGACCAGGUCGAGCCGACAGCCGAGACGCCGCGCGCGCGCGGUCGGCCUUCCAAGUGUGCGUCAGUGCGUGCAGUGCAGCAUGCGUGCCCGGCCCGCACACCAGCGUGCACUCUUCUGUCACUGCUGAUGCGGCGCGGACCUCAUCGGAUCGGGGCAGAUCACCGGCUCCCGGCCUUCCGGUUUGGGUGGACGCGGUCCACCCAGGAGGGUCCCAACACCAGCACAGCACACCACGCCUCCUUGCCAAAUCCAACCGGCGAACCCCCAUCCACUCCACCCCCAACCUCCGCUUCCGCUGUUGCUUUCCCGCUGGUCAUCCAUCCCACCAAACGCCCGCGAUUUUUUCUUCUUCAUCAAAUCAACAAAAAAAAAGAGAGGAAAAAACGAGACUCUGGCAGAGAUUCAUGGAGGACGACAAGCAAGGAAAACCGGGGGUGGGGGGGGGGGGGGGGGGGUGGGUUGCGCGCACGGCUGCCUGGCUAUAAAAGGCGCUCCACCCCCCGCUAGCUCACCAGCUCUCCACCAAGAGCUAUACCCCCCGCACCACUUACCUAACGCUACCUGCUUUUACACCGCGGCGGCCGCGUUGAGCUCGGCUCGAUCGAGUUCGCGUCCGUCCCAGAUCCGCCCGUCGUGCUCCUCCAUCGCUCGCGCAAAGGUUGGUUGCUGCCCUCGCCUCGCCUGCUCGUCUUUCUCCGAUGGGUCGAUCGAGGGAUCAAAUUCAAUCAGUUCGAUUGUGUUGUGUGUAAGAAUAAUAAUAACGCGGUGGGGAUCGGUCUUGUGUCGCCCGUGUGCAGAUGAAGAUCACGGUGCGGGGGUCGGAGAUGGUGUACCCGGCGGCGGAGACGCCGCGCCGCCGGCUCUGGAACUCGGGGCCCGACCUGGUGGUGCCGCGGUUCCACACGCCCAGCGUCUACUUCUUCCGCCGCAGGGACGCGGACGGGAACGACCUGACGGCCGCCGACGGCAGCUUCUUCGACGGGGCGCGGAUGCGGCGCGCGCUGGCGGAGGCGCUGGUGCCCUUCUACCCGAUGGCGGGGCGGCUGGCGCGCGACGAGGACGGCCGCGUCGAGAUCGACUGCAACGCCGCCGGGGUGCUGUUCCAGGAGGCGGACGCGCCCGACGCCACCAUCGACUACUUCGGCGACUUCGCGCCCACCAUGGAGCUCAAGCGCCUCAUCCCCACCGUCGACUUCUCCGACGACACCGCCUUCCCGCUGCUCGUGCUCCAGGUAAGGGAUCGAUCCAUUCCAUCCACCUAAGAUCCUCCGGGGUUCGGUCGGUUACUGCAUUUCGCUAGGAUUUUGAUGAUUUGAUCGGGGGGAAGCGUCGAAAGUUGAAACUCGAAACAGAGUGGGGUUUGCGUGAGGAGAUCGGGGUUAUCUUGCUGAGUCGCCGCCCGCGCACAACGUCUGGGUCAACGUAGGUAGACGCGUCGCAGUUGUUGGGUGGCCGGUGCAUCCGUGCAUGUGCGCCGUGUGGACAACAUAUGGCCGGGCCGCGGGCGCCGACGAGCACCCGGUCCGCGUGGAGACAAGCUGUCGACGAGCCUGCUUGACGUCGUCCCCUUCCUGCGACAGCCGAGGAGUGGACGGACGAUCUUCAGAUCUUACAUUUAUGGAAGUGGUCGCGAUUUUUUUUUUUUGAGAGUCCAACAGUUGCUUGGACCAAGCCUCAUAAAAAUGCGUCCAAGCCUGCAAAAGGUUUCGUUCUGCUCCAUGAAAGAAAUCGUACUUGUAGUCAAAUAGGCGUUGAAUAACGUGUGCCGUGCCACAAUUAAUUACUACUAUGUAGUACGUUAAUCUGUCACUGUUAGCGAUAAUGAUGGUUUGGUAUUUUGCACUAGUCUUCGGUGUACCGUGUUUCGAAAAGAAAAACGCUCUCUGCCUCGUCAUCCUUCAAAUAUCACUCUUCCAAAUAUAGGAAAUAUAUAAUUUGAAAGGGUAAAACAUUGUAGAUUUUUGCCUUUGAGUACUUCACUUUUGUAAUAAUAACGACAUAUUCUAGUGAAAUCAAUUACAAAGUAACCCUUGAAAUACGUGCCUGAGGUUGCUCUUGAACCUUCUCUGAUGGAUGCGGGUGCAUGCGAGCAUGUGGCUUUGGGUUGCAAAUUGUUAACCACAUGUAUGUAUAGCCUUGUUUAGUUCACCCCGAAAACCAAAAACUUUUCAAGAUUUUCCGUCACAUCAAAUCUUGGAGAUAUAGAUAAAAAUAAAAACUAAUUGCACGGUUUGCCUGUAAAAUCACGAGAUGAAUCUUUUGAGCCUAGUUAAUCCAUGAUUGGAUAAUAUUUGUCAAAUAAAAACAAAAAUGCUACAGUGUCGAAAUCCAAAAAAUUUUCGGAACUAAACAAGACCUAUGUAAUCUUCUUUGUUCUUUGUGCGUUUGCUUGCGUGUAAACAAUUAUUUCCCCUCUUAAUGAAAAAAACGUGUCUCAUGGCACGGUUGAGAAAAAAGAACGCCUUGAAAUAUUUCGAAAUCUCAAUAUGCCUUGUAAAAACAACUCGAGGGAGUACUAAAAACAUAUUUCUUCUUUUCUAGAAUAGCACGGUGCUUAUUUUUUAUAAACAUUUGUAAGAGUGAAAACUGUUGUGUUGCCACCUGGAUCUGGGUUGCAAAUUGUUUAACAUGUAAUCCUCUAGGCACCCUUAAUAGCCCCCCUGGGCCCUGGGCAGCCUCUGUUUGCUCCUCCACCCGGGUCUCUCCCUUCCGUCCAGUUUUUGAAUUUUAGGAAUAUAACUAUUAGAUUGAUAUUACUAAUUUUUGUAAUGACAAUUUUCCAUGAUGCGGAUUUCAAGUUACACUUUGUCUAUUUAUUUAUUUUAUAUUAUAUUGGUUUAUGACUAUAAACUUAUGAUUAUGGGAUAAUAUAUGUGAUUAUAGAUUUAAAGUAUCAAGUUUAAAUAUUGUUGGCUAAAUUACUAGUCAAACAUCGUAAAUUUUGAACCUUUUGAUAACAUACGUGCCUUAUAAACUGGACCGGAGAAAGCUAAAAAUAGAAUACAUAUUCGUUUUAUUGUCCUGGCACAAUAAUCAUUAGUUCAUCAAAUGAUUCUUAAGGAGCUUUUAGAUAUGCAUGACUUUUAGGUCCGCCUAUGGUCCCAUAGCACGGUUGGUGUUGUUAGGUCGAAACAUGACAUCCUUUUCCCUUCGAGAAAAGAAACUAUCGUGACAGCAACGUGCUAUACCACCUCGAGUAUGCAUAAUUAAGAAGCGUAUGCAUGACCAUGACCUAUGUCUAUGGCCUAUCCUGGCUUGCCUUCCCGGCAAUUCCGGCACCACCCGAUUGUCAUUUCGCAAGUUUCUUUCAACUAGUGGACAGGUGUCUAGCACCUACGGAGUGUAUCAUUUAACUACUGCACAUGAUAGCACCCUUCUGGAACACAUGGAUUGGAAACAAAACAACUUCUUUCAUUUGUUUAAGGUUCACAGAUCCUAUCAAAGUCGUCAUAACUCAUCAGGACCAAACCGCGCAACUUCCCGCGGUGUGACCCAGUAACCACUAACCACACUGAUGAGUCAUGAGUAAAGUGGCUUGCUGCUUUCGUUGAACAGCCAAAUGUAGUUGCUCGCUGCUAGUUGUUCUUUGCUUAGCAGGCACGCGUUGCUUGCCCGAUCAAAGAAAAUGAUAGCCAUAGAGCAACUCCAACCCACCUCCUAAACAAGUCUCUAUUCUAAAUCUAGGGACUUGAUUUAAAAAAAUCAACUCCAACCCACCUCCUACUUGGACUCCCAUUUUUCAUGUCCUCCUAAAUUAUAGUUUCAACCCCUCACAUCUAGAACCCCCUAUCCUACUUGUUUAGGAGGUGGGUUGGAGUUGAGUCUUAAUUUGAGCUCCUACUUUUUUUAUCAUAGCAUGUAAAUAAAAAAUUAAAGGCUUAAUUUAGGGACUUGGGUUGGAGUUGCUCUAACAACAUGAGCGCCAGAAAGAUGAUGCUUUAGACUUUUCUUGAGACAGCAAGCAAAGUUUGGUGGCUUCUUCUGUUCUGAUCUACAGGUCUCUUGCUUUGUAUAGUACAGUACCGUUCGUGUUUGGUCCAUACUUAGCUGUGCAUGCCAUGGUUAUGGGUGGCCUCAACUAUUGUGAAAACGUAGCAUGAAGCGAGCGAGGUGUCAAGAAACACCAAGAUUUGCCAACCAAAACUUAAUUUUCUGCAUUUUUGGGGGUGGGGGGGGGGGGGGGGUGUGCAAUAACCCGCUUGGGGUUUUGGUUACAUACUCACAUUGGAUUGAAGUCGCAACUUGCAAGGUGCCAGAGUUAAUUCGUCUAGUCCAUUCGGUUUUGGUGCGAUGAUUGUUUUCAUCAUGGUAGUUAGAUGUAUCUUUCUGAGCCCGCAAAAAAAGAAAUCAUUCUGAGAUGUUGUUUCUACUAUAAAACCAAUAACAAUAAUCCACAACUGCAAGUAAACUUCCGUACGUAUAGUUGAUGGAUGAUGGCUGCGUGUCGAUCGCUGUUUAGUUGAAGCCUUGCUAGGCAGCUGCGCAGCCAGGCAACAAUGUGGACCCACUCUGAUGAAAUCAUAGGCCUGAGCCUUUGACCGCUGCCUGUACCAAGCAGUUUACCACAAUCCCAAUCAGCUUGGGCCUGUUUAGUUUCCCACCCAAAAAUUUUUCAUCCAUCCCAUCGAAUCUUUGGACACAUGCAUAGAACAUUAAAUGUAGAUAAAAAAAUAAACUAAUUACACAGUUUAGUUAAGAAUUGUGAGACGAAUCUUUUAAGCCUAGUUACUCCAUGAUUAGCCUUAAGUGCUACAGUAACCCACAUAUGCUAAUGACAGAUUAAUUAUGCUUAAUAAAUUUGUCUUGCAGUUUCCUGACGAGCUAUGUAAUUUGUUUUUUUAUUAGUUUCUAAAAACCCCUCCCGACAUCCUUCCGACACAUUCGAUGUGACACACCAAAAAUUUUCGUUCCCAAUCUAAACAGGCCCUAACUUGUCGGUCCCUCAUACUCCAAUCUUCUUUUCUACUAUAGAGAAGAAAGAUUGCCCACCUCCUAUCUCAUUCAUUCACCUACCGGCAUCUAGUAUAUAUUGACUAUUGAUUUGGACUUCAGUCUCGUGCUCUCGUCUUGUAUUCUUCGUUUGAUAUGGACACAGUUGAAGAAUGCUUGUAUAUAUAUAGUUCAAAAAGGAAAAAAAAUCGACACCUAAUCAAAAUUCGCGCGCUUUUUUGCUCCAGGUGACCCACUUCAAAUGCGGUGGCGUGGCUAUCGGCGUUGGCAUGCAGCACCACGUAGCCGACGGCUUCUCCGGCCUGCACUUCAUCAACUCGUGGGCGGACCUCUGCCGCGGCGUCCCGAUCGCCGUCAUGCCCUUCAUUGACCGGUCCCUCCUCCGCGCGCGUGACCCGCCGGCCCCGGUCUACCCGCACGUCGAGUACCAGCCGGCGCCCGCCAUGCUGUCCUCCGAGCCGCCACAGGCGGCCCUCACGGCCAAGCCGGCGACGCCGCCCGCGGCCGUUGCCAUCUUCAAGCUCUCCCGCGCCGAGCUGGGCCGCCUGCGUUCGCAGGUCCCCGCGCGCGAGCGCGAGGGCGCGCCGCGGUUCAGCACGUACGCGGUGCUGGCGGCGCACGUGUGGCGGUGCGCGUCCCUGGCGCGCGGCCUGCCGGCGGACCAGCCCACCAAGCUGUACUGCGCCACGGACGGCCGGCAGCGGCUGCAGCCGCCGCUUCCCGAGGGCUACUUCGGCAACGUGAUCUUCACGGCGACGCCGCUGGCGAACGCCGGCACGGUGACGGCCGGGGUGGCGGAGGGCGCGGCCGUGAUCCAGGCGGCGCUGGACCGGAUGGACGACGGGUACUGCCGGUCGGCGCUGGACUACCUGGAGCUGCAGCCGGACCUGUCGGCGCUGGUCCGCGGGGCGCACACGUUCCGGUGCCCCAACCUGGGGCUCACCAGCUGGGUGCGCCUGCCCAUCCACGACGCGGACUUCGGGUGGGGCCGGCCCGUGUUCAUGGGCCCCGGCGGCAUCGCGUACGAGGGGCUCGCGUUCGUGCUCCCCAGCGCCAACCGCGACGGCAGCCUGUCCGUGGCCAUCUCGCUGCAGGCGGAGCACAUGGAGAAGUUCCGGAAGCUCAUCUACGACUUCUGAUCUCCGAGCUCCUCCCAAGAAGUCGUCAGUACCAUACCAACCAGUACGCGCAGCACAGAGAAGCAGAAGAAGCGGUAGCAAGAGGUGCAGGGAGGGUGAUUUUUCAGCUAUGAAGUCUGGAGGGAGUACUCCGUAGGUUGCAGCAAGAUUCUUUGAUUUCACACAUAGUUCCUGCACACUUUCCCGUUCUUGCCUGCCCCCUUUGGGCAGGGUGUAUACUUUUUUGUGCCGUUUGGUUUACGAGCCCCAGCAAUUGUAUGAUGAAUGAACAAUUUAAUACGUUCUGAAUGAUACAGAUCAAUAAGACUAAUUAACUUACCUCUUGAGUUUUUUUUUUGAUAUAGAUAAGCAUAGAAGAGUAUACAUAUGCAGGAGUGCAGGACAGUGGUACGAUUCGAGUUCGAUCGACAAACGAGAAAGUACAGCCUGAACUUAUAAUCUGGUCUGGACAUGAUCAUAUGACUGGGCCUUCUUUUGAACGUGUACUAGUUGACGAAUUGAGACAUCCCAAACGGGCCCGCUGAAUAAUUUGGGCUCUAGAAAGACACUGCAACGGAACGAAGUACAGUGCAAUACUCUUUUUCUCGUGGAAGUGGAACGUUGUCUCUUGUCUGAUUCCAUGGAUUGCAGCGAUCGGAACAGGUCGCACACGUCCCCUUUUUGUUUAUCAUAUAUAUAGUAGCCCGAACCACACGCGUGGACAACGUGGCAACAAGAAAGAUGAGGAUUAGGUCAAGACUCGAGUGGAGCUCCAUAUUGCUUGUUGGUGUUGGUGGCUGGUGGGUGUUCGCCAACCCUGGCCGGUUGCAAGUAGGUGACGACACUGACACGGGCUCCGUGUGGCCGGCCGUAGCUUCCUCCCCGCGCGGAUUACGAUUGUACUCAGGCUGCAGGGGUCCACGGCACGGACGCAAUUGGCGAUUGCACAGUCGAGGUUGGUGGUGUAUCGUCACCACUGUCUGCCCUCACCCGUACCAAACAGAAUUUUUACCGUCGUCAACCGGUUGGAUGGAUCAUCGCCGGUAUAUAGCGUAAAACAACGUAUGUAAUAAAUAUAUAUAUAUAUAUAUAUAUAUAUAUAUAUAUAUAUAUAUAUAUAUAUAUAUAUAUAUAUAUAUAUAUAUAUAUAAAGACUAAAGUGUGGACAUUUUUUUUGUGCGACAAUCAACUUCGGCUCUUCGUCCUGCCUCCUGCGAUCUCCCAUCCCUCGCACCUACGCUCUCGCUUGCAAAAAAAAAGGAAAGAACAAACCUCGCUCGUCACAUUCCUGCAAUCCCGCAGACUCACACCCCUCACGCCGCCCCCUGCUGCGUCACAGCGCGCCUCCGCCACCACCUGUCGUCGCCCACCUGCAUCGUCGCAGUGCGCCUCCGCCGCCCGCCGCCGCCUGCGAGGCCACCUUUCUGACGUUCUUGGAGAUCUUUGGGGGAGGAUUUAGGAUACUGGAGUCUCCCGGUGGCUUCCAAACAUGCGCUCCAAUUUCCUCCACUACAAAUCCGCAGCCCUCAACCAACCUGCCUCCCACGCCGCGCCGAGUCGUGGAGGCGCCAACGUCCCUGCGCCGCCGCCGUCACGGCCGGGGGGCAACAGGACAACUGUCCGGCAGCACCGUGCCAUCUCGUCCGCGACCUCAGGUUCAUCCGAAACCUCGCUAAUUCAGGCAGGAUCAAACCGACACUUGCAACCGACACUUGCAAUGGUGUGCUCCUUCCACCCCUCCACUCCUCCUAUUGUACAUAUGAAUUUGAUUUCCUACGACCUGCGAAUCCUGCCAUCUGUCGAAUGUGGGUUUUCUACAUGCAAAUCUAUCUAUAAGCAUCUCCAAUUUUCAAUUUUCCGAGCUAAUUUUUGUUGAAUUUUAUUUCUUCCUUUUUGGGUGAUUUUUGUGGAAUUUUUGUUCUUCCUUUUUGGAUGCGAAUUGGGGCGAAUUUAUUGAUGGGCUUUGCUGGUAGGAUAUGUGACAAGAUAUCUUUGUCAUCAAACCAUUUGAUCUAACCUUUAAUUUGGGAUUUUAGAAGGUUCCCCUUUUCUAGGGUUCCGAGAAACAUGACACUGUGGUUUGGAUUUCUUUUCCAUCGGUUUUGAUUUGGUUUGUUUGAUGUGGUUUCAAGCAUACUUUACCACCAACGGGUGUCGCUCCAGCAUCAACGCAGGUGCGCGCCUGGCCUUCGCCCUGCUGACCUCAGGCACUCCGUGUUCGCCGAGGUCGAGUUUUACGGAGACGUCGUCCUUUGUUUCUUGUGUGUAGAGGAACACUUGCUAAUCUCCAGAGCCUCUGUCUCCUGCCAACAGUUGGGCCGCCCUUGCCAAUCUCUGGAAUUAUAGGAUAGCCUCACUGUGCCCACAGUUUAUAAUCCCGAGCACCUUGCCACCAGCUAGGUAUGUGUCUCAAUCUUGAAUCUUGAUCUGAACUCAAUUCUCGAUCCGGUUGGGCGCCACUAUAGUCAUAGUUUAUUGUUUGCCUCACAUCUCAUAGAGUUUAGUUUGCUGCUAGACUUUUGUUGCAUUCUUUUUCGAUGAGCAUUGACGAUUGAUAUUGAUAUUUUGCUUGUGUAGGAAAACACAUGCCUAUGUGCAUACCUCUCCUGCAGCCAUGGUUAAACUUGCAUAUGUUUCGUCGGCCUUCCAUGCAUGCAGACAUCCAUCACCAGGUUCAAUGUGAUUGUUGUUUCAUGGUCGGGUUAUUUAUUGAUAGGCCUAUGUCAUCUCGAAGUAACUAUUGGUGUUGGAAUUCAGGUUAAUCUAUUUGAUAUUUUGCCAGGGCUAUUCGAUGGACAUCUCAAAUGUGUGUGAUCUGAGGGCUACUUUGCAGUAACAAAGUUAUUAGGUAUAUCUUGCUGCGACAGAUCAUCAUUUUACUAAAUGCUACCUACGAGAAUAGGUGUCAAUUUUUUUUAGAAAAAUCAGCUUGACCAAAUCUUUCUCUCCUUGACUUUAUCAACAGUAUAUAAAUGUUUUCUAAAAUUAAAUGUAGUUACUUUUUGUCCAUGUUGCCCCCUAAUUUCAGUGUUAGCUCUCAGUGAAUUCAUUCAUUUAGUGCUUUCCCCAAAAUCCACUAAAUCCUUCUAGAGUUGAUUUUUGUCUUUCUACAAAAAAUGGCUUCACCUAUUUCCUUCUAGAGGAACAUGAGGGUAUUUAACGCAUCAGCAUGCAUGCAACUCUUACUAUUUGCGGCAUGUAUGGUAGUAUGAUGUGGAAACACAAUAAAGAAAGCACUAUGUGAUUGUAAUGGUCUAGACUGUUAAUUGAUUUGCCAAAUGAUUUCCGUAGAUCUUAAAACUAAUACUGGUGGCACUUGGCAGUAUUAUGUUUUAUUUGUAAAAUAAAUUAGUAGUUGAUGGUCAUUGUAAUAUGAAGAAUUCUUGAUUGAUGGUGUUUGUGUGUUGUCACUUGUCUGCUAAACCAAGAUUCCAAUGUGACGACUAUGUAUCCUCCUUGGAAUGUGAUUUUAUGGACACUGAUAUUUAUGACCCUUAAGUUCUAGGUGUUGGUUCUAGAAUAAAAAAAUCACAUAGUACAUUUUCAUAUAUAUUCUUUCAGUUAUGUGGCCAUUGUUCUUUAGUCUAGAGUCCUUUGUAGGUGGUAAAAGGCCUGAUCUCAAAUUCAUUUUUUUUUCUCCUAUGCAUUUGAAGUAAUUCUUGUUCUGUAUUUUUGUAAGGAUUUUUCAGUAAAGGUUGGCUAACUUGGACAAACGUUCUCCUCUACAACAGCCUGAACUAAACCUUCCCUUUGCUGGCAUGCUAAAUGUUAAGAAAAUAAUUAGCAUAAUAUAUACAAUGAUCUGCUGAAUUUCUUUUCUGCACAUACCUAUCUUGUUUCUAUUCUUUUGUGUUUCUUCCAUGAUUCCUGAUCCCUGACGAUGUUAAAUCUUGAAUGCAUAUAGGAUUGGAGUGUAUGUUCUGUUUGAAUAGCCCGAUGUGAUCGGUGAUCCAUAUUGGAGUUCUGGGCUUCAGGCAAGGCAAAUUGCACAAGGUUAACUAAGGUAAUGGCUUUUUGACAUUUUUCACUGGGGUGCAUGCAGUUGCAGGACCUCUGAAUGCGUGUCUUCUUAUCACACUGAUUUCUUAAAUUCUACUUGCAUUACAUCUCCAUCUUUAUACAAAUUACUCUAUUUUAGCAGGACUACAGAACAUGGGCGAAGCAUGUAGAUUAAAGAAAAAUAGAUGUCCAGACUAUUCACAAUGAUGUUGCAACUUUUUUAGGAGGUUUUAUAAUUUAAUGGAAAACCUCCUUGCUAUUGUAUAUAGAGCUUGUCUGCCUUAUCUUCCUCACAUAUAUGUGUGUGUACCAACCUAAAGAAAACAAUAAGGCAAAGACCAAACAAGGCUUGUUCCCCUAUAAUAUGUACCAGAUCUGUUUUUUGAACUUGGCUAAAUUUGUUGGAUUCAUAAUCAUGGCUAAUAGUAAUAUUAAUAUAUGUUGGCUGAUAAUAAAAAUAUUUCAUGGUAAAUAGGGAUGGUUUUGUACUAAUAAACAGCUAGAACCUAUAAUUUUGUUCUUACAGGUAAACUUCUAUUGUCCCUGAGCUAAGAUUGAUUUAUGUCUACUCUCUAGCUAACUCUUGGCAGUUGGCACUAAUUUUUAAUGGCAGUAAUGUGAGCCUUCCAAACUCCUAGAACCGAGAAAUGUGGGCACCAAAUGUGGACCUCAAGUUAGUUGCCAAUAUUACCAAGAUUCAGGCAGUAAUCAGUAAGAAGGAACUGACAACUUACCCCCUUGACAUGUCUCUGUGUAACAACAGCUCACAAAUUCUAUGGUUGAACCAUACAAGGCAUGUCUCCCUUUGCAUUCAGAUAUUUUUAAUGUUUAGAAGAUAUACAAAAGUUAUGAUAUUUUAUACCUAUGCUUAUGUAAUUAACAAAACAACUACAAUUUAUCUCUCCUUUAUGAUAAUUUUAAAUCUAUGUAAUUCUAUGCUUGAUUACCAAUGCUACAAUGCACAUCAUCAACAUUUUCAUUCGAUUUGCAUUACUUAAUUCUAUUUUUGAGCGUAUCAGCUGAGUGGGAGCUUAACAUUGCUUCACUUAUUGUGAUAAUAUUUUUUUUCUGUUGUAACAAACAACUAUGAUCAUAGCCAGAUGCUUUCCCUUAUGCAGAUCAAGCACAUUAUUUGGCCAGAAAAAUUGAUGGACCUGUAUAAACUUUUUUUGUCAUUCUAUUAUGAAUGCUUGAAAAUACGAAUGACUAUCAAAUUAAAAAUUAUCAUUUAGUACAAAAAUGGACAGAAAUGUAGUAUAAAAACUACGCCAUGAAAAUUCAAAACACGUUUAAAUUUAAAAUUAUCAUUAUGUGAGCAUGUGACGCCACGCUUUGUGACUGAGUUAGUUUCAGAAACUUUAUUUUUUAGAUUAAAUGUCACUUUAAUAUUGGUAUUUAAUUUUACGAUGUUAUUAUUUUAUAUCGUGCGAUCCAUGUGUUUUUAUACAAAAUGUUAAUUAUCCCGUAGCAACGCACGGGCACUCUUCCUAGUAUAUAUAUAUAUAUAUAUAUAUAUAUAUAUAUAUAUAUAUAUAUAUAUAUAUAUGGCAAACGCUUUUACGUAAUUCUCAAAACACGAACCUAACAUAUAUUUUCUGCCUAUACAUGUCGUACUCUAUUUACCCAUACUCCUUGUACCCACACUCACAUUAACACAGCCCCUCUUAAAAAAUCAUAUUAUCUCUGCAAUUAACAUAGAUGUACCCUUGAUGGCUUCUACAAAACUCGUCUGAUUCCAACAACCUAUGGAAUAAUAUACAGUAACAAUACAUUUAUUGUAGUUCUUUAUAGACACAUUUCUCCUAAUUCCUGACAGGUACAUGACCACAUCAUCCUGACACCGAGUCAUCGAUCAGCAACUCAGACGAUGAUGAACAAGGAUGGGAGUUUGAUCUCAACAUGAACCUUGGUUUAUCUUACCGGCUCUAUCACAGCCCAACAAAUUCUAUAGUCCACGGACUCGGUGCCUUUAGUAAUAUUUAGGCCUACCACUAUCUGGUACUUUUAUGCACUGCAUUUUGCAGGAAUUAGCCUACACAUCCUGCUGAUGCUAUGUAAUAUUGCUACCUACCACUCUGCAGUGCUUUCGUAUGGCCACCAAGACUUUGUGUAUGAUAGACCUAAUAUCUAUAGCUGUUGCAUAAACUGCUCUAUAUACAUAGCUUUGCUCUCUGGUGUAUAUAACAUUAUUUCAUAUCCGAGCAUGGACAAAAUGUACAUAGAUAUCAGCAAAGGCAUUCUAUAGAUAAACAUAUACAUAGUAUUAAUGUGUGCAUCUUCUCCAAUCAACAAUCAUCAGUAUCCUUUCUAAUCGUGCGCAUGGGCGCGCGUUUCCUACUAGUAUAUGUAGUAGCCCGAACCACACGCGUGGACAACGUGGCAACAAGAAAGAUGAGGAUUAGGUCAAGACUCGAGUCGAGCUCCAUAUUGCUUGUUGGGUGUUGGUGGCUGGUGGGUGUUCGCCAACCCUGGCCGGUUGCAAGUAGGUGACGACACUGACACGGACUCCGUGUGGCCGUAGCUUCCUCCGCGCGGAUUACGAUUGUACUCAGGCUGUAGGGGUCCACGGCACGGACGCAAUUGGCGAUUGCACAGUCGAGGUUGGUGGUGUAUCAUCACCACUGUCAGCCCUCACCCGUACCAAACAGAAUUUAUACCGUCGUCAACCGGUUGGUUGGAUCACCGCUGGUAUAUAUCUACUGGCUUCUCGCAUAUCAUUUUUUUUGUUUUUUUGGCGAGAAAUAUCACUACUGGUUUUAAGUGAACCGGCUAUGAUGCCUAAUUGCAUGUUACUGUUGCAGUGCACGAUUGAUUCUGUUUGCUUCUAGUUCCUAGCUGGUAAUGAGAAUGGAGCUGUCAAGUUCCUUUUUUUUUCCAUUUUUACAAAAGCAAGUUAAGAUAUCGGGCACCGACAUAUACAUAAAACCAAAUUUUUUUAAAAAAAAACAUUACAUAGAACCAAUUACAUGUGCACACAAGCACAUAUGGUAAGACAAAACAAGCAUUAAUCUCAGCUGCAUGGUUCUCAAUAUUAAGAACCAUUUAAACCACUUAUCUUGUGGGGCUAGAUUGAUGCUCACACCAGUGGACUCGUCCAUAUGUUGUUGCUAGCAAGUCAGCAGCAAACCUUCAGAAUACUUUGUUAAAUUUGGAGUUCUUUGACCAUGCAUGCAGUAAGCCAAAUGAGUCCAAUUGCAACAUUCAUGUCUCUUUACAAAGCUCAACUUCUUCUCAAAGUUUAGUAUUUGAAUUACAAAACGCAUCUGGGAUACAUGUAGCACACAACAUCAUGGCCACUACUGAUGGAUGAGCUUGUUAUGGAUGCAAACGAGUUUAUCUACAAACCCACAAUUAUUUAUGGGUUCGCAGACAAAACCGCUCGUAUCCCUAAAGGUGUUGAGGUAUUAUUAGCCCUGCUAAUGGUUUUGAGACCGGAUUACUUUGUUUUGGUGGAGCAUGGAUUGAGAUUUCAGAUGACAUGUUUAGGUUUGGACCUUCACUAAAAUUUCAUAGGUUUGAAUUGAAACCGGAAGCUCAAAAUAUGGUUUGAAACUAUAAGCCUAAAAUAUAAGUUAAACCACAUGCUAGGAUGUACGUAUACCAUUAGGCAACAGAGCGGAUGAUGUGGUACAAUAUGAAAGUCCUAGUCCUAGAGAAGGAGGCGUAGGCCCAGCCUAACUGCGUAGUCACUGUCGUUGAUCGAGAAGAAAGCUAUUGCGCAAUCAGUGUUGAUGAAGAUAGUGACGAUGGCAAACUAGCUCGGCGACACUAUUGGCAAGUUAUUAUUCUAAAAGUCAAAGAACCACCAUAUUCAAGCAUAGCACUACAGACGACUACUUCCAAGGAAAUCUAGUCUAGUGGAUAGCAGAAGUAAAACGAAAGGCAGCGUGAUGAGGACAUUGCUGUUGUAAACAACCUUUACAACGACCAAUUACUUAAGGUCGUGCACGUCACUUAAGUCAUGAAAUGAAUUCAUUACUCUCACUUUAUACUAUUGUUUCUAAGGAUGCUAUGCUAUUGAAUUCUUGUGAUAGUUUGAUUCUGAGGAAUAUGGGUGUGUUGCUUAUGAACAUGUCAAAGUGUGGAGCUCUGAUUAAUUUUAACUCAGAGUUAGAUUUUGUCUCAGAAUCAGACAGCCAUGCACUAAAUCCAUGAUAACUUCUUGUAUAGAGUCUAAUUAAGGUGAUCUCGAAUGUGUUUGAGAGCAAGACAAUAGUUUUGUUUUGGCUCAGGUCUAACUCUAGAUUCGUCAUGGAACAUUCUUUGUGAAUAAAACUGCGUGGCGUGUCACUUAGACCAAGUUAAGCCUUGUAAGCGUGUUUGAUUAAGAAACACUAUUUCCACACAUAAAAAAGGUAAGUUAUAAUAAUAUAUUUCAUAAUGUUUCUGAUUGAGCCUAGGUUGUCAAAAGUUUUAUUUUUUUUAUAAAUUUGAUCAAAUUUGAAAUCAAUUGACUUAGGUAAAAUGAAAUACAUUUUAUUUGGGGACGAAGUGAGUAGCAUAAAUAAAAGAUUCUUUAUUUUUUUUCUAAAUUAGGGCCUGUUUAAUUCCUAAAUAAUGCAAAUUUUUUAUGACCAAAAUCUUUUCGCUAUAUUUUUUACAAAUACAAACUUUACAGGUUGGUGUUUAGAUACAUACCAAAUCUUUUGGUGCAAAUAAGUGUGAGAGCAUAUAUGUCACCCAAGAACAUUUACACGGUUUUAGACCUCCUACUUCGCAAAACACAAAAGUUUAUAGGAUAUCUUUUUUGACAACUUUAAAGUGUUUAGUUCUCAAAUGUAAAAAAGUGAUCUGAAUCCAAAAUAUUUUAGCAUUUUGGGUGUAACUCCUUGUUGUGAAAAUUUAACACGCUUCUUGUGAAUUUAAUGUGCAAAAUUAUUGCUGAGAGUGCUCGAGAGUCUCUCCACUCUUCGGGAAAAUACAAAAGCAAGCAAGGAGCCAUCUCGAAUUCUCGAUCCAUUCCCCACCCAUCCAUCUGAAGGCGAGGGUUAUCUCGUACCUCCCCCGCAGGCCGCAUCCGAGCGCAAACAAAACUCCUCUCCGCGCCGGCCCUCCACCGGCGACCGCGCGCCCAUGGCUGCCUUACUCCGCACGGCCGCGGCCCUCGCGCCCCCGCCCUCGUCGCCGCUGCCCGCACGGGAGCCGCGUGGGCGGUGCCUGCGGCUCGCCUGCUCCCGGCGCGCGCCCGCCCGACCGCUCCGGGCGUGGCUGCUGCCGACUCCGCACGUCUUCUGUCGCGACGGGGCCCGGUUCCGGCGCCUGGCCGCCACCGAGGCCGACGAGGCUGCGCAGACGGCGACGCAGGUGAGGGUGGGUGUUCUGGUGGCCGUAGCUCGUGUAACCUCUGUCGUUCCUCUGUGUCCAAUGGACGGGUGGUUGCUUCAAUUGUGAAGAAUAGCUGUGAGAUUCCUGAUAUCGUUAGCGUCCUAGUAAAUUUGAAGUAGAAAAAUAUGAACCGGAGGUGACAUGUUGUUCAUUCUUUGAACAACAGGGUUGCCUAUGGUCUGUUUAGUGAUGGUAAUGAUCUGCAUUCACUUCUGACAACGAAUUAUUUGCUCUUACUUGUUUGGAGUAGGUAGAUACACAAUUUUUGUCAAAGCUACCGCUUCUUUUCGCUAUGUUUUGAUUAUAUGGCUGGGGAUACAUAAGUGCUGUAAUUUGGGGGAAUAAGCAGCUGGACCUACAUUCUUGAGUUGUUUUAUGUCCAGUUAAAAAUCUUUCAGUAUGUUGUUUGGUAAAUCAUGAAGAUUUCUGCUUUGCCUUCUUCAGUGCCCUGUAAAGACCUUGGUUAGUCAUGAUUAGUGAUUUUUAGGUGGUCCUCAAGAAGAUCCUGAUUUAGCAAUGUAGGACAGUUGUGAUACUUAAACUAUAUAGCCUCGCUGUCCAUGAUAGUUAUAUUUUCGCUGGGAAACAUUCGGAAAUUCAUGUUAAGUUAUGCUAAAUUAUGAUUCAUUUUCAAUAUAAGCUUGUUGGCUUCAUAACUCACACUCACUAGUCUAAUGUAAAUUUCUUUUGAAGUUUGAUCAAUAUUAGAGCGAGUAUUGGAUAGGACUUUUGCAAGUAAUGACUGCCAAAGUUUCACUAAUUCGAAAGCAUUAGCUAUCUGUUAGAAAAACCAGGGUGCUGCACUUUUAUGGAAAACCUUGGAAAAGUAGGGUAGUCGCAUCAGUGGUGCAUCUUUGUUUAGUGGAACUUAUCUGUACUUGUAAAAACACUUUCAUGUGAUGCUGCCACUCUGAUGGUGUGACAGCAAUAGCAGUACCCAGCUGCAUGCCUGUGCACCUGUGCUAAUUCAUGAAGAUGCUAGUCUCCUGUUUGAUCCUUGAAGUAUAGCAAAAUGCACAAUCUUGUUGGUUGAGGACAUUGAUUUGUUGCAUUUCACUAUAAAUGCUAUUAUGUUAUUAUGUUGGAAUUUUGUUAGAGGUCUUUGGAUUUGAAAAGUUAUAUAUCGAAGCCUUCAUUCUAGCUUUAGAUACAGUAUGGCACUGAUUUGUGUAACGCCUUUACAAUAGUUAAAUUGCAGUGCAGGGAUGCAAUCUUUCUGCAGAUUACAUGACAGCAACAUAAUAAUUUAAAGGAAAAUGUUCUAUUAUGUUAGGUUGGAAUUUUCUUUAAAGAUGGCAUAGUGCAACAAUAUCUUGCUUUCCUUUGAAUGCUUGUUUAAAAGCCGAAGAAAUUCAUUAUCAAUUCUAUCCACCUCCAUGUACAGAUAAUCUGUCUAUUGGAUGCUUGGGCUUUUUUGUAUGAUAUUGUUUUUCUAUGCUGCAGGAGGAUUCAGAAACCGAAGUUACUGGAGAUAGUGCUGCAGAUGAUGGUGCUGGAAGCACAGAUGAAACUCCAUCUAUUAUUGUGACAACACUGCAGUCAUACAGAGAAGCUCUGAUUAAUGAUGAUGAAGCAAAAGCUGCUGAGAUAGAGUCCUUUUUACUUUCUAUCGAGGAUGAGAAGAACUCUCUUCUGAACAAAAUCACUGCUCUAAAUGCCGAACUAGCAACUCAACGAGAGCGUAUCUUGAGGAUCAGUGCUGAUUUUGACAAUUUCAGGAAAAGGACAGAAAAUGAGAAGCUUAACAUGAUGGAAAAUGUGCAAGGGGAACUUAUAGAGAGCUUUUUGCCUGUUCUCGACAACUUUGAAAGAGCAAAAAUGCAAAUAAAGGUGGAAACAGAGGGAGAGGAGAAAAUAAAUAAUAGCUACCAGAGCAUUUAUAAGCAAUUUAUUGAGAUUCUGAAUUCACUGGGCGUUGAAGAUGUCGAAACUGUUGGCAAACCAUUUGAUCCUAUGGUAAGCUAGUCUUAGCAAAACAUCAUCUAGACUAAAAUUAAAUUCUGAGAUUUGCAUAUUCCACUUAAAGUUUUGUUGCUACACUACAUAUCUACUCGUACAUUUUUAGUAUUUCAGUGUAAUCAGGUGGUAGAGUCUAUUGACUAUUUGACUUCUGCAACAGAAAUGCUAAAUCUUUAUAGCUGUCCACAUCCGAGCAUUUGCAAGGGUCUUUUUUUUUCCUUUUAAAAUGAUUCCUUAUUGCACCUUGUGUUUCAGCUUCAUGAGGCUAUUAUGAGAGAAGAUUCAUCGGAGUACGAAGAGGGGAUCAUUCUCCAGGAAUUUCGAAAAGGUUUCAAACUCGGGGAAAGAUUACUCCGCCCAGCAAUGGUUAAGGUAUCUGCAGGACCAGGCCCUGAAGUGUCUGCAGGACCAGGCCCUGAAGUGUCUAGAGAUGAUGACCCUACAGUUGUGGAAGACAGUGUGGCACCUCAAAAAAUUGAAGAUGUUGAAGACGACGGUGUUGAUGGCGAUGCAGAAUAGGUGGAUGGAGCUUAAUCUGUGAAUCAACAAGAACAGGUCCAGAAAUUUUGAUGCUUUUCUGGAGCGUGCCAAGCAGGUAAUAGGAUAGUACCAAUCCGUUCAAGGUAGAGUUAGGUCCCCAGAUGUGCUGUUCUUCCCUGCUGCUGACAUGGGGUGUUGGUGUUGGUAUUGCGACAAAAUUUGUGUUCCUACCCGCCGUGGUCGACUUUUUGUUCUUACAAAGAGGAUUUUCAUGAUUCAUUGAUGCAACAUGAUAUUGUAAGGACUAAAUUGACUCUGAUUUGCGAUUGAUCCUCUCUGAAUUCCAUCGUUUGUACAUUCCGAUCGGAACGGCAGUGCCCGGGGCAAACAGAGUGCUGGAGUAUAUAGCAUGAUAAUUUAGAAAGAAAAUCGGACAUUGCCAAGCUUGCGAGUUCUAACAGAGAACUAUAUGAUUAAUAAUUACUAUAUCUCAGCAGCAUUUCAUGUUGGAAAUUCCUUUUACGAGUAGACGGAAAUGGAAAUCAGAUCACCGUCAUACUUCUAUGGGCCUAAUCCCCCCAAUGUGGGCCUUAACACCCUUGCCCCCAUGCCCAGCCCACGUCUUAUAUAUAGAGAGAGAGCCAUAAGAGGCAGCUGCCACCACUAACCCGAUCGGGUCGUCGCGCGCCUCGUCUGCCCCAACCCGCCGCCACGCCCCGUGCCCUACUUUUGCACCAGCGUUGGCCGAGCUCGUGACCGCCGUCGACGUCGAUCUCGUCCGUCAGCACUGUUCUUCCGCCCGCGAUCUGCAGCUGCGUUAUAUAUACUUGAGCCGAAGUCGUGCUGCCGCCUGCCGCCGGUGAUUUUCUUCUCUGGACACCUCUGCCGUCUAAGUUUUGCCUUGCCGCCUGAGUCAGCAUAUGGAUCCUGAAGUUUUGCCUAUAUGCAUGGUUUAAUCUAUUCUAAGUUUCUAACUGUAUGUGGUUAAGAGUACGUUAAUUAGCCAUUUGUUUAAUCCUUCUUCAUCCAACUGUUCUAACUCAGCCAGUCCAAUAAUUCUUUUGAUAUAUUAUUAGUUCAUCCAAUGAUAUAAAGACCCCUCUAUAUUCGUGUACUAGCGUUGUUUUUAGCAUAUACUCAAUCCAUCCCAAAUUGUAAGUUGUUCGACUUUUUUAAUAUCAAGUUUGAUCACUCGUCUUAUUCAAAGUUUUGUACAAAAUAUCACUUUUUUAUUGUGUAUUGGUUUAUUAAUAAAAGUUCUUCAAGAAUGACUUAAAAUUUGACUAUAUUUGCACAAAUUUUUUGAAUAAGUCGAGUGGUCAAACUUGGGGUAAAAAAAGUCAAACGACUUGCAAUUUGGGAUGGAGGGAGUAGCUUUGUAUAUAUUGCUGCAAAGGUUUAGAAAUUUGGUAAUGAUAUUUUCCUAAACCAUUGUUCUGGCAUAUUAUUGUGUAAAUGAUUAACUAAACUAAACUAAUAGUUUGCACGGUCUAAUGUUAGUAAACUUUUAUUAGAAAAUACCUUUUUACCAUGCUAAAUAUAUAUAGCUCGGAAUAUUUAUGUAAUGAUUAUUGCGUUCUUCUACCAUCGUAGGGACAUGUUUAGCAUUUUAGUAUUCCUUUUCCAUUUUGUUUCUAUUUCUUGGUGUACUAUUUUAUUUGUCUUAAUUUGUUUGUUGUAUCUAAUAUAUAUGCUCAUGUGAUCGUUGUUUGGUACAUUUAGAAGCAGAGCAACUGGUGAACAUUAUUCAAGAGCAAGAUUUUGAAGACGCAACAACAACAAAACAUUAUACAAAGUAAGUGUCCUUGAUCUUUUUGAUAUCCCAUUUAUCAUUGAUACAUACUGCAUGCAUGUGUGAGUUACUCAUGAUGACUUCAUAGGAUGUACAAUCUUCCUUGUUAGCUAGGUAUAUGAAGAGUAUUAAAUGCUUAGUUGCUUUACCUUUUAUUUACGACAUAUGAUGAUCUUAUAAAUUGUUGAUACACCUUAUUAUUGUAUAUGGAAUUGAUGGUGAUACUUGGUAAUGAAUUUAAUUGGAACAUGGAAUGAACAUCCAAGAAAACAUUGCAUCAACAUUUUAGUAUUCCUUUUCCAUUCUAUUUCUAUUGGACAUUUUAGUAUUCCUUUUUCAUUUUGUUUCUAUUGCUUGGUGUACUAUUUUACUUAUCUUCAAUUGUUUAUUUGUAUCUACAUAUAUAUAUGCUUAUGUGAUCUAUGAUCAUUGUUCGCUAUGUUUAGGAUAGUAAGUGGUGAACAUUAAAGAGAGAUUUUCAAGACUCUAAGCAGCAACAAAAAAAAUUAUAAAAGGCAAGUGUUCUUGAUCAUUUUGAUGUCUCAUUUAUCAUUGAUUAUAUACUGCAUGCACAUGUCAUACCUCAUAAGGACUUCAUAGGUUCUAGAAUGUUCCUUGUUAGCUAGGAUACAUGAACAUAGAUUCUUAGUUGCUUUAGCUUUUAUUUACGAUAUAUGAUUUUAUAAAUUGUUGAUACACCUUAUCAUUGCAUAUGGAAUUGAUGGUGAUACCUUGUAACGAAUUUAAUUAGAACAUGAAGUGAACAUCCAAGAAAAGAUUGCAACCACACGAACUCAUCAUUAGUUUUGCCUAAUUAAUUAGAGGAUCCUUGUGUGGACAUUAGUUUCAUACUAACAUGGAUAUGGAAGAAGGCUUCUAUAUUAGGUGGCCUUUGGAUAUAGGAGUUUUCUCCUAUGCUUGCCUAAAUCCUAGGUAUGGGAGAUUGCUUCUACAACUUGUGCUCUAUAAACUAAUACGCUUCGAGGGACCCUUUGGAAAGGCCUCGUAGUGAAACCUUGCCUAACUUUGGAAGUGUUUAAUAAGUUGUCCACCUUAGGAAAACUAGUAUCAUGUCAUGUGGAUAAAAAUCUACAACCUCUAAGAGUGUCUAAAACUAAUAUACUAAUUCUUCUCACGGUUAUGAGUGACCUAGAUCUCGCAUGUUAUAUUUAUAUUAAUAUUAAUUAUUAAUUUUUAUGCUAUGUUUCAUAUAUGCUUACUUUAUGUUAUUUAACUUAUUUAUAUUUAUAUGUAAUCAGCUAAUGGUUUUGGGAUAACACACUUUAUUAAUGAAAUGUGAUGACUAAUAAGCUUACUGGAGUAUAACUAGUGUUAGUUAUUCCUUGUUUUAAGCAUGUGAAUAUCAUUCCCUAUGCAUGCUGAGUACGAUGAUAUUCACGCUUGCUUUAUUAUUAUUUUGGAAAAAUACUGAAUGAGUACUUAGAUAGAGGAGUCUAGGCAUAUGUGUUCCAUAGUAAGCUACCUAUGGAAGAUUAGAUGUUCCAAUACGAGUUAGUUUUUGAUGUGUUUGAAUUAUUUUUGUUAAUGACUUUGAGUGAACUUUGUAAUAAUUAAAUUAUUUUAUUUAAAGCAAUAUUUAUAUUAUUCACUAAUGAUGUCAUUGUAUGGGUGUAAAACUGAUUCUGGUGCACAUAUAAUCCACUUGGUUCUAUUCUUAGAAACUUUUGCUAUUUUCUGUUACACUAUAUCCUUAGCCUUAUUUUUUUAUCCCCAACUUGUUGCUUGUUAAUUCAUUCCUCUUGUGUUUAUUCCUUGCCUCAACAAGCUUUUAAGACUAUCUCUUACCUCACUCUUUUGUAUCCUAAAGAUGGCUACAACUUAUUGGAAAAAUCCUAGGAGUCUUUUUUCACCAUUUAGUCUAAAGAAACACUUAGUUUCAAGCACAUUUAGUAACUAGUUUAGGCUUGCUUGUGUAUUUGUUAUCAUGUUUAUGCAUGAGCUGCAUCUUUGUAAAGUGUGUCAUGUAUUGUAGGUUGUUGUCCAUGACAACAAAAGUUAUUGUUAGCUACAUUCCAAAUUAUAAGACAUUUUAGCUUUUCUCUAAUCAAGAUAUAGUGUAUAUCUAAAAAUGCAUAUCAAAAGUUGUGUCUAAAAAACCAAAAUCUUUAUAAUUUGGAAUGGAGGGAGUGAUUAGUUGGGGGGUUUAAUCUUGUUAUUAUUUGAAUCAUGUUAUGUGAUAUUCUUGUUCUUUGUAUCUAAUUUUUUAUACCAUGCUAUGAUAUCUUGCAUUCUAUACCUUAUUUUCACACGUUAUAUCUUGCUCAUACCCUUUCCAUGAUCACCCUCUUUUCACCCAAAAAGAUGGUUAAUACAAUGAGCAACACUGGAGGCGCAAGUAACAACACUGGCAACAAGAACCCACCAUCUCCUUUGGCCCCUGUGACAAUGGAGAAGAUGAUGGCUAUGCAGACUUAGAUUUUGCAAGGAAUGGUUCAGAUAUUGACUUCUUUCCAGCAAGCUCAAGCUCAACAGAUGCAAACUCCACCUAGGGAUAGUCAUGGAGAAUUUAUGAAGGGUUGUCUGCCGAUUUUUGAUCAUUGUUCUGAGCCUAUAGAAGCUGAUAAUUGGCUCAAAUCAGUGGAGAGGCACCUAGAGAUCGCUCUGUGCAAUGAUACAAAGAAGGUCUUAUAUGCUUCUGGACAGCUUCAAGGAGCAGCAUUGGAUUGGUGGGUCUUCUACACCCGCUCUCAUGCAACUCCAGCUAAUAUCACCUGGCAGGAGUUUAAGGAUAGCUUUAGAUCAUACCAUAUGCCACCAGGACUAAUCAAGUUGAAAAAGAAGGAGUUUCUGAGUUUAAAGCAAGGAUCCAUGUCUAUCAGUGGGUAUCGAGAUAAAUUCAUUCACUUAUCACGUUAUGCCCCUAGCGAGGUGGAUACUGAUGAGAAGCAAGAUCACUUCAUCGAAAGGUUUAGACCUUGGUGUUCAGUACCUACUAGUAGCUCACUCAUUUGACAACUUCGAGCAACUCGUAGAUAAAGCAUUGGUAGUGGAGAACAAACUACAUGAAAUAGCAGAGAAGAGGAGAAUGACAUUCCAUAGUCAAAUAGAUAACAGUUCUCACAACUACCUUGUCACUCAAAUGGGAUCACAUGUUUUCCCUAAAGAUCUAUGAAAGCCCAGAUCAAGCUCAACCCCAACUCUAUAGUACACAAGUGUUCUGUCCAUCAUCAACUAUUUAUCCUCAGGCAAUGUCCAACCGUCAGAGUAUUCAAGCAAAAAGAGCUUAUUUCUACUCCAAGCAGGAAGGGCAUUUCAUCCGCAAAUGCCCAAACAAGCGUUUGCAUCAAGCUAAAAGGAAGGCUAUGAGGCAUAACAUUAUUAAAGGUGGCAACUAAAGAUGCUUGUAGUGACCAAAACGUUGCAUUUAGUAUGUCCUCAUCAACACAAUAACAUUUGUUUGUUUGGAAUCAGGAGCAAUGUAGCUUUGUACUUGCUAAAUAAAUGGUAUUAAAUUUCUUUACCACUCAUAUAUUAACCUCAUGCAAAUAUGAAGAGUCAUCUUUUGCUAGCCUUUACAAAUUUGAAAGAUGAGAUUCUAUUAAGGGGUAGUUUUGCCAUAACUUAUUCUUUUAUUUUGAGAUGGGAAUAAAAAACACUAAUAUGGUCUUUUUCUUUCAAACUUAAAUGCACGACCUCGUUAACUAACUCUAAUGGUGCACUCUCUAGGAUAAGUGGAGUUAUCUAGUGACCCAUUGAAAACGCUAGUGUAAUGUUCAAACUGGUGCAAAUGAGUCACAUUUACUCUUCAGUGUCUCUAAAGAACAAUUCUAGUGAGUGUAAAGACCACACUGAACUUAUUUUCUCUAACCUUUUCAAAUGGCUAACUCUAAACUAAUUUCCACAUAAAUACGAACACAUUUAGCACUGAGGUAGCAUUUUUAAAAUAUUUUGCAAAGGUUUUCACUUGCUUCCUCGCCAUGCCACUCAAUCUAGCACAUGUGUCAAUAGUCCUCAACUAGUAGCACUAGAUAAUUGCAUUAGCAAAAGAAUUCAUCUUGUACCACUAUCUAUUCAAAACCGACCAUUCACUUCUCUACACACCUUAGGCCAGUGCAAAUACCUUUGCCUUCAGACUUUAGCUUCCUAUUCUAUCCAUCUCCAUCAUCUUGUAUCACUUGUUGAGCACUUCACUUCCAUGGUCCUUGCCAUCUCCUCUAUAGCUCCAUGUAUGUCUCAACUAGCUUGUGAAUUAAGCACCUAGUCAUCUCACAAGAAAAACAUUGGUUCACCUAAUGUUGUUACUCAAUUACCAAAACAAAUCAAGACUUUGACGUUGUAUUUUCUAUAAAUAAAUGUUGCUUAACUCUUACUAGUACUACUAUCCCCUCGAUCUCAAAUAGAACACAUGCACCUAUUUCAAAAUUCAAAAUUUGUUAUCUUUGACCAAUAAUUAAUAUGAUCAUAUAAAAAGUUUAUACUAUACAAGUAGGUUAAGUUAGAUUUGCCUAUAGAAACAGUGCUCAUCGGGCAUGAGUCAAGUGAAAAAAAUUAUGAUACAAGCAUAGUGGUUGAUAGAACUCUCGAUAUCUAGCAGUAUCAAAUUAGCAAUAAACUUUCAUAUGCAAUCGUGAUAAAAAUAGAAAAAAUAACAACCACCUCCUCUUUGUAUCAGUAACUGCAAUGUUGCCUUGCCAAAGAUUUACUGCUAUUAUAUACUUCCUCUGUUGAUCCAAAAAUUUAUUUACCUCCAUCGCACAAUGCCUACCUCUAGACUCUAGAUAAAAUACUUAUUGUUGAAUGCAUUCAUGAUCCAUCUCAAAUUUAAAGUCUAUAUUCUAUCAUAUUCAUUUGUCAUACGAUCAACCAUACUCUUGUUGUACUAUAGCUAUACCAUGCACAUAUUGUAUAUAUGUAUUUGCAACUAUCUUAUUUUACCCUAGGGUCCAUUUGGAUCCUUGAAAUUUAUUCUAAUAAUUAUAAUUUAGACAUAGAUUAAUUAAGCUAAUAUAGUAUGGAAUAUAAUUAAAAAUUUAUGUUAGGCAUACAAGGGAUGUACUUAUAUGUUACAUUUCUAUUGUAGAAAAAUAUGUUAAAGAAUGUGCUAUAAAUUGUAGAAUAGAAUUAUACAUAGUGAUCUAUAAAAUCCAUUUCCAUCUCUUAUCCUAUCAAAUUGAGAUAGUCUUAUUUGUGAGUAUGGAAGAGUUAUAGAAUCUUAAAUCUCAAGCCAAAUAACCUACUCCAUUAUGUAGAUUUUAAUUCCUCUAAAACGAGGGAUACAAACGGCCCCUAACAUUAAAUAACGAAGGGUGUUUUUUGGUUUCAGGCAUUUUUGUUUUUUAUUUAUAUUUUCAGGAAUUUCUCGGACAUUGACUAAUACGAAUCUAGCUAGCUGCAAUACCGAUAUGUGUUACAACUUGUGUGGUCUUGAGUCCUGUUUGAAUACUACACCUAGUUUUGAUUCUAUAAAUUGAAUCCAAUUGAAGUAAUAAGAUUCUAGGAAUUGCUUUCAGUGAGAAUUGAAUUAGCCAGAAUGUAAUUGAAAUCUAAUAUUCUUGCUUGGUUGUACACAUAUAUUAUUUCUAAAAUUUAAAUUACAAAAAUUGUUUGGAUAAAAAAAAUAAGAACCACCUUAUAUGUAUCUCUGGCCAUUUUGUCUCCCGCACAUCCCUUUGCUAGUGGAUGAUGGCACCUCAUACCAGUCGUUGAUGAGGCAAUGGUGAAGCUAGAGCAAAUUAGAGGGAGAGGCACUUACCUCGUGGGUGCAUGGAGUUGUGCUAUUGGGGAUGCACAUAUGGUGAAAAUAUAGGAAAUACUACUAUUUUUUACAAAAUUAGGGGGGGGGGUAGGGGGGAGGGGGUGCGUUUGCACCCCGUAGUGACUACCUAGCUUCGGUCGUAUGAUGAGGGCUAUGGCACCUUGGACAAGUUAUUUUGUCUCUCACGCUAUUUCUACGAGCACAUAUACACAGACACUAUCCGUACGAGUAUUUUUAAAGGAGGCACAUAUCGAGAAUCAUGUGGAUUUGUUUUUUUCUAGAGCUAUUGAACUGUUGAUCUUUUUUAAAGAAACAAAGAUCCCUAACACUAAGUUAUUAAUAUCCUUGUGACUAGGAUUAAUUCUUUUAUUAAAAAUUGAUCAAAUAUAUAGUACCAAAUUAUGAUAAUUAACUUUACAAUAUAUAUUUACGAGUAUAUAUAUUUUUUAGUUUACCAUGGGAGAGCAAUAAUCUAUCAAGGCUCUAUUUUAAUUUGAUACAAGACUUAGUAUGACAUUAUCAUAUUAUUGCUAACAUUAACUUAUAUUAUGAAUGCCAUAGUCAUCACAAAAUAAAUUAAAGUUUUAAAUAUUUUAUAAAUAUGUAGCAUCCAUGUUGUCAUGUUUCCACGAACAUUUAUAGCUUUUUUUCUUUGUCCAUUGUCCAUCCGCCGUUUUUUGCCUUUCUUUUGUUCUGGUUCCGUUUGUUGAGAUAUACGUAAUUUGUAAAGCUCUAAGAGAUAUAUACAAAUUAUAAUAUAGAUAUAAUUUAGUACACAUUUUUCAUGAUGCAAAUUCUGGGUCCACUUCCCCGGGCCCAUUAGACAGCCCACGGGCUCCGCACCCCCAAUUUGUGAGCACAGAAAAUUUCACUGCAAUUGCUAAAAAAGGGUAAAAGUCACUGCAAAACCGUUGCGGCGAACACUCGAGCACCCCCGACCCCCGUUGAGAUGGUCUCCAUGGCGGCCGCGGCGGCGGCCGUGGGCGUGCUGCUGCCGUUCCCGUUCUACUACGCGCUGUGGACCCACCCACAGCGUUGGGUGGACUUGUGCGGCCGCGGCGCCGACCCGUGCCGGCGGAUGGCGCAGGUCUCGCACGCCAUCAAGGCGCUUCAGCUCCUCGCGCUCGCCUCCGUCGCUUCAUUCUCCUGGCCCCCGCCGCUCUACUGCCCCGUCCUCCUCGCCGUCGGCCAGUACCUCAACUUCAAGUGAGUAACCGAUUCGUCCUUCUCCUGUUUGUUCUCCCAGUAGGCGAGGCACCGUACAUGAUCCAUCCCGCUUUAAGCAAUAGCUGCGGGAUUUUAGAAUCUCUGCAGCUUGCAACUGUUUCUGUUGGUGCAAAGGCGCAUUUGAUUAAGGAGCUCUUGUAUUGUUGUCUGCCUUGACUGAAUUACGAAUUGUAAGGACUACCUUGAAUGAAUUGAGCUACUGGCUAUCACAAUGAUACAUGGCCGAAGAUAUGUCUAAGCUCUCCUGCACCUAAAGAAAAAGAUUCAUGCCAAGCCUGACGUCUUCUGUUCACCUUAGGUGAAUAACACUAACUGUAUUCUAUUCAACGGUUCUCAGCUGUAGGAAUUGGAGGUUACUGGUUUAGAAUUUGAAGGAAUAACUUAUUACUUCAGUUGUAUCUUGUGCAAGGCUUAAUUUCUCUUUCCAUUUGGAGCCGCAGAAUUGCUUCAGGUGAUUAAACACUGGUAAAUGUGAUUUCGAAACUAGGUACAAAGAAAUGGCUAGGGAAGUGGAUUAGGCAAACAAUUAUCAUUUUCUCCCUUUUAACACUCAUGGGUUUAGGCACACUGGUAGAUUAAUGGUACACCAUCUCUUGGAAUUUUCCUUGUCUUUAUAUAACCAAUGGUUUGCAUCAUGGUGCUAUCUUCAUUGAUAGAUUUUUAUUCUAAAUUUGUCUCUGUUAAAUUGUUGAUAAACCACAAAAUGCUGAUAAGAUCAUGCUGUAGGCUUGGGACUCAACUCACUGUUGUAACAGAUGAUAACAAAUUUGCCUUUUUUUUAUCACAUAUGGAUAACCUAUGUGUUUCUUUUUUGAACAAGGAGGUUAAUGCCGACUAAUCUUAACACUGGUUACCCGUAGGUGUCGUCAUAGUGUAAGGUGUGAGUGGAGUUAGUGUGGUAUGCCGUAUGUGUAACAUUAUGUAAAUUCAUUGCUUGCUUAUUUCCAUUUGCGUCGAAAUCACUGCCUUGAAGUUUCAGUUGUGAUUGUGAUUUAGUAAAAUGGAAAAUGAUGGUAGUGCUGAGGUGAAUGAUUAGGAGAGAGGUGGAUAGUACCAAAGAUUGGUGCGCUCAAAAUGAGUAGAGUUAGAUGGCUGGCUAGUGGUUACAAAGGCGAAACAGAAUUCCAGCCAUAACACUAGUUGAAUAAUGAUAAACAAGAGUAGCAGAAAAUCUUGCUGUGUGAACUAGUACAAAGAAGAUCCUGAUCUCAUCAUAUGCAUUCCAUUUUAUCAAUAUCGUAAUACUUCUACACUACAUGGACAUAGUACUAUAACGAGGGAGUUCAUAGUCAUCGAAACUUUGAAGUUCGUUUGUCUUCCAGUAUGUAUAUGCUGCUAGAUUGGUCAUGAUAGUGUAUUGAUUCUCAAUCCAUGAUAUACCAUCAAGGUGUCUAUGACAUAUGGGGCCCCUCCAGAGUCACUGUCAAUGGUAUAUCAUUGGAUUUAAUGUUUAUUUGGUGGCAUGGGAGGAAUUAUUCCAUUGAAUUAUUAUUUGGCUAUCUUCUUUGAUAGGUCCUUGCCAUAAAACUUUGUCUCUGUUGAAUGUUGAAAUAUCUUAAAAAGGCUUUAUAAUUGUGCUACCGAGAUAGUGGACUGGUCAUACUGCAAGAUAAGGGGGUUCUUGAAUUCCUUAACAAUUGACAUAAAACUUGUAUUUGAAUGCAUAUGUAUAACCCAGUCACGUAUUUCUCCAAAGAAUUUAAUGCUCGCCAACCUAAACACUGGCACAACUCCUCAUGGAGUAAGUGUAAAUGAAUUUAGUGGGGUAUGUGUUACAUCAAGUGAAUCCAUCGAUUGGACCGGUGGUUUCUGUGCAUACGAAAAUCCAUGGCCUUAAGUUUAGUACAUUAAUUGUCAUCGUCACUGCACAUUUAGUAAAAUAAAAAAUAAUGUAUAGAACACAGAUGAAAUCACUACUCUUCUGUAUCUAACGCAUACUAGCUAGAUUAGAUCAGAGGUGGAUAGCACCAAAGAUCAGGCCUCCAGUAGAUGUCGUGCUGGCACUGCUGCAUGGGUCCGGCUGUUGUGGUCACAGAACUAGUAGAGUUAGAUGGCUGGCUAAGGGUAACAAAGGUGAAACAUAAUUUAAGUGGCACGAUUAGUUAGAAAAAUGAUAAACACAUGUAGCAGAAAAUCUUGUCGUUUGAACACAAGAAGAUCCUGGUCCAGUCAUACAAAUUAUAUUUUGUCAUAUUCCAUAAUACUUGUACACAGAAUGGGAAUUGUACUGUGAGUGUUGCCCUGCUUUCUUCUAUAGUAUUGUGAGGACGUGAGGGAGUUCAUAGUGCAUCCUGUCUCUAAGGAUUGUAUUCUGGUUAUACGUGCUGUUCACAGUAUCUGCCUAUGUCUGUUCUGCUAUUCUGAAAUUGGCCACCAUAUUGUGUUUCAUUAUCCGGUUACUUCGCACUCAUGUCUUGUUAGAGUUGCAACUAAAAUUUUACCUAGCUGUAAAGACCCUAAAUUGUAUUCAAUGUAAUGAAGGACGCACAGUUCAUUGCUUUUGUUCCUGAAACCUUUGUUUCUUUUCAGGGUGUACCAGCUGCUUGGUGAGUCUGGUACAUACUAUGGCGUUCGAUUUGGAAAGAUGAUCCCAUGGGUGACAGAGUUUCCCUUUGGCUAUAUCAAAGACCCACAGUAUGUUGGGAGUAUGCUUAGCCUCGUCGCACUUCUGUGCUGGGUUCCACUUCAGUAUGUGUUGUUGUGGUGCCUUGGUUAUGUUUUCAUGAUGUGGAUCGAACACAAGGAAGAUCCAGCCACUCGUGCCAAGGUCAUCUCCUAAUUGCUUGGUUAUGGCAGCUGAUAGUUUCCUACAGGUGCCCCAGUGACAUUGCAUAAAUAUUCUUUGAAAAAUUUGGUACCUGAUUGCUGAGAGGUGAUGCGCCCCCAAGUUUAAGACUGGAGUUUCUAUGUCCAAAAACCUUUACAAAGUACUGUGGCAACCUCUAUUCUUGAGUAAUUCAUGUCAAGCAGUAUGGUUAUAGACUUUAGUUGUAGCUUGUUGGGUAUGAGAUCAUCUUGUACCCUGGGCAACUAUGCAACCGGGAGCGCUUGGUUGUUGCUGGGCAAAUAUUUUGACCUGGAGUUAAAUGCUUGCGCAUGGACACGUGGUAUGAAUCCAUGAUCGGGACCCAUGAUUAUCCAAUGAGGAGGUUCUAGUCAGUAAGAAUUGUAACUUUAGUCGAAACUUAGUGAGGUUUCUAUAGACUGCAUAUGUUCUUGUCCGAUUCCGAGAAAUCUCACUACAUAUCUAUGGCUCAAUGCUCAAUCUCUAGCUGCUGAGACACAGUCUAAAGCACAACCACUUUUUGUCCCAUAAUAUAAGACGUGCUAUCUCACAUAUAUUAAUGCAAUAGUACUAGUGUUGUGAGAGAGAAUUAAAUGCUUUUUUGUUCUUUGAAACAGGGGUAGUAAUUAUAGGACAGAGGGAGUAAUAAAGUUGUAGUGCUUAAAAAGACUUAAAACUUUGUAGCUAAAACUUUUUUCAUUUAAGUUUAUUUAGUAGCCAAAUAUUUAAUAUAAGAUUAUGAAUAUUGAUAUAAAAAGAUGACAUCUUAUAUAUAGUCAGAAGUGGGUGUGUGCUGCAGUGGUUGAGAGGUGUUUUGAGCAGUCACUAGGUCGUCUUGGGUUCAAUUUCAUAAAUGAUAUUAAUAGAUGUCCAUCGGUUCAUAAAGGCAGUCAUGAGCCCGUCUUUAGAAAUGGCCGAUAAAUGGUGACCAUUUUCCAGAGGCAGACUCGUUGCUCACCUUUGUCAAUGGAAAAUACUUGCUAUUGUGUAGGUCUUGCAACCGUAUGACCAAUUGUGACGACAAGAUAAAACUGGUUCAUGCCUAACGGUUUGUAAUGUGGUUGUUGUAAACUCCCUUUCUCUAGCUAGAAGUGCCAUUUUACCAAAUUAUAUUUUUUGUCUAUAUUUUCUAUUAAAAUAAUAUUAUGUUAAAAAAAAUCCAGGCCUACAAUUCUGAAAUUGAUUAGGUUCAUGACUCAAGUUGCUCGCGGUCCUCUCAAUAGAUUACCAUAUCUAUCCAUAUUGGUGGUGCUACAUAUAUAUAGUACAACCCAUCGGAUGAGGCUGUCUUUUCAUUUGAUGUAUCUUGGUUUCCUUGGAGUUGGUAACUUGUUCUUGCCAUCUAGCAUAUCAAGAAUCUCUCGCAUGGUGGGCCGGUCCAUGGGAUUCUCUUGUGUGCACAAAAGUCCUAUCUCAAUGCAUCUUCGUAUCAUCUUUAGCUGAGUGUUUUCACACAAUGACGGAUCAAACAACUUCUCCAUUUGUCGAGUUUUGUUCAUAAGAAAGUUCAUUCGUGAAGCUUGCUGCAGGUUCCAAGCCUGUGAACAAAACACAAUACAGAUGAUAAAGGGGGCAGUUUGCUAUAGGACAUGCAAAAUGAUGUCAUUUUUUUAUGUGGGACAAGAAAAAAACAGAAAGCAUUUUGCUUUUUUUUUUUGGGCGGGGGGGGGGGGGGGGGGGGGGGGGCUAUGAGGUUGUGUAAAUUUGAUGGCUGGCAAGUGAGAAUACUUAAUUUUUUGAACAUUUCUCUGGUGCAGGCUAAAUCCUGUCCAGUAGCAAAUUACGUUUUUUGGGGUGUCCCGCAGCAAACCGACAUCAUUUUGCAUGUCCUGUACCAUAGUUGGCCAUAAAAAGUGCAUUUUAGUACUUAUUACUCCGAUUGAUAGUGUAAAUCCUAUUAUUUAGUUUUGCUGUGUGAAAUAUACAGUACAUCUCUUGAGGAAAACAAAAGGGUCGUUCUCUAGUAUUUCCCUAGUCAGCUAAUGAUGUGGAUGUUUAGUGGUAGUUGCAGUGUCAUAAAAAUUUAAUUGGCGCAUUUAUUGCCCAUUCACUUAUUAUUAUUUUUCGUCACUCUUGUUCCUGCCAAUAAGAGCAUGUACAACCCAAAGACGGGUUCCGUCUCUAAACGUCUCGAAUCUAUCAUACAGACAGGUAUAAAGACAGAUCAUACAACCCACAGACGGAUGUCUGUCUCUAAGAUGUUUAAUGAUUUGCAUGUAGCUAGGAUCAAUUAUGAAUAUCAACUUGUAUACUAUUGUGUGGCUAUUUGAUAGAAGACAGGUUCAAGCAUAAAUAAGAUGAACAUAAUUAUAAUAUUUUAAAACCAUAUAAUAUAUAAUAUACAUUAUAUAUAAAGAUGAACAUAAUUAUAAUAUUUUAUAAAACAACUAAUAUGAUAUAUAUUAUAUAUAAGAUGAACAUAAUUACAAUAUUUUAAAACCACCAAUAUAUAAUUGCAAUGUACUGUCUAAUUUUCUUUGUUUCCGUAGCGUUGCUAUAUGUGUUCGAUUAGAUCAUUCUUGAGUUUCUUGUGUGUCCCCGAGCUUUGAUAGCGGAAUUCCUACGAAGCACCUCUGUGAAGCAUGGAUUAGGGUUGUCGCUUGUAUGUACUUUAGGUGGGAGCACUAUCGUCGCACUCGGAUUCUCAUUCAAAUCUAAAGCAACUCUAACUUAUUCCUUCUCAUCUUCCACUAUCAUAUUGUGAAGGAUAACACAAGUCUGCAUUAUGUUGAUAACGUCUGCCUGCUUCCACAAUUUUGCAGGUCGUCGAACAAUAUCAAAGCGUGACUGCAGUACACCAAAUGCGCACUCGAUAUCUUUCCUUGCCCCUUCUUGCUUCAAUGCAAAUAAUUUGUUUUCAGCCGACUGAGGGGCCGUUACUGUCUUCACAAAUACCGCCCAUUCAGGAUAUAUCUUAUCAGCAAGAUAGUAACUCAUAUCAUAUUGUGUCCCAUUUACAUAAUAUUGUACUAUCGGAGCUUCCCCUUUUAUAGCCUGAAUGAACAGUGGAGACUUGUUUAGGACGUUAAUGUCGUUCUGAGACCCGGCCGUACCAAAGAAAGCAUGCCAUAUACGAAGAUCAUGGGUUGCCACUGCUUCUAGAAUCAUAGUAGGAAUGCCUUUAUCACCACGAGUGAACAUGCCAGCCCAACCUUUCGGGCAAUUCUUCCAUGCCCAAUGCAUACAAUCGAUGCUACCUAACAUUCCAGGAAAACCACGAGCCUCGUUUUCUUGUAAGAUUUUCUCCAUUUCAUCACUUCUUGGAGGACGUAAAUACUCUUCACCAAAACAUUCAAUAACUCCUUCAGCAAAUUUUUCCAAAAUCUCCAAACAAGUGCUUGCAGCAAUUUUCAAUACUUCAUCAAGUUGAUCAGCCGAGGAGCCGUAAGCUAGCAUCCUAAUAGCGGCAGUACACUUUUGAAGUGGUGAAAGAGAAUCCCUACCGGUUGCAUCGAAUCUUUGGGUAAAAUAAGGAGACCACCCCCUAAGACUAUCGACGAUGCGUAGGAAUAAUGGCCUAGUCAUCCUAAAUCUUCUACGGAACAUCUCAUCGGUAUAGAUAGGAUUUGCAGAAAAAUAAUUAGCAACAAGAUCAUCGUGACCUUUUUCUCGAUUUCUUGGUAUGUACCUCCUUGGUCCACUCUGUCGACGGCGAGGUAUAGUUGAUGAUUCUCCAUCGAUGUCGGCCUUCAAUUCAUCUCGAAUCUCCCUUAUGAAUUCUUCUACGAUUUCAUCCUCAGCUAGAAAAUCUUCCACAGUUGAUCCAGCUAGAAAUUUCACUAACAAAUAGGAUAAAAUUUCACUAACAGAUAGGAGCAAAUCUAGAUCAAUUCACAGGAUCGGGUGAUUACCAAGAUGGAUCCCAAGCUGCUGAGCGCAUAAACGAAGGAGAAGCUGGAUCAACGUUGGCCGGAUCCCACCAAGCAGUAGAUGGUGAAGUGGGGAAUGGAAACCCAGUAACCCACUGUUCGAAGACGAUGGAGCCGUCACAGCGCCGGGGAAGGCACCUCCACCAGAUGUACCAAUGGAGAUAGGAGGCAUCGUUGUGCUGUUGCUGAGGGAACGGGAGAUGGGGUACCUCGGCGCCAUCGCUGUUGUUCCGCUUCCGCGACCUAGGGUUCGGCCCGCGACAUCCGCGCCCAACGACGAGCCUCCACCCUGACUGAGGUUGCAGGCCGCCGCCGCCGCCAUUGCCGCUGACGCAGUAGCCGGGGCACCCUUGCUCUUCUUGUUUGCAGAUGCUAGCGUGCUCUUCCUUGCUGAGGCACUCAACAUCGCAGCCGCCAAAGGUUGGAGCUCUCGAUUGAGGAAGAAAGCUGCAGCGCAGUGCCUGCUUCACCGGUGAAAUAAGAUGAGGUAGAGACGGAUUUGGCGGGACGGCUCCCUCCCGCGCGCGCCAAAACUUCACGCAUGCGUGCGAGCGCCCCGGAUCUACGCGCCGUCGAGACAAGGGGACGACUCCUACAACGCUGCUUGGCUGGUCUCCUCUGCAUCGGUGCACGGGACGACUCCGUCCCUUCGCGAGACGACGGAAGGCCCAUCUUCAGAGCUCAACGGGGGUUUUUCUAUAAAAAUACCGACGACCCGUUGUACAUGCCCUAAGGUACGUGAAUGAGAGAAUACUAACUGACGUGAUGUUUUUAUCUGAAAUAUUUUUGAAUCAGUCCAAUUUACGUCUCUUGAGUGAAGAAGUGCAAUUUUCACUCUCAAAACUCUUAUGUCUUAUUAAUACCCCACACAAUCAAUUUCUAUUGUAUUACUAAAUCAAAUUGGUUCUGUAACCUCCCACUCAUUUUUUUUGGUUGCUGAUAAUAGUAAUAGUAACUUACCCAUUCAAGUGAAGGUUGGCAACGAGCAGCUUCAGAUAUGCACAUACUGCUAAGGAUAUCAAGGAGGGUGACGCCAAAACCAUACACGUCUUUCUUCAUCAAGGACUCUCCUUUCGUCGAAGACUUAAGCCGACGGUUGCCAUAAUAUUCAGGAGCCGUAUACCGCCUGAAUUGGUGGACAUAUAUAAAAGCUUCCGUUAACAUAAGGAUAAGGAUAUGCACACAUGUCAUGGAAUAUGGAUGAAGGGUAACGGAAAACAGCUAAACUGUAAAAGUUCUGCUAUAUCGCAACAUGUUUCAAAUGACAUAUAUAACUGCGCAUGUUUUGUUUUUCCAAAUUAAAUAUGCGGUGCGCAUUUGAUCACCAGACUAUACCUAUGGCAGUGGGUGGAAUGACAUCUUACAUUGAGCCCACAAAGUGGUUGUCAGAUAAGUCAUUCUCUCCGAGAUCCAACUCUCUAGCUACUCCAAAAUCACCUAUCUUGGGAUUGAAAUCAGAAUCCAAGAGGAUGUUGCUUGGUUUUAAAUCCAAAUGCACAAUGUUCCGAUCAUGAAGGAUUUUAACGCCUUGGGCUAUCCCCUGAAUUAUGUGAAAUACAGAGGACCAAUGAAGUCUUGACCCUGCAGAACAUAUAUUAUACUAAUCAUUGCUAGUAAGCGAACUACAGUGACAGUCAGCAAAAUACGACAUAACUAAGAGACAAUCGGUCCCGAUAUCUGUGAAGUGUUAGUCUAGGCAAUAUAUUUCAGUGGAAACAUGUAUAUGUGUACCUAUACCAUUGAUAAUUCUGUCCAGGCUCGCAUUCGGCAUAUAUUCUCCAACCAUGAAAGAACUUGAUACUUGGGUUAUUCUAAAGCUUUCAUCUUCACUUCCUUCAUCUUCAUUUACUUCCUCGACGGCAAGGCAAUAUCCCAAAAAGUUGACAAAAUUUUUGUGACGAAGUUUUGAAACAAGCCUAAGUUCAUCAUGGACGCGCUCAUGCAGACGGUCUGCCGGAAUGCGAGAGGAAGGAUUAUAUAGCUUGAUAGCAACCAUCAACCCGUCAUCUAAUACACCCUGUAAAGUAUAUGUUUAGUGAUGAAUUCAUUACAGAUAUGCUAUCCAAUUGUAUGCAUGGGCUGAAAAGCGCUAACAAAGGACAACACGCUAUGUGCAAACUGGAAAAUAGGUAUGUGGAAAUAAUAUGAUUAUGAUCAUCGGAAAAAGCGUGAAAACAAAAUUCGCCAAACCGAGCACAUGCAGUGUGCCAGUGCAUGUAUACCUUGUAGACAAUCGAAUGUCCACCUCGUCCAAUGAUGUUUUCCUCUGAAAAGUGAUCGGUAGCAGUCUCUAAUUCAGACAAACUAAACUUUUUCAAGCCUGCUGUGGCUUCUAACCCAGAGAAUCUCAAAUGUCGUAUCCCUGCGGGUGGUGAAAUCAACGCAAGCCGAUUUUAUUCUUUUAUGUCUGGCCAUUUCGUUUGACUAAAAAAUCAUGACCGAAAGUAGACUCCGCAGAAUGACGGGUAGAUUCGGUGGAUAAUCUCAAGCGAACAGGCUUGAAAAGUUGAUCUUACUUGCUUCAAUUCCUAGGGAGGAUGGCCAUCGGGACCCUGACCUCGGUGGGUGUGCAGGCGGAGGAGCACCAGCACCCGGCUGCACUAGCAUGUUCAAGCUCAGGGUGAGCUGGGUAGUGGUGGCGAAGACACCCAGCACCAUUUGCCGCAGGAUGUCGUCCUGCACCCGGCGCAGCUGCCUGGCCAUGGCCCCAGCCGCGCAGACACGGUGCAUCGUGCUCCUCUUUUGGCAGCUGGUGACGAGCUUGAGGGCGCGGUCCAGGCUCCUCUCGAGCGCCGCCAUGGCGCCGUCCAUCGCCGGGUCGCUCGUCGCCGCCGCCGCCGCCGUCUCCAGGAGUUGCGACAGGAUGGAACUCACCCUGGUUGCGAGCUGUUCGAUGUCACGGCACUCCUCCUCGUUCCGGCGAACCGUUUGCACCGCCCUCCUGAUCGCUAGAGCCAUCUUCACAAUCUGUUUCGCCGUGCCAAUUGGGUCCGCCAUGCGUCCCUCCCGCCGUACGACCUGGCAAAGUAAAGAUCGAGGAACCUUCACUGUUCACAGCGAAUCCCUGCACCCCAAUUGAAAAAUGCAAAUUGAAAAUUAUGCUCGACGCGGUUUCACAUGACGUUGGUUGAUGUGAUGGGCUGAUGGCACUGGAACGCAAGUCAACUCUUCUGUUUUUCCUUUAUCAAGAUAUACAAAACUGAACAUAAUGAUGUAAUCCCUCAGUCUCUUCGGCCGUUCUCACUUCUUGAUCUCGAUAACUUAAACAUACACAACAUUAGCUAUGUACGGCAAUGUUAUUCUACACCCUAGGUAUAUUAUUCUACACCGCAAGUCAAAACUGAGUAGAAAAAAUACUGAGCAGUACUGAGCAACGUUCAGUAUCAUCCAGUCGUACACCCAGUACCAUGAAAUACUGAACAAUACUGAAACACAGGUACUGAACAAUACUGAAUUAUGUUCAGUAUAACAGUUUGAUGUAGAAUAGUAUUCUACACCUAGGGUGUAGAAUAUAUAUAUAUAUAUAUAUAUAUAUAUAUAUAUAUAUAUAUAAUAGUACAUAAUUUAUAUGAUUAAAUAGAUCUUUGAAUCUAUUUUAAUAAUAAAUUUAUUUGGAUAUACAAUGUUGCUAGUAUUUUUCUAUAAAUUUAGUUAAGCUUUUAAAAAAAUUAUCUAGACAACACUUAAAAGGGGGCAUACACCAAUUAUUUUGAAAUCUUUUUAGAAAAUGAAAACUAUCUAGCCUAUGCAUCAGGACAUAGCCAAUCGUCACAAGAUUUUCAGCGCAAACACUGACAAAUGAAAUAGGAAAAAGCACACUCAAAUAUAGAGAAUCAAAAGUAAAGUCUAUUAUUAUUGCCACCUACUCUUAGGCAACAACCUCCAACUCUUUGCUUGCCAAACUGAAUUAUUUUUCCUUUGUGCCCUCACGUUGCAGUGCCCAAAACCACAGUUCAUACCAGUAUGCUCCCUCAGUCUUUGAAAGCUUUAAUUACUAGAAUCUAUAUUAGUCAAACUUUUUUAAAUUUAACUAAUUUUAUAGAAAAAAAUAUCAAUAUCUAUAAUAUAAAAUGAGUAUCUUAUGAAAAUAUAUUCUAUGAUAAAUCUAAUGAUACUAAUUUGAUACUAUAAAUUUGAGCGUUUUUUAAGAAAUUUGAUUAAAGUUUAAAAAGUUUGACUUAAGACAACUCCAAGAAUUGAAGCUUUUAGGGACAGAGAGUACUAAAUUGCCCAAAUAAUAGCGGCAAUCCCCCACAAAAAUCAAACUUCUUUUUAUUCUCCCAAUAACCAUUAAAACCUAUAUCUAUAUAGUUAUAUAUGAAACAAAAAAAUUCGGAAUGCUGAGAGCACUGCAACCAGAGCCCAUGGCUGGCGCCUUUAGCAUAAGGCCAGUCUCGAUGCAUGUUUCAUGAGAGUGUCAUGCACAUUAAAUAGGAUGUCAUAUAAGCAAAAUUGCUGACUUAGCAGGGUUAUUAAAGAAGUUUCAUCAGAUGAGAGAGGAGUUUCAUCCCCAUAAAACUCAUAUGGCACGGUUACCUAGUUUAUAAUCUUGGUAACAGUGUCAUAAAACUAUGCAUUGAGACUGGCCUAAGCGAACAUCCCCCAUUGUAAUUUGUAAAUACUCAUCAUCUUUAAAAUGACUUGUGUCUAACCGAAAUAUCUAAAAUAAUUUCAUUGGAGCGCAGACAAUAGAUGUACAACAAUCUGUUACUUCUUUUGCGGAACUACUUCGAACCUUGUUUAGUUUCCACUCAAAAACAUCAUUAAAUAUAGAUUAAAAAUAACCAAUUAUACAGUUUGUAUAUAUUUUGCAAGACAAAUCUUUCAAGUCUAACUAGUCUAUAAUCAGAUAUUAAUUAUUAUAAUUAUAAAUGUGCUAUAAUACCCAAUAACUUUUUUUUCGCAAACUAAACUGUGGUCAGUGGAUUUCUGCCGACCGGACCCGGCGGCUACUGCCGUCAAGCGACCGGCUGUAAACCGACGACUACCAUCAGGCGCUCGGCACCCGGCCCGGCCCCGGCAACCGACAGAGCCAAGCGGAUCGCACAACGGCACAACCAAUGCACAUAAGCACGCAUUAGGGCCACUAGAGUUGUGGGGAAACAGAUAGGAAAAAGAUUAGUUAGGAUUAGGUAAUAAUAAUUUAGAAUUCAUAUAUGCAUCGGUCUCAGUAUAGUCUUCAUCAGCAGCAAACAUACAGAUUAGGCUCACUGUAAAGCCACAUGUAAAACCAACGCACAUUCAGGCUAACAGAUGAUAGGAGUACUAGAAAAGGAGGAACGGCCGACCGACGAACAAAGACUGUUGUACAACAGGGCGAAAUCCGGAUACUGCUGCUAGCUGUGGACUCUUCUGCAGCGACUGGAUACCAGAACUGUUGCAUGUAGCAACAACUGAUCCACACAUCGCUAGCGACGACGUCUCUUGUCGUAGUCAUCCUCUUCUUCAUCAGAGUCACCUUUCUCACGGAAUCUGGGAUUCUUCUCCUGUAAACGAAACAUAGAAUGUUUUAUGAAUAUCUCCGGUCCACAAAGAAAUAAUAAGGGACCAUGGCAUAACAAGAAACAUUGCUAAUACCGCUGGAUCAGAGUCUGGUGCUCUCUUGGACUCCUCUGGUGCCGACCGGUCGUCGUUCCGAUAGCGUUUCCGCUGGUAAUCUGGAGACUCAUAUCGUGUUAGUGAGCAAAAAUAAAACACACAAAAGAACAAUUUUGGCAUGUGUUACCUCCUCUGUCAUUCCUAUGAGAAUCUCCGUAUCCUCUCUUCCGCUCACCUCUCUCAUCUGCACAUUAAAAUAAGAUGGCAAAUUCAUGUCCCUAAUAUGGUCAGGUUAAAGCACAUCUAAAGAUAAGAAUAUAAUGGGAAAAAUCUACUUAAAACGACUGGCCAACUAAUGAUCAAAUGAUUGCAAAAUAUGCUGCAAAGAAUUGAUUCGUCACAAUCAUGGUCCAGACAGCAAGAAGUGAAACACCCAACUUAUGCAAGUUCACAACAUCACAAAAGUAAACUGAUUGCCACUAGGGUAAAAGAGAGAUUGGACUGUGUAAAGAAUGCUAUGCAGAGUAAGGAGUAACAGUCUAACAGAACUGGAAAAAGGGUAAAAUUGUUUCAUAUAUUCCAGCAAACAUUACAUGUUGAAUCAACCAAAGUUUAUACAAACCCCUAAGAACUCAAUCAAAGACAAAAAUCAUAGGCAUCACAAAACAAAUGCGAAUUCAUGGAAAUUCGUUCUCAAAAGAACAUAAUCCAAAUAACAUCAAACUUACAGGGAGGUGGUGCAUUCGGUUGAAAAGAUCCACCAUAGUCAACUAAUUCUCUUUGUGCUUCUAGUUCCCUCUGAACCAUCUUACCAUAACCACCUCUUCGUUUGAUUCAUUAAGGAAAAUUGAGAGCUCCUUAGAAAAGUGGUUGAACAAAGGGAACAUGCAAAGGUACACCAUAAUCAAAAUUGCACCAGUAAAAGACAACAGGCGCAGAGAAACAUGUAAUUUUAUAGCUCAAUUUAAGUUGACACCAGCAGGUGCAUAGCAUUUAUGGAAUCAUCUUAUGGUUUUCUAUGUUUUAUAGCACCAGAUCAGAAUGGAGUAAACUGUAAUAGAAUAGCAUCAAAGGAUAUCAGGAUCAUAAUCUGUACGGUACUCAUCUCUGACCUAUGCAAGGAACAAGCAAUAUAUAAGCAUAAAGCAUGUAGAAACCCAUGUAUAUUUGUUAGAAUAAGAUCAAGGCACUACUUGUCCACCACUUCGUCCACGGCCCCAUUGCCUGCCUUCUUCAAAGCCCCAAUCGAAAUCAACACGGAUUGGACGAUCAUCAAGCAUCGUUCCACUAAUGUAUUUGACAGCAUCUUCAGCAUCCUCUCUAGAGUAGUACCUGGAAAGACAGGAUCAAAUUGCAUAGGCAUAAGGCCUUGUUUAGUUUGCAAUUUUUUUUGUUUUUGACUACUGUAGCAUUUCGUUUUUAUUUGACAAACAUUGUCCAAUCACAGAGUAACUAGGCUCAAAAGAUUCAUCUCACAAAUUACAGAUAAACUGUGCAGUUAGUUUUUAUUUUCGUCUAUAUUUAAUACUUCAUGCAUGCGACCAAAGAUUCGAUGUGAUGGGGAAUCUUGAAAAUUUUUGCGAACUAAACAAGGCCUAAGCAUGGCCAUUAAAACAACAGAUACUAACAGUCAAACCAGACUAAGUAGUAUUCUUGCAAUGCACAGAUAUGUGUGAACAGCAAAAUUCCUUUUUUUUUUCAAAAUUGACAGCCGAUGAAUGUGUAGCUUCUAUGAACCUAACAGAAUAGUGAGUUUAUUCAGAACAAGGCAGACUGACACACUGUACCCAACAAUACAGUUUGCAUCACUAAAUUCAAUAACCUAUGCCCCGGUUACAAAAGUAAAAAAAAAAAAAACCAUGAUUCUCAUCCUAUGAAUAUAGAAUGACACACAUGAACGACAUCAAACUAAACAUGGAAACAAAAACAUAGAAACUUUGCAAGCAGAGGGGGAAAAAGGCUAACCGCAUAGUUGUUAUCAGUUUAGCAAAACUUCAGCAUAAAUAACAUCAUAUUCCUCGUUGUAACCCUUGAUUUCCCACUUUACAAAUAAGGAAUCAAACAUAAUUGCAACAACCCAAUAAAUCCUAAGGAAAAUUUACACUCAGAUUGGAACGUGUAUAGCUAAAUAUCAGUGCCCAUGAACUCACAUCCCAGUCUUCUGGGGAAGGGGCUCACAAGCAAGCAUAGAAAACAGCUAUGGUACAAACUUAUACAUAUACAAAUUCUCAAAUGGCCACUGAAAUCACCAGUAUGGAACAUUAUAUGUUAUUAAAUCCCAGUUCCCAUAAAAAAUGAUAAAUUAAACGACCACACCCUAAUUAGAGAGUGCACAAGUCAACAGCGGCCAUAGCAGCACUUGAAGAUAAUUGUUUAGGGGCUGGGCGGCAAGAUAUAAACACAUAUACACUCAACAUCUAUAUGGUAAAAGUUGUGUUUUCUAAAGAACUUCCACGCACGGGGGGCUCCACCCCUGAACUAAAACAAAGUACAUGAAAUUAAGUAAUAAAAAAAUGAAAAGAUGGAUUGUUUUUCUUAUAUAUGACAUCGUUUCUACAAGAACCAAGCACCUGCUAUUUACCGCAACCCCGACCCCCCACCCCAGACCAGCACUCCAAUUUAUUGCAAUAUCCUAUGGAAUAUACACGCUGAGAUAGCACAGUUCUCUAUUCCUGUUCUAGGCAUGUCACAUGUUCCUGGCAGCAAUCAAAUUUCAUGAAGCAAUGUCCAGAUGCAACUAGCAGAUGAACAGCUCACACUACUACACUACUGAAGAACCAAAUCAAUACAUAAACAGGACUGGAAAGCCAUCUACUCAGCAUCCAAUUGCAUCAAACUACACUCCAACAGAACAAUUGGAGCAAUUUUCCCUAAAAAUUAAACUAGGGCGAGGGCUAUGUUCCUGUAAAUUGAAGGAAACUACAGCACCGAAUCCAAAAUCACCCAGCGCAAGAACAAACAGGAAAAGUAACGCGACGUAUCAAGGAAGGGGAAGAGGCCCGCACAGCACGAAGCAGAAACCGCAUGGGGUCUUGGAGUUCUUGUCGAGGCCCAUGAUGAUCUUCUUGAUCUCGCCGGCGCGGGAGAAGAGCUCGUAGGCUUGCUCCUCCGUGGUGUAGAAGGACAUGUUCCCAAUGUACAGCGUAGUCGACGCAAGCAGCGUCGCCUCAUACUCCUCCUGCGUCCCCUUGAAUCGACGGUCCCUGUACGCCGAAAGCUUGCUCGGGUCCUGGAGGCAGCAGGAGAAGCCGCGAAGAGCCGCGUCAGCAUGGCGGGGCGACGGGACCUGGAUGCUCGGGGAAUUAGGGUUUUUGAGAUCCGUACCUUGAAAAGGGACGCCAUUGAGGGCUGCGGCGGCGGCCGCGCGUGCUAGGUCGAGAACUCUGCGUUCAGCGGUUGAGAGUUGAGGGGGGUUUGGCUCGAGUGAAGAAGAGCCGGGCGUGGGGAAUUUUGGCGAUCUGCAAUUGGCGAAGGCCGAAGGGGACGAAACAAGGAGGGGGAACCGGGGACGGGGAGGUGUUAAAAAUAGGCAUAAAAAAUAUCAUUUUACCAAAACUAAAACAUUCUAAAACUUCCCUUAAAAAGGUUGCCAACAUAAUUCCCACCGCUCAGAUUUGUUCAGCUAAAACUUCAAAGAGAUAUUAUUUACGCCUGUUUGAUCUAGGAAGAAAAAGAUGUAAUUCUCACUUUAAAAAAAAUCAAACGAUGUGAAGUUUGACUAAUUAUAUAAAAUAUUAGCAUUUACCUAUAUGGAAGAUUUUUAAGUUUAGGGACCAAGAUGAUACAACCGAACAAGUUUAGGUACCUAAAUGGUCGUUUUGCGAGUUUAAGGACCGGGAUGACACAUCCAAAUAAGUUUAGAGACCGCUGAUGGACUUUACUUUAAAUUAAUUAUGAAAUAUAUUUUAUAUAGUAUACUUAGUUCAAGACAUAAAUGUUAAUAAUUUUAGUAUAAAUUUGAUUAAAGUUAAAGUAACAAAUCCUACAGUAACAUUCUUUUGCAGAUGGGGUGAUUAAUUCGCUACUAACAAUUACCUAAUUUGGAUUUUGAUCAAAUAGAUUUAAUUGAUAGUCUAAUUAAUUGCUAGCUAAAUACUAGCAACUAACAAUUAUUUCACUAGUCGGAUAAAACCAACUAAUAGUUAGCUGACUAAUAAAAGCUAUAAGCUAGCUAGCUAUUAGCAGCUAAUGAAUACAAACAUGGCCAUAAUUUAUUGGCUAGAACAAAUAUAUAGAUGUUCAUAGAAGCUUAUAAAGUGUCUUAAGAGUCACCCUAGACACAAAAUUAUGUCAAAAUUAACUUUUGAACCUACUAUUAUAUGUUCAUGCGAUCAAUUUGGUAUUUUUCAGUAAAUACAGAAAUCAAAAUUCCUCGAUUUUUAGAAGGAAUCGAUCGAUAGCUAUUUUCUAAAGAACCCAAUUUCCAUAGAACCAAAGUACUGAACUGUAACACUCUAAAAAUUAUAUACUUCUAAACAUAGGGUUGAUUUAUUGUAUUUUUGUGAGCAUUAGAAUAAAGAAAAUAAUAAUUUUUAUUAAAGUAAAAUCAACUAUAAGGACAAGUUACAUGUUUGAGCAUCCAUACUGCUGCAUUAUUUUGCUUGAGUGGUCGUUUCAAAUUCAAAAAAAAAGGUUUUCAUUUUUUUUGAAAUUUAUCUAAGCAAAGGUUUAAAAAUAAAAACAGAAAGGACCUUAUUUUCUCCCCCUCACUCUCUCUGGAAUUCGGCCCCAAAUCUCCUGCGGCCUGCUUUUCUUCUGUGGGCUGAAGCCCAGUUCCCUCUCUCCUUCUCCCCUCUUUCGCGUUGUACAGCAGGCCGGCCCGGUUAGGCCACGCGGGCGUCGUCGCCUUUGGUUCCGCUGACGGCCUCGUCUCACCCUCCCUCUCGCUGACGCCUCGAGCCCACUAGUCAGUCGCAUCUUCUACCUCUCGUUGUCGAGACGGACUCUGUCUAGGGCUACCAGCCGGUGGAUUCCUCACGUCUAGCGUGAACCGCACGCUGAGGGCUCCUAUAAGUAGUAGCCACAGCCUCGCCAACUCCCUAUUCCUAACCCUAGAGCAAGCCGCUGCCCUAGCCGAGACGCAGCAACCGCCGAGAUCGCCGUCGAGGUUGAACUUCUGCUCCGUCGUGCCUCCACCUCCGUGAACCCAUUGUCGAGCUUCGUAUCGACCUUGCGAAGUCACCGAGCUCUUUCUCUCUUUUUUGUGCUCUCUGUGCUCCGUUUAACCUCGCCGAACCUUGCAGGAACUCAGCCGUCCACCGUCAUCCAUUGUGAGCACACUUCGGCCGCUCCCCGACUUCGAUUUUGCCUUAGGUGAGAUCGCGAUAAGCUUCUUUACGUCCCUGUGCCCUUGGUUUCUUGAUUCGUGCUCUAAAUCGCUGGAUCGAGUAACUCCGGUCGUGCUCGUCCAUGGCGCCGCCAUGUUCUACCCCAACUCCGGCCGGCUGCCUCCUCGCAUGUUUCCCCGAUCUAAUCCUCACCCUCUAAACGAGAUCCAACGGCCAAGGUCGAAGGGUACCCCUUCGGCCGUGACUUUUAUAAAAGAGCCCCUCGGCUUUUUAGUUAUCGAACCCGCAGUUCAUGGCGUAUUCCCCGGACACGUUUUCCUUUUUCAAAAGUCUACUUUCUUUUUAUUCAGAUUUAAAUACGUUUUCUCAAAAUUACAGAUUUGCCACUAACCUUGUUUUGAUCAUAAAAUCUUCAUUUUGACUCCGAUUUGAACCACUCAAAUUGCGUUAGAUUUGGUUUUCCGUAAUCUAUAGAUUAGUACCAUUGUUAUACAUGUUUCCAACUUUUAAAAUUCGAGCUUAGAUUUAAUCUAUUACCUUACCGUAGGAAAUCUUGUUUGGAUCAUAACUUUUUCGUUAUAACCUCGAUUUUCAUGAUUCUCAUGUCUGUGUGAUCGUAGUGCAACGUAAAUUCAUUUUACAAACUUCUCAUAUUUAUUUACUAAUGUUGGUGUAUUGUUCUAAAUAUAGAUUUGUUUGCUUUGUAUGAUUGUCUCUGGAUGAUUGUUGUUGAUGUGAUGGUUGAAUAUAGACGGUGAGCAAUUCGUGCGUGAUCAAGAGUAUUUCUACGAAUAGGAUCAACAGGACCAGUUUGAUCAAGGCAAGUAUAGCAUGGGAUUAUCUUUGUUUUCCUAAUAACUAUAGUCACACACAAUUCAUAUUACAUGUGUCGUCUUGUUAAAGAUUUUCUAGUAUUGAUCUUAUAUCUUGUCACCUAUGGUUUUGCAUUGGGUAGCUUAUGCUAGUGCUUCACUAAACCAUGAUCUUGUAAUUUGAUUAAUGAAAUAUGCAAUAAACAUUAAAAGAUGAUUUUAAGCAACUUUGGUAAAGAGGGCUAGAGCAUUGCGCUAAUUUAUGGUGCUCUAUUUUCUCUCCAUAAGGACUUACCUGUAUGUGAUCAUCCAGGACAUACAGUACAACUAUGAGGGCUAUAUGGCUCUGCCUUUAGUUCAGUAUAAGGACCUUUUCUAGCUUGUUAGUGGUUAUCCUUUAUGGUGCAAUAGGGGCUUGCCGAAUCGGGUAUUGUGCGGCCUUUGUCCUUAUGUGUAUAGUCUGCACGUUAUUGUGCCAUUUGGAAGGGGGCUCUAUAUCUGUUUGCCAAUUAGAAAUCUAGCGGCCCUAACAUUGUUAGACGAAUCAUUGAAAGACUUUAUAGUGAACCCUACCGACCUUCCUUGGUAGUGGGUUAAGGGGCUGAUCACAUCAGGCCAAAAAGUAAAUCAUGACUCACAGUGAAAGUGUACAACCUCUGCAGAGUGUAAAACUGAUAUAUCAGUCGUGCUCACGAUCACGAGCAACCUUGGAACCCUUACAGAAUAAAUGAUCACUAAUGGCUAUUAUUAUUACUAUUAUUGUUAAUAUAUUGUUUAUGCAAUUCUUUAUUCACUUUAAUUACUUGAUCAUGAGUUUACUUCGGGAUAUGACAACUUGAUGCUACUCAUAUGCUAAAUUGUGCCAACUAAAAGCUACGUGUAGUUUAAACUCGUGUCUAGCCUAUUUGAGCCUCAUGAACCCCAUGUUAUGUUGCUGAGUACGAGAUGUACUUAUGCUUGCCUUUACGUUUUAUUUGGAUAAAAAUCCCAGAUGGAUACCAGAUUAUAAGUUUCAAGGAGUUUAGGCUUGUGAUCAACCAGUUAGUUAUCCCUGUGGAAUUGGAGCUUUCUGUAACAGAACCGACCAAAUUAUAAGAGAUUAAUCCUAAUAGUGACCAUUUGCAUAGUCAAACCAUCGAGCUUAAGCCCAUAUAAUCCCGGUAGUCCAUGAAAUCUCGAAGGAUUUCAAACCACAUAUCGUACAUACAGCCAAGAUCGUAAUAAGUUUAGCGGUCGCCAUCCACAAAUACAUCCAGAUUACAACAUUCAGAAAAUACAUCAGAGUUCUUAAAAAUUAUUACAAACCAAGUUCUCAAGUAGCGGAAGCUUCAUAGUUCGAAAUAACACACACAUACUUAGUCUGAUACAGUGCCAUUUUUUGGUCAUUCCCACAAAAGCAAAAGAAGAGACUGAGUGACCAUCGCCCUUGGUCUAGUCAUCACCCAUGGCUGGGUACAGACAGAGGAUGCAAUAACCAUAGUACAUUUGACCAUCUGCAAAACAACAUGGGAGUAGAACCCUGAGUACGAGAAUGUACUCAGCUAGACUUACCCGUCAUAAAUUAAAAUAAAGACUCUUCAAGGAUCAUGAAGGCUAUAUAGUGGGGCAGCUGACAACCUUUUUGCAAAACCGCAAGAUUCUAUUAACAUGCCCUACAUAAAUCUUCCUUCUUUUAAUUUGCUCAAGUUGACAGUAUCAUUACUUAUUAUCUAGGUUUGUACCUGCACUAUUACAAUCAAGUGUAGUAAUAUGAUGAUACCUCAUCAUAGUAUUCAUGAAACCAUUUAUCUUUAUAAUCCAAGUGUUCCGUGUCCUUACUACGAGGACGAAGCUCAUGUCAAGUGCUCACUAUCCAGGAGCGAUGGCGAUUCGAAUCGAUUUCUAACCAGCUGGCGAGUUUAUUCCCCACACAAACCACACUCACUGAUCAAGUGAGCUACAGAUCACCGUAUUGCACUAUCCAGGACCAAUUCGCGGGUUCGACAGGCACCGCCCGUACCCGAGGACCGUUCCGGCGACCGAGGUAUCCAAGGUAUACCAAGGUUGUGCGCCGCGCCCUCGUCGUUCCCCUCAACCAUCACCAAUACAGCGCGUACAUCGGGCCGAUUUCCGGCCCGGAUAGUGCUCAGGCUUCGCGGUCGGAACGACUUAUCCUUCCAGCUAAAUGUGGGACAUGCGUUCAACAUGACAAGAGGGCCGUCAACGAUCGGUCCUUAAUCGACACAGGCAGGGGCACUAUAGUCAACCCACUAUAAGACCCUGCCCGGUCUCAAAUUUCGUUCCACACUUGGUUAUUCUUUUCCCAAAGCAAUCACUGCUUAAUCAAGCAGGUAUCCACCUAUAUCUCGCAGGUGAUAGGAAAUCACCCGACUUCUACCGGACUAAGCAAGCUAAGCAUAGACUCCGCACCUAUCUACAUAGGACAAGGUAGAUAAAUGAGGGGUGAUAUCAAGGAGUACCAAUGCAUCAACGGUAUCAACCAACUCCUAUCACUUAAAUGCAGUACAAUAGAACAAGCAUAAUAUAUCAUGUAAGUUAGCGAGAAUAGGGAGACUUAGAAUGCUCCGGGGCUUGCCUUUCUCAAACGUGCUGGGCCGGUGAUCCGGACACUCCUGUAGCUCUUCUCCGGGUUCCGGUGCUUCCGGAGGUUCCUGCUUCUGAAUCUCCUCUGGCUCCUCGGGUCCCACCUCGUUCUCCUGCGAGCCUGUGUGAUGUAUGUAUGCUCAUGAGUGGAGUGCGGGAUGUCCGAGUGGAUGCUUGUAUGAGAAGGUACCAAAUGAUCAUGACAUGAUGCAUAUGUGAUUUAAUUGGUCAUGCUCUUUACAAGGUAGUCAACAUCAUCCAAGAAUAGGCAAUUGAUUUUAAACAUCUAUUGCAUUCUCUCCUACAAAUUGUUUUCAAGUAUAAUCAGCAACCCACAAGCUGCUUCAAAGAUACACCAAACCCCUUC